rnacentral:lncRNA from 1 species
UCUUAAGUCCUAACUACCAUGGCCUCUUUCGUUCCUACUCAAUGCCUUUUACAACUCCUCUUUGUGGCUUCUCUGCUUCCAUUCAUCUCAGCAGCCAGGAGACUUGCUCAAGACCAGCAACCUCUGCUUCUUCAAUACCACAAUGGCCCUCUUCUUUCCGGAAAAAUCUCCAUUAAUCUCAUCUGGUACGGAAAGUUCAAGCCUUCCCAACGCGCCAUUGUUUCUGAUUUCAUUACCUCCCUCUCUUCCUCCAAAACCACCCCCCACCAACCCUCUGUUGCGGCGUGGUGGAAUACCAUCGACAAAUACUACCUCCUCAUUAAGUCCAAGAAAUCCACCUCCCUCGGUCUCUCCCUAGGCACCCAAAUCCUCGACGAGAACUACUCUUUGGGUAAAUCACUGACCAGUCGAAAUCUCAAACAGUUGGCAGCAAAGGGGCAGCAGAGCAACGCCAUUAACGUAGUCUUGACAUCUUCUGAUGUAGCCGUUGAAGGGUUCUGCUCCAGCAGGUGCGGAACACAUGGGUCUUCUCCCAGCUCCAAGACUGCUAAGGUUAAUGGCAAGAUCUCCAAGUUCGCAUACAUCUGGGUGGGUAACUCCGAGACUCAGUGCACAGGUCAAUGUGCAUGGCCAUUCCACCAGCCCAUUUACGGACCCCAGAGUCCACCCCUGUCCGCACCCAACAACGAUGUGGGUAUGGAAGGUAUAGUUAUGAACCUGGCUAGCCUCUUGGCUGGAACUGUUACGAACCCCUUUGGAAAUGGAUACUACCAAGGUUCCGCAGAGGCUCCCCUGGAGGCUGCAUCGGCCUGCCCUGGGAUUUAUGGGAAGGGCGCGUACCCUGGCUAUGCCGGAAAGCUGUUGGAGGAUCCCACCACAGGUGCUAGCUAUAAUGCCAAUGGUGUGAAUGGGAGGAAGUACCUGCUUCCUGCAUUGCUUGAUCCUUCAACUUCCACCUGUUCUACUCUGGUCUGAUAGACUGAUACUACUAUGCUUCUCUAAAUUCAUUUAGUUGUAUAGCACGGAGACGAUAACCGAUUCUUUGUUUGUAUUUGAUUAAUUACCAUUAUGUAUUCUUUUUCCCGUCUGAAUAAAUGAAAUUCCAAUGUUUUCUUUCAUAUCCAACCAGUUCAGCCUUCCUCUGAUAUUUUUUCUUCACAUCCCAAUCCCAACAAAAGCCGCACUGCGCCCUCCUCUGCUAUUCAAACUCGUAUGUGGUCAAAAUCAUUAAUGAGAUCUACCAUUGGAGAAAGCUUUAUUAUAAUAAGGAAAAUUUUAAGCAAAACCUUUAGGACAUGGAAUGAUCUGCUGCUUUUCUCGUCCUACAUUUUUAAUUUAAGACUUAAAUUUCCAACCUCGUCUACAUGCCAUCAUUAUUUAUUCAGAAGUUGCAAUUGAAGAAACGUUUAUAGCACGUUUUGCAGGAAUAUUAUUAAUAAUUUAAGUAUGUAACAUUCUCAAAAGGCAGUCUAAGAAGAUGUAUACUUCCAACCUUGGAUUUUGUCACAAUUAUUCAUGGCCCAGCCUCCACGUGAAAUUCUAAUAGAUGUUCAAUAAUUCAAACGGAAAUGUGCAAUAGAAUAUGUCAACCCUUCAAUGUGAGGAAGGUUUGGCUAAAAUUUUAGCUUAAAUUAAGAUUUUAGAGAAUAUAACAUCAUAAUUUUUUUUCAUGUUUGUCGUAAGGAAGAAAUAAAAAGGGCCUUAUCACGUUGGUGAUAUAAAUUUUCUAAUUUAUUUCAAUGAUUUCUUUUUUCUCAUGAAAAAAAAAAUAAAAAUCCUCAUAAUGAAUGCAAGUUGGUUUUCGAGAUAAAAAUAUGUUGGCUAGAUGUGUAAUAUAUGAAAAAUUAGAAAAUAAAAUAUUCAACAAAUUUUCUCCUGUUAAUUCAACAUUUCUCAAUAUUUUUAUAAAUUUAAAAUUAUUACUUUUAAAAUAUUAUUUAUAAAUUAAUUUAAAAUAUUUAGUAUUAUUAUUCUAUAACAAAAUGACCUAUUGAUUUUUCUUUAACUUUUUAAUAUCUAAUAAAAAUAAAAUAUUAAAUCAACAAACUAUUUAAUACUUAAUAUUAUUAAAUACUAUUUAAUUCUAAAUUCUAUUUAAAAUUAACUAAAAAGAAAAAGAAAAUAUCAUCUUAAUCAUGUCAUAUCAAUUCUCAAAAUUAGAGUUUGAGGGCUUAAUUUUUUUAACCUGGCAUCAUUUGGAUUGAUACAACUUUUAUAAUAAAUAAAUUUUUGCCAAAAAGAGUACAUAUAAAAAUAAUUUAAUUUCACACAUAAAGAAUAUUGUGGGGUCUAGGUCUCUUUGUAAAAAGUUACUUUAUAAAAGUAUUUUCUUAACUUAAUUUAUAGAAAAAGCUCCUAAAUCAUGAAUCUCUCAUUUUUCAUAUGUUUAAUAAAAAAUUUUUAUAAAAUUUCUUGAAUUGUUUGAAACAUAUGCUAUAUGAUUUCAAUGAUAUUUCAAGUAAAACCUUGAUCAACUAACUUUCUAGAAGACAUAAAAUUUUUAGAAAUCUAGAACUUUAGGAGUAGCAAUAACAAAGAUAUUUAAGUGGCAUACAAGUCAGAUUGUUUUUGAGGAGUUUCAAACUUCAAAUCAUAACCGGUCCAAAUGUUAUACAUUUGAGCAGGAAACAGAAAGACUGUCACUAAUUUGGGGUGUUAGUUUAGCCAAAUUAAGCUAGGGCCAUAAGAUGUUUGGGACCACCUCGAUUUUAAGUCAUUUUGCCAACAACUAUUAAGGCAUUAACAACUAACUAGGCAGGCCGGACCCUUAUCCAUUUCUAUAAAAGACAUCAUCUGUAUGGCUACCGACCUAAAUUGAUUGCAUGCCAAAUGAACAAAUUUCAUACCCAAUAAUCACAUGUAACUUCUAAUUAGCUGAGUGUAAUUGUUUUGUCAUUAAAAUUGCUGUCCCGGUCCCAUCACAUGGUGCGAAUACAUCGUGAUUUGUUAACUUAAUUGGAAAUAUUACAAUCCAAACAACUAAGAUUGUGGGUAUUAAUGGAAAAUCCAAUAUUGCAAUGUUGAUGGUUGCAACUUGCAGCUUGGAUCUUAUACUUAUAGUCUCACACUCGUUUCACACGUAGUCGAUAUGAUCAUGAAUAACGGGGUCCAUCCCCGAGGGCCCCGUGAUAACAACAGAGCACUGAGCACCUAAAAAUUAAAAAUGGUGUGCAUGUAGCCGCCGCAAGGAAAACCAUGCCAGUGUUUGGAAUAAUUUUGGCUUUUGUGUCUUUCAAGCUAGCCGCUUCUCCAGAGAGAUGAAAGCACGGUAUCGAUCGAAUCAAGUGGAUCAGGGCCCGGAGUUUUAAAUGGCGGGUCGGCGCACACUGAUGUUUUGAGCCAUCUAAAACCAUGAGCAUAUUGAUUCCUUGAGUUAUUUAGAAAAUGGGGAUGUGCUUUCAGCGUAUACAAACUCACCUGUGACUAUCUUACUCUAAAGCAAAUAAUCACGGACGAGUGCUAACCCUAGGAUCGUUAUCUUCACAUGCAAGGAUUACCUACUUGUUAUUCCCCCUGUCCCUUGACUUUGGGUUUUAUAUUUUUGGACGAUCAGAAAGAAGGAAACACCUACCCUUGAUAACCACGUCAUCAGGCACAACCUGGCGAAAACUGCCACGCGUUUGACACUAAAAGUGGUCAAUUAAUCAACGCGGCACGAUUUCAAUGUUUCUUCCAUCACUCCCUUUUGGCCAGCGCCACACGCGCACUCCAUGAUGACACCACCUUUCUAUGACUAUAUAAGUAUCGCAACAGUCGACUCUUCCUUCACACUCAUUCCUCACCAAUCCAGCUUUUCACACUCUCUGCAUCACCUUCACCCCACUACUUUACCUUCUCAAUGACUUCUACUUACCAUUUCUCCAUCUUUGUUUCACUUCUCCUACUCUCCUGCCUUCCCAACCUCACCUCCGCCACACCUCGAAAACUCUUCUCUCUUGUUCAAGAGCAACCUCUCAUUCUCAAGUACCACAACGGGCCACUCCUUAAGGGCAACAUCACCCUCAAUCUCGUUUGGUACGGAAACUUCUCCCCCAUCCAACGCUCCAUACUCGUCGACUUCCUCCAGUCUCUCAAUUCCCACACCACCACGCCCCACUCCGUCUCAUCGUGGUGGCAGACCAUCCAGAAGUACAAAGGAGUCUCCUGCACCCUCGCCGUUGGGAAUCAGAUCCUCGAUGAAGACUACUCUCUAGGGAAGUCAUUGCGAAGUUCAGACAUCAUUUCCUUGGCUUCUAGAUCAAACCAAAGGAGCGAAAUAACCGUGGUGUUCACAUCGGCAGACGUGGCGGUAGAAGGGUUCUUCAUGAGCCGGUGCGGGACUCACGGGUCAACUCAGAGUAAGUGGGCCUACGCGUGGGUGGGUAACUCGGAGACUCAGUGUCCGGGUCAGUGCGCAUGGCCAUUGCACCAGCCCAUGUAUGGACCACAGACUCCGCCGCUGGUGUCUCCAAACGGGGACGUGGGAAUUGACGGAAUGGUGAUCAAUUUAGCGACUGUUUUGGCGGGAACGGUGACUAAUCCGUUUGAUAACGGCUACUUUCAAGGAUCGGCUAGCGCGCCGUUAGAGGCGGUGACGGCUUGUACAGGUAUAUUCGGGACAGGAGCUUAUCCAGGAUAUCCCGGCGAAGUUCUGGCGGAUGGAACGACUGGGGCUAGCUAUAAUGCUGUUGGGGUGGAUGGGCGUAAAUACUUAUUGCCGGCGAUGUGGGACCCUCAAACCUCCACCUGCAAGACAUUAGUCUGAAGCCUGAACCUAAUGGAUGAUUUGUGUUCUGUGUGGUACCAGCAAUUGUUUGUUUGGAGGAGCUUUGUACUCCCAGCUUUGAAGUUUGUUCUUUUUUUUCAUCAACCUUAUCAUAUGUAAAUGUUUAUGUAUCAUUAAUUAAAUUUGUUUCAUUAGUCAACCAAUCCUCUGUCUCCUUUGCCUUCUAAAAAGUUUCAAAUUUUUUCUAACAAUUUUGGGUCAUUAGGUUUUGGUGGAAGUUUCAAGUUGACUAACCAGUUAGCUUCUGGAUUUAACUUAACCCCAUAUUAAGCUGAGGAACCAAUCUGGUUUUAGCACAUGUGCAUUGAUUGGUAUUCUUUAUAAUGGAAUCUAACUGCUUUCUUUUUUACCCCAUGAGAAGAUUUCACCAUAUUGUCCUCCAUUCUUGCACACAACCGUAUCAUCUGACUGAAUUUUCUAUGAAAUAAUAAUUAUUUUGGUUUUUUUUUUUUUCAUUUUUCUUUUUUCUAACACAUAUAAAGUAAAAAAAGAAAAAAUUAUUAUUAAAAUAAAUUACAAAAUUUAUUUACAAUAGAAUUAAAUUAAAAAAAUUAAAGAGAUAGGACGAAACCGGAAAUUCUCAUAUUUGUUUCAUUCGAAUCUUUUUAGGGUAGAGGAAAAUAUGUUUAAACGAUGGAAUGGGAUUGGGAUAGAGUAACAAUUCGAAUCCACCUCGCUAUCAUUCCUGGAUGUUUGAGCAAUGGGUCUGGUCGAGCAGCCCGACCUGUGGACACUGGGAUCCUGGAGCACAGCGCUGUCCUUCUAGUUAAUAAGUUGGAAUCAUGGUUCGACUUGGUUUCUGUUCACGUCGUAGCCAUUUGCGAUUUGCUCAGUAACACUGGUGACUUAAUCAUGGGCCGUGGGCUGCUUUCAAGACUUGGGCUUUUCAAUUGGAUUCGGCCCAAUUGGGUUUGGACUCAGGUGAUGAAUGAGCCGGCCCAAUCUGGAAAAUGUUGCAUUUAAAGUUUGGACCAUAUUAUCUGUUGGAAGGAAGUUCUGAUUUCUUAAAAUUUUUAUGUUUUUGAAGGUUUAAGGAGUGAGGACUUGAGUGUGGAUUCAUCCCAGAGCAUAGUUUGAUGGAAUGGCUGUGUACAUUCGCCUGAUUCUUUGUAAUAUUAUGUAAAAAAAAAAAUUGAGAUUAAAGAAAAAGUGAAAAACACAUAUGACCAAGCUGAGGCGCUGAAAAGAAAAAAGAAACAAGGCUUUUUAAGGCAGAAGACGGUGAUCUCCUCUCAGUUUCCAGUUUCCGCCAUCCACAGCCAAAUCUCAUGGAUCCCCAUCAACACCAACCCAUUGGACAAGCAGACGAAACCUCACCCCCUCCCUCCAACACCGCUACCACUUCAUGCCGCUGCUGCGGCGGCCCCACCACAUGCCCACCUCCACCGGCAUGGUCCGACAUCUCUCCGCCACCCCCCUACCGCCCCAUCCGCGCCCCCGCCAUCAACCUUCCUCCUUCCAACUCUCAACAAGCUAUCAUCCUAGCCCCCGUUCCUCAAGCCCAGAAGACCCCCGUUGUCUCUCCGCCCUAUCUUUUCCAAAUCCCCGUCAAGCGAAUCCAGACCAGACGACAUUCGCCAUUUCCAUGACUCCGAUUCCGGGAAGAACUUCUUAGGUUUCGUCGUUUCCCUUAGCGAAUCCAUUCGCUCCCACAAAAUUUCCGACCCUUGCCACCAAUCACCAAUCCUCAAUUCUAUUCUCUCCAUCCUUCAAUCUCUAAUCGACUGGGUCGACGAAAUACCUCCCGUUCAACAAUCUUCCCGUUACGGUAAUCUCUCUUUUAGGGUUUGGCAAAGUCGGUUGUUCGAUAAUAGCGAGCAACUGAUGCUCCAAUUCCUCCCCGAUGAUCUCCGGUCGGCUACCGUCGAACUCGUCCCUUACUUUGCCGAUAGUUUUGGGAAUUCGAGUCGAAUCGAUUAUGGAACCGGUCAUGAGACCAAUUUUGCUGCGUGGCUUUAUUGUUUGGCUAGAUUAGGGUUGCUCAAGGAAGAGGAUUACCAGGCUCUUGUUUCUAGGGUUUUUGUGAAGUACCUUGAAUUGAUGAGGAAAUUGCAAUUCGUCUAUUGCCUUGAACCUGCGGGAUCCCAUGGAGUUUGGGGUCUGGACGACUAUCAUUUUCUGCCAUUUAUAUUUGGGUCGUCGCAGCUGAUCGAUCACAAGUAUAUGAAACCCAAGUCAAUUCAUAAUCAGGAUAUUCUGGACAACUUCUCCAAGGAGUAUAUGUAUAUUUCUUGCAUUGCAUUUGUGAAGCAGGUGAAGAAAGGCCUAUUUGCAGGGCAUUCCCCAUUGUUAGAUGAUAUUAGUGGUGUAGCUAAUUGGAACAAGGUGAAUAGUGGGAUGCUCAAAAUGUAUAAAGCUGAGGUGUUGGAGAAGGUUCCAAUUAUGCAGCAUUUCCUAUUUGGGUGGCUCAUCAAAUGGUAUGAUCACUGUUAAUGAGUAAUUAGCCCUGUAUGUGAUUCAUGCAUUUUUAGUUCAUUAUAAGUCAUCCACACUUUGCAUCAUGUUUAAUUGGGAAUCUUAAAAUUAUUACGAGUUUUUAUGGUGUUUUAUGAGCAUAAUCGUUAUAUUUAUAUCGUCUAUAUCAGUAACCUAUAUGGAUAUUUGGUGCUAAACCUGAUAUUUUUGGUCCCUGGAUAUUCAUCUAUUAUUUCAAUGACAAUGUUGGUUGAGGAACAACUCUAGUGUUGAUACCUUGAUCCAUGGGUUUUGUCAGGCUGAGACUUUCAUUAGCUAUUUGAUCCUCACCACCACUGAUUGCUAUACUGAAAUUUUUUUACCUAUGAUUUCUGUUAUCAUUUUAUUUAAAGCAUAGAACCCUACUUGUUAGCUAUAUGAUGUAGAAGUGAUGCACUGAGUCAAUGUUCAUGAUGAAAUAGAACCAAAGAGAUUGGCAUUAUGUUGGGUUGGUCCAUUUUUUUGGAUUCAUUAAAUCUAUCAAAAAUAAAUAAAAUUUGGAUUCAUUAACCAAGUUACUACAUAUGUUCCUUUGAUAUUUAUUAUUUGAGUAAUGUGUGUACAAACUACAAUAAAUAUCAGCCUUUUCAUAAAAAUUUUGCUUGAGUUUUCCUUAUCUCUGCACUUUUAACAUGUGUUAAUCUUUCAACGGUCUGCUUUAGUCCUCAUUCUAAGCUUGUUAAUGUGCCUUUACUUCAAACAUCUUUUCCCACCUUCUGAGUCAUUUCUUUUAAGUCAUGUAUCUCAUCUUAUAGAAAUUCAAGUGUAAUCUAAUGUCUUGAGCCAUUUUAAUUAUUUUAGUUUGAUUUGAUUUAAAAAAAAACUUUAAUGAUCAAAACUUUCAAAUUAUAAUGCAUUUGGCUAGUGAAUAUUACUUAUAAGCCCAAUGUCUCUAGACAAAUAUUUCUGGGUUUUUAAUACAUCUCAUGAGUUCCAUUUGGUAUUCUAGCCCUUUUAGCUAAGUGGUUGCAUUUCUACAUGGGAGGUCUGAGAAUCUCAGAAAGCUAAAACUAAAACAAAGUGAUUUAGUUAGUUAGUGCUUAUAUUCUGACUACUGGUUGUGUAAUAAGCUAAAACUAAAACAAACUCUGAUUUUGUGCCUGACAGCUUGUGCAGACGCUGGUAUAGUGUUUCCUCCAUUUCCAUCAACAACAAAGUCACCAUACCAUACCGGGCUUAAGGGAGGAAACAACCAUGGAAAACUGCUCUGAAGCCCUAAGAGUUUCAAUAAACUUCUGAACAGCCCGUGAUGCAUGAAUUCUUAACCAAGUCUCCAGCUAACACUGCUUGGAGACUCUAAUACCCAAAGUUGACAGAGAUAAGGGCUAAGAUUGUUUUACAGACAGUGAUAUAACAUGCUCAAGGUGAAUGUAAGAUGAGAUAUUCCUGGAUUUAUUAGGAUUGCCAGAAAGUCGAGGAGACUGAACAUUGAAGUAUGAACUCUAUGUGGAGAUGGUGCAAUUCCAGGGGGUUGUGCCCAGAGAUUCAAUGUGUCUAGGCUUCUUUCCCGGUAUACGGAUCAGCAUGUCAUUGCAACAAGCACAGAUUCCAGAAGACCACUGAGAUGGACUAUCACUGGUGUGACGAUGAACAGAGAGGUCACUGUAAUGAGGAAUAAUCUCUAUAUCCUAAUCUGACUGUCCUAAAGGAAUAUAGGGGGUGGUACAUAACUGAUGAUGCAUCUGAUCGGUCAUUACUGGGCUGUGGCACAUGAUGCCAUUCUGAAGCAGGUGGCAUGCUCUUGUUAUCAUUCGACUGAGGAAAGACUGAUGGCACAGAUUGUCCUUUGGCAACCCUCAAUAGAAGCAUAAGUGCGUUUUCGAGGCUCUCCAACAAGUUCAUCAACAUGAGCAGGAGGGAGGUCUUUUAAAGUGUUUUGGUUGUUUUUCCCAUCAAUAGGAGUGGUUCUAUACAGGGGUGAGGGGAGCAAUGACCCAUCUAAAGGUACGUACCUAAAUGACUUUUUUCUAAGAGGAACCCAAAGCCCCCAUUGGUUGGACUAGUUGUCUUGGGUUGUAUUUAACUAUGAUACUCCUUUGGUUAUUUCCUUCUUUGAUAGACAAGGAUAGCACAAAAUUCGUGAUAAUCAAAUAUGAAAUUGUCUAAUGCGUGAUAAAGUUUAAUUCAAGACCUUGCAAAAUUCAAAUAUGCACUUUCCAUCCACAAGAUUUAGCAAACUGAUGGGGCCUCUACCUUCUCUGUACCCUCCAACCGUACUCUGGCGUUUUGUGCUAUGGCACUAUAGACCUUCCAGGCUUUUAGUGCUUCAGGGAAUCCCAUUAUUCAUCUUCUAACCAUAUUUAAGAAAAUAUUUUGUUUUUUGUUGUGCUUUUUUAAGUGGUAUUUGCUAUCAACUUAGUGAUACGAGUCUUUCUUAUCUUGAGAUGUUUCCUUUCAAGGCAAAAAACCUAAAACAAAAGUUUGAAGAGCAACCCUUUUACAUAUUUUUUGGACAGAACGAAGAGAAGGAAAACAAAGGUCUUUUGAUAACGUAGAGUAAAUGUAUCUUUCUUUAACAAAUUCUCUUAUUUGUAAUUCUUUCUCAAGAAAGAUUUUUUCAGGUGAUAUUUGUUUUUUUAACUUUUUACUGAAAAUAAUUUAUUUUUAAAAUUUAGGUUGUUUGUUUUUCUAUUUUUUCAUGACUUAUUAUAAAUUUUUUACUAAUUAGAAAAAACUAAAAUAUAUAACUUUUUUUGAAUAAAAAAAAAUAAUAUAUUGAGUUUUUUUACUUUUUAAUAUUUAAUAGAAAUAAAAUACUAUAAAAAUAAAUAACCUAAUAUUUAACAUUAUAAACAUUAUAGUUUUAUUUAGAAUUAAGUAAAAAAACAAACAUCACCUUAGUAUCUUUGCUAAGUGAGGAAAAUUGUUUUUUUAGUCCUCUCCCUAUACAAUGGUUUACCUCGGUGCAUUUUUAUUUUUUAUUUUUUUAUAAAAUUCUUUUCAUUUGCCUACAUUAAUUUGGAUCUACUCAACUAUAUUUACAUGUCCUUCUGAUGUUUUUCUAAAUGCUUUUGCAGGAAGUGUAUAUAUCACCAAAAGUUAGGGAGAGAAAACGACGAACUGCGGUGGUGCGACGGGUUAAAUGAGAUUGCAUUUAGGCUGGCGUUCUGCAGCUUAACCCAACUGAAACUUGAUCGCAUAGUGACUAUCAUCAUUAUUGAUCACCGAAAACUUCGGUAUGUAUAGGCCUAUUGACACUGACGCUGAUACAAUAGUCAUAAAUAUUAUUUAUUGUUAUAUGUCUUCGCACACAGAGGACAUAUUUUCUGAUCAACAAGUGGCAAUGGCAUCUAGUUAACAUAAUUUUUGUAACAUAUAUCACAAAUGUGAUUCAUCACUCUUCCCCUUUGGAGAAGUAGUUGUGUGAUAGUGCAGCACCCCAUAAAGAGAACGCAAUGCUAGAGAAAAAAUUGGUACCUGUUUUUAUGAGACAAUGGGGCGGCGAACAUAUAUAAAAAAGAUAUGAACCCAUAGAGAUAUUGAAAAAAAUAAAAACGAUAAAGAUAACGUGGUAUAAUUAGUGUCCAUAUAUUUGGCACAUUUUUAAUGAUUUUAUACUUUUCGAGAUCGCCACAUAAAUAAAAAUAUCUUUUAGUCAAAUGAUCAUUUUUACAUUUUCAUGAUAUUGUUAUUAUUUUAUGAUAUGUCUUCUAAAAGCAUUUUUAAUGAGAAUUUUAAAUAUUUUUACAACAUAUUUAACAUUCUUAAUCUAUCAUUAUUAUUCUAUAAAAAUAUGAAAUUUUAUUUCAUAAUUGAAGUAAGAAAACAAAAACAUGUGUCUUAAGGAAAGUAAAAGAAAAAAAUAAGUAAAAGUAAAAAGUAAAUUUAAAAUUAAUAAACUAUUUCUAUAUAUUUAUUUAUUUAUAAUUAAAUCAUUUAAAUAUAUAUAAAGUUGUCAAAUUAAUUUAAAUUAUGUGUAAUCUUAUUUCCAAAAUUCUACCAUAAACCAAACCCCUGAACAUCUUUUUUUUUCCUUUAUUUAAUAUUAUUGUCUGAAACAAUAUUAAAGAAACAAACCACAACAUGAACCAUAGUAAGAAAUAUGGAAACAAGGCAGGAAAGGUGCAAAAAACUAGAUUGGAAAGUUGAGAUCUAGAGAAGCACUUGUUCAAAUAUUUUCUCCAAAUUCAAGUAAGAUGAUCCAUCUGGACCAGUGGUAGCCACUUCUGCCCUAUGCUUCCACUCCAUGGUUUUCUUUUUCAUUACUUUGCCUUUCUCUCCCACCAUCAACUCUCUCACAAGCUUUGCAACUUCAUCCCUCUUAACAUCACUGUCUAUCUCCAUUCCUACGCCCCACUCAGUGCAGCAGUAACGACAGUUGGUUUGCUGCUCUGCAAAAAAUGGCCAACAAAUCAUAGGCACUCCAGCGCAUAAACCCUCAAUUGUGGAAUUCCAGCCGUUAUGAGUUAAGAAGCCGCCAAUGGCCUGGUGCGUGAGAACUUGCUCUUGAGGACACCAACCUGCUAGUAAACCCCUGUCUUCUGUUUCUGCCACGAAUUCUGGUGGCAGAAUGGCCGACUCACCAGACACGAGAUCUGGCCUAAGAAUCCACAAGAAGCUUUGAUUGCUAUUUGCAAGUCCCCAAGCAAACUCAAUCAGUUGCUGGGGAGUCAUGACUGUGAUGCUUCCAUAAUUAACGUAAACAACAGAGUUGGGUUCUUUGGAAUCCAGCCAUUUGAGACACUCAGGCUCUUCCUUCCACAGAUUUGAUCCAAUCAACUUUAGUUCGCUAUCGUGAAUCUGAUCCGGAAGUAGCUGAAGAGGACCAAUGGUGUAGAUUGGGGGAUACAUGGGAGCAAUUGCAUCCAAAACCUCCUGCUCUAAAGCGUCAAACGUAUUGAAAAUGAUGGCAGAAGCCUUGCGAGCCCUUUCAAGCUCACCCAUGGCAAAGUCCAGCAUGAUAUCAUCUGGAUCGGUAGUCCGAAUGAAGCUCGGGAGAUCCUUCAAACGGAUACCUUUCAUGCCCGGUAUCCAAUCAACAACAGUAUCCAAAUACCCAUUUGUUAGAUAACUCUCAUCUGCAUAUCACAGAAGAAGGAAAAAUGAAAAAUCAGAGUCGGUAGGAGACUGGGAUUUGAAAAACUUGUAUUCAAAGCCGAACUUGGAAUAAUACCUUUGAGUGGUGUAAAACCCUUGUCGAUGAGACUGCGAUACUGCACAUAGGCCAUGAAGCCACAAGCACUAGCUGUCCAUAAAAGAAGGUCGGGAAUGCCGAGUUCUUGAGCCGCGUCUAAAGUGAAGCUCAUGACAGCGUCAGAAAAUAUGCAAGUGACGGGAGGACCUCUGUCGUUGAGUUUGGCGAGAAGGCGUCUAAAGGGAGCCAAACAGUUUUUUUUGGUGGAUGCACAGAGGGAAGGGAUGUCUUGGGUUGCGUCGACAUUGGACGGUGGGAGACCAUCGGGAAUGGUUUCGAACUGAAAGGUGGGGAGACCAUUGAGGGAGUUGGGGCCCUGGGCCUUGAGUAAGCGUGUGUGGUUGAACUCUGUGUUGACAAAGGUGAUACGAAAGCCUCUGAAAUGGAGGAGCUUUGCUACUUUUAGCAUAGGAUUGAUGUGCCCCUGAGCAGGGUAUGGAAUGCAAACUGCAUGAGGCUUCUCCAUGGAACCCAUUUUUGCUUUGGGAUGCCCUCCCGAUACAUCUGCCUCCAAUUUUAUAGAGUUUUUGAAUAUGGCAUCUAAGCUGUUUUUUUUUUUUUUUUUUCAAAAAAAAAAAAUCAUUGAUAAUACUGAUUUAAUCUAUGAAAUAAAACCGUCUCUGUCUAUAUUGGUUUUUAUUUGAAGUUGAAUAAAGAACCUCCGUCAUCGGUUUUGGUUCAAGUGUUUUUUAAAAAUCAACUUAAAAUCGCAUGUGCCAAAUCGAUUUAACUUUUUUCGAAAAGUCAAUUUCCGAGGCCACAGAAAGGCGGAAAGCAAGGGAGGUUGGUGGAACACCCUUUCCCUUUUUAAAACGGUACCGAACUCACUAAUUUAAUUGCACGAUCGAAGCUGGAAAUAUUUUGUUAUAAUUAAUCAAUCCUGUGCUGCAGCAACGUCUUCCACCUACACUUUUUAUCUUCAAAUCACAGUCGACUGGAAGGAUUAAGUCAUGCGGGAUCCCUUGUUAUUCAUGUAAAAGAAAAAGCCCGCGUUGGAGCCAGGGACUUCCUGUUUGUUUUUCCUGUCACGAUUGAGUGACCGCUAUCCAUGAAAAGUACGAGAAAGAACGUGACAAACUAGGAUCUUGUCAUGAGCCUCUAUCAUCUUCCGUUGAGAAUAAUGAAUUUACCACCUAUAUAUGUUAAAGCUGAUGCUCUGUUUAAAAAUUUUGGACGGCCGCUGCCCUUCCUAGCAUCAAUAUAUUGCACUGCCACGAAUCCAAAGCAAAUCUUUCUCGUUUGCAUCAGACUUUGUUUAAAAAAUGGAACUCAUAGAACUCCGCAGCUGCCCAACUAAUUAAAUCAGAGGACUAAGUUAUCGUCCAUGAAUUUAUUACUGAUAUGAACGUUAUAUAAUAUAAAGAUAAGAGAAGUGAGAGGGUAAGUUGACCAUGCACUCUCAUCUAGAUAUUAUAAUCUUCAACCAGCUCAUCCCUAAUAGGCCUCCCCUGAUAUUGGCUUCUGACUUCUGUGACUGUCUUGCAUAAUGCAUGAUGUCAAGCGAAGAAAGUGUUGGUAAUUUUUUUACUGGAAUUCAAAGAAUUGGAGAUUCGAACAAAAGAAAUGAAUGAUGAAUGAAAACCAUGUUCACGGUAUAGGAACUGCAGCCAAGUAUUGACUAGCAGGUGGAAUGAUACCAUCAGCGCCGAUUGCCUUGAAUAGUUAGUAUGCAUCCUUACUCCUUACCCAUCAUUAUCCAUCAAUUAUCUAGUAUUUAUUAUGAGUGACCAUAUAUUCGCCCACUUGUGCAGGCCCUGCAGAAGAAUAAAUUGAUGAUAUGAACUACUUUUUUAAAAAUAUCUUCCGAGUCUGGCUUGACAUCGAAAUUGAAACAGAGUAAUAAAUUGUACAAUGCCCAAUUCUCUUGGUCUGUGUGACAGAACGGACAUCUUGCUGAUCACUCCAAAGAAAAGAAUACGCAUUGCACCAUAAAAUAAUACAGUCAAGUAUUAUUGCGUCCCUCUUACGUACAUUAGAUUGAUACACUUUUGGAUAGGUUUCUGAAUUGAGAUACUUUGGAUAGUUUGGGCGGCUGGCUGACUCUCUCGUGCUUGGCCAAAUCCUUAAAACCACCUAAUAAAAUACAAACUAAAUUAAUUCAUGAUAAAAAGAAAAAUAAUAAGAGAAAUAGAAAUAGAAGGAAGAGACAUAUUUUCUUACCUAUGUCUUUAGAUAUGAUAAUUAAUUCACUAAUCUUCAAAAUCUAAAAUUGGCUAAAACUCCAACAACUUUGUAUAAAGUCAUUUUUAUACCCUUUGACUAAAGGACUUAUAUAUUCAUAAUAUCCCGAACUUUACAAAAUCAAUUCAUAAUCCUUGUGGGACAAGGAAUCGUAAAAUAUCAUAUCUUAAUUGAGUUCAAAAUUAACAAGCCAAUGUUAUUAUAUUGAUAUGUUUUGUAGCAUUUUCUAGAUGGUUAACGAGGGAUAUGAAUUUAUUUUAGGGGUUCAAAAAUAAAACAAAAUGGGCAUGUAACAUAAUGGGAACUAUGGAUUUGAUGCAAAUGCCUUUCGAAAUAGAUCAAAUCAUCAUUCUUGCUGUAUAAGGAAAUUUAGAGAAAAAAAUAUGGGUUAAACUUCUUUUAACUUGUCUUAUUUCUCAAUUAAUUAUCACUUAUCAUUAACUACGGAUAAACAUGAAAGGAAUAAAUACCCAUGUUGUUAAAUGAAGAUUUAAUCUCUAAAUUUAGAUAGCAUAUAUUUUUAAAUUUUGAAAAAAAAAAUGUCCCAAAAAACAUGAGGGCCAAGUCUAAUUAGACUCAAAGAUGUUGACAACUUAGAAUAAUAUUUCGAAUAAGAAUUUAAUGCAUCAAUUUGCUUUAUUAUUUAUUUGUCAACAUGUAUGCAGUAAGUUAUUAUUAUGACUUAAUUAUUUUCAAUCAAAUGUUCUACUAUAUGAUUGGAUUUAAUAUUUACAUUUGAGUGGGUGUAAUCCCCAGGAUUCGAACUUGGGUCCAAGCCUUAAAGUUUAGGACGUUGCCCUCCUAGUACCAUCUGGGCUACUAGCUCAGAUGGUACCAAGAGGGCAACGUCCUAAGCCUUAAGGCUUGGACUCAAGUUCGAAUCCUAGGGAGACCACUCUGUGAUGCCCCUGACUGGCACAUAGACUUUUUUUGCUCUGGUGCCCAACCAUACCAUCGAACUGUGCCAGACGAGGGCAUCACAGGAAUGGGCCGGACAGCGUAGAGUCUUAUAGGGCCAUUUGUUUAUUUGGCCCUUGGGUGACGUCUCCAGGAUUCGAACUCGGGGCCUUAACCCAGACAGUUGCCCUCCUGGUACCAUCUAGGCUACUAAUGUUGAGGUCUUGCGUCAUGAUCCACAUAACUACCAAAUGGACGCACACUUUCAACCAAGAUAGAGUUCUGGUUCAGUUUUCCCUGCAAAAGAUGUCCGGACAGGGUGUCCAGACACACCCUCCAAUGGUUUUUUCAGUCAUGGUUAGAGAGAUUAAGCAGUUGGCCUUUUACUAGGUAUAGCAAGCUUACCUUCCUCCUUAUGUGAAGGUCCUUAUAUAUAGUAUCAGAAGUUCUGCUUCCCUCUUUAAUGGUAGGGAGACUUUUUGACUCGUCAUGAUGCCUCUAGGUGGUGGCAGGGCUAUCAUCACCCUACAGGUGGCUGUCAGAGAUCGUGGGAAGUGACUUGCCAUCAUUCAUGUCCUUUCGCUCUACAGGUGGCGGAACGUGGGUUGUGGCAGGCUGUCGGAAUGAUGUAGUAAGACUUACUUACUUUAGUCAACGAUCCGGACAACAUAUCCGGAUAGGAUAUGCUAUCGUCCGGAUGUGAUGUUUGCGAGUGCCGUGUGCUUCUCCCUGAGGAAGUCCGGAUGGAGUCACUCCGGACAGCGAGGCGCCCACGUAUCAUAAGGGGGAGGGGUCCCUACAAUGAUGAGCAGUGCAUAAAUACAUUUCCACUUUAUUCACCUUACUAAUACUACAUUUAAAUAUGGUGCACAAAAGUUCAUCAUAAAACAAGGAAAGGAACGUGCGGAUGCUAAGUUUUAACUUGUUGGAAUGCUUGGGAUUUGGAGAAACACUUGAUUUAUCAUUUUGUCCAAGUUGGAGUAAGAUGAGCCAUUUGAAUCAAUGGUGGCCUUUUGUGCCAUCUUCUUCCACUCCAUGGCCUGCUUUUUCAUCUCUUUGCCUUUGUCUCCCUCGAUCAAUUCUCUCACAAGCCUCUCAACUUCAUCUCUCUUAACGUCACUGUCGAUCUCCGUGCCUAUGCCCCAUUCUGUGCAACAGUAGCGGCAGUUGGUUUGCUGCUCUGCGAAAAAUGGCCAGCAAAUCAUGGGCACUCCUGCACUCACACUUUCCAUAGUGGAAUUCCACCCGUUGUGAGUUAAGAACCCACCAACGGCAGGGUUGCUGAGAACUUCCUCCUGAGGACACCAACUUGCUAGCAGACCCCUGUUUUUGGUCUCUGCCAAGAAUUGUGGCAGAAGAAUGGCCGACUCACCAGACACAAUAUCCGGCCUUAUUAUCCAUAAGAAUGUUUGAUUGCUAUUUGCCAGUCCCCAAGCAAACUCAUUGAGUUGAUCUGUUGUCAGGCUUGUCACGCUUCCAAAAUUCACGUAAACAACAGAGUUGUGUUUUUUGGAGUUGAGCCAUUCGAAAAAACCCCAUUCUUCUUUCCACAGAUUUGAUCCAAUCAACUGCAAAUCAUUAUCUUGGACCUGAUUCACGAGUAGACUUAAAGGACCAAUGGUGUAAAUUGGAGGAAACAUUGGUGAAAGUGCAUCCAAAACAUCCUUCUCGCAUCAAACGUAUUGAAAAUGAGGGCAGAAGCUUUGUGGGCUCUUUCAGCCUCAUGCAAUGGAAAGUCCAGCAUAAUUUCAUUUGGGUCUGUAGUUCGAAUGAAGCUCGGGAUGUCCUUCAGACGAAUACCUCUCAUACCAGGUAUCCAAUCAAUAACGGUGUCCAGAUACCCAUUUGUUAAGUAACUGGGGUCUUCAUGUCACAGAAAAAACAGAUUCAAAAAAAAAAAAAAAAAAAAAAAAUACAAGAAUCGGUACUGCUAACUCGGAUUUGAAAAUGUAUAUGCAAAUUGGGGUUUAGGUUGAUACCUUUAAGGGGUAUAAAACCCUUGUCGAUGAGAUUGCGAUACUGCAAGUAGCCCAUGAAGCCACAAGUACUAGUUGUCCAGAAAAGAACGUCAGGAAUGGCCAGUUCUUGGGCAGCAUCAAGAGUGAAGCUCAUGGCACCAUCAGAGACUAUGCAAGUGACAGGAGGCCCGUCGUGGUUAAGUUGGGAAAGAAGGUCUCGAAAAGGAUCUAAGCAGUUUUUUCUGGUGGAGGCGCAGAGGUAGCGGAUAUCUUGGGUGGCGUCUUCAUCGGACGGAGGGAGACCAUCGGAAAUGGUUUUGAAUUGGAAGGAAGGCAGAUCAUCAAGGGAGUUGGGGCCACGGGACUUGACCAGGCGCUUAUGGUUAAACUCCGUGUUGACGAAAGUAAUAUGUAAGCCUUUGAAACAGAGGAGCUUUGCUAAUUUUAGCAUAGGGUUUAUGUGGCCUUGAGCUGGGUAUGGUAUGCAAACUGCAUGAGGCUUCUCCAUGGAGACAACUCAGCUCUUUAUCUUUGCUCUCUCUUCCAGUCUUGUAUAUCAUCGUGCCGACCCAGCUCCGGUCUUAUAGGGCGGGAGAGAGAGGGUCUCUACACAAUAUGUUUAACUCUCGAAAAAUAUUAUUAAGGAAAAAAAAUUAUUUAAAAAAAUAUUUUUUUUAUAUUUAACUUUACUAUAAAAAAUUUCAAAAAAAAAAAAUCAAAUACAAUUAAAAUUAAUUAAACUUCAUUUAUAUUAAAUUUAUUUAACUUAUUAAUAAAAAUAAUUAAAAAAUAAUUUAUUAAUCUUAAAUUUAUUUUUUACUUUUUAUUAUUUUUUUCUCUUUCAAAUUUUCAGAACCAAACACAGCGUUAAAGAACACGCAUGCAGUCAUUUUUCACAUGCGAGGAUGUUGAUGGGUGUUGUCGACCACCUAACUCUCACAGUUUAAAUAAUAUAUAUAUAUAUUUUAAAAUUUUAACUACUUUUUUUUUUUAUGUAAAAGAACCCUACUUUUACUGUACCAGAGGUGAUGUCUUUUUGUUGGAAUUAGUAUCAAAUGGAUGCUUCAUUGUACCUAAGUUAAAGCAUGCUUAAAUUUUAAUUCUUGUAUAUCUUGUUUUCUGCAGGAUAUUAGAGUAAAACAGGUUUCACGCAUUAUUGGACGAUCACGCCAUUUCUCUUCCAGAGUUGGAAAGUCCAACGGAGAGCAGAACUCGUUUUCAAUGACUCAAUUAUUUUCCGUUGAUUCCGUUGAUUAGACGGGAUAGCAUCAUGGUAGGCCAGACGGGAUUUAGUCGGACUGAAAACUCAAUAAUUUAGACGUACACAACUUUAGAAAAGGAAUUGGGUUAUUGAGGACGAGGUUCGGAAAGGAAGUGGAAUUAGGACAAAAAUAGAAGACGAGUGAAAGACUCGGUUGAGGAACUGAGAACCAUGUUGAUGAGUAAUGCUGCGCGCAAGGCAAAGAACAAAAAGUAUGAUACAAGCACCCCGAAUCCUUGCGGUUUCUCCGUGUACCCGUCUUUUGUUUCCAAGGAAAGUGACGUUGGAGUAGUGAUUAUCCUGAGGCACAUUGCGACUCCCGUAAAGAUAACAAACUGCACCCUUUCUUGCUCUUGGUAUACCAUUUCUGAUUUCCAUGAUUAGCAAAAUCAGAAAAAUUUCUCCUGUUAUAGAAUAGAUAGCUAAAUUAGAAAAGUCAAUCUGUACAUAGCGUGAUGAGGUCCCUCAAUUUCUCCCAUCUCUUUUUACUCACUCUCAAAGCAGUAGGAAAAAGUAAACUGAUCCCCAUGCUGUCGUCGGCCUUACCCAGGAUAAAAAACUGUUGAUGUGGAAUCGUGUACUGCAAAUAAAUGAAGCACAUGUUCCAUGUGGUUUCAGAUGCGUUUUGCAUGCGUAUGGACACGACAAAUUGGCUUUCAUGCAAGUAGGAUCAAUUAUAACUCAAUCUUUAAUGAAAUAUUCUUAAUAGUUUUUUUUACCAAAAAAUUAUAUACUAACUAAAAGUUUGAAGUACUUUUUAUAUGAAGAACACAGCAUUACAAAAUAUCUUCAAUAUUCAGGUACAGCAUGAGUAUUUUUUUAUUUCGUAAACAAUACGUCAGACUAUUGAAAACAACAAAUGAAGCAUCCAGAGCAAAAUAAUAGACGAGUCAGAAUUCGCUGAGUUGGGACAUUCGAGAAAGGAGUGUCUAGGGUCUAGAGAAGAGCUUGAGUGAUCAUUUUGUCCAAGUUCGAGAAAGACGACCCCUUGGGACCUCUAGUGGCCUCUUCUGCUAGAGUCUUCCACUCCAAGGCCUUCUUCUUCAACUCUUUGCCUUUCUCUCCCUCCAUCAACUCCUUCACAAGCCUUUCAAUUUCAUCUCUCUUAACAUCGCUGUCUAUCUCCAUGCCUAUGCCCCACUCAGUGCAACAGUAGCGGCAGUUGGUUUGCUGCUCUGCAAAAAAGGGCCAACAAAUCAUAGGCACUCCAGCGCUCACACUUUCAAUUGUGGAAUUCCAUCCGUUGUGAGUUAAGAAGCCGCCAACAGCCGGGUGACUGAGAACUUGCUCUUGAGGACACCAACCUGCUAACAGACCCCUCUCUUUCGUCUCUGCCACGAAUUCUGGUGGAAGAAUGGCCGCGUCACCGGACACAAGAUCUGGCCUAAUUAUCCAUAAGAACGUCUGAUUGCUAUUCACAAGUCCCCAAGCAAACUCAUUGAGUUGCUGCGAUGUCAUCACUGUGAUGCUCCCGAAAUUCACGUAAACAACAGAGUUGGGCUCUUUGGAGUCCAGCCACUCCAGACAUUCCGGCUCUUCUUUCCACAGAUUCGAUUCCAUCAACUUCAAAUCGUUAUCUUGGAUCUGACUCAUGAGUUGGUGCAGGGGACCGAUGGUGUAGAUUGGGGGAAACAUCUGAGAAAGUGCAUCCAAAACUUCAUGCUCUAGAGCAUCAAAUGUAUUGAAAAUGAGGGCAGAAGCCUUGCGAGCUCUUUCAGCCUCCCGCAAUGGAAAUUCCAGCAUAAUUUCAUUUGGGUCCGUAGUUCGAAUGAAGCUUGGGAUAUCCCUCAAACGGAUACCUUUCAUACCCGGUAUCCAAUCAAUAACGGUAUCCAGAUACCCAUUUGUUAGGUAACUCUCAUCUGCAUUUCAUAGAAAGGAGGGGAAAAAAAUAUGAGAAUCCGUAUUGAGCUUAGCUUUGAAGUAAUUAAAUGCAAAGUUGGUCAGUAUUUGAUUCAUUUGAAUGAUACCUUUGAGUGGAGCCAAACCCUUAUCGAUAAGAUUGCGAUAUUGCACGUAGCCCAUGAAGCCGCAAGCACUAGUUGUCCAGAAAAGAACUUCAGGAACGCCAAGCUCUUGAGCAGCAUCAAGAGUGAAGCUCAUGGCGCCAUCAGAAACUAUGCAAGUGACUGGAGGGCCAUCGUGGUUGAGGUUGGAAAGAAGGUCUCUAAAGGGAGGCAGGCAGUGUUUUCUGGUGGAGACACAGAGGGCGGGAAUGUCUUGGGUGGCAUCAACAUUGGAGGGAAGGAGACCAUCGGGAAUGGUCUUGAAUUGGAAGGAGGGGAUGCCCUUGAGGGAGUCUGGACCCCGAGAUUUGAGCAGGCGGUUAUGGUUGUACUCUGUGUUGACAAAGGUAAUGUGGAACCCUCUGAAAUGAAGGAACUUAGCUAGUUUUAGCAUAGGGUUUAUGUGGCCUUGUGCUGGGUACGGUAUGCAAACUGCAUGUGGCUUCUCAGCUGAGGCUAAGGAACCCAUUCUCUCUCUCUCUAUCUCUCACUUUCACUCUGUCCUCAAUUGGUAUAUGCCCAUGACAUUGGAAGUAGCUUGGGUUUUAUAGCCCCAGGAGAGAGGGUCAAACAAGUUACUUAUAUUUAUAUAUAUAUUAAAGACAGAAGUCAGAAGUCAAAUAAAUGCUGCAAUAUUAAUAUAUGUACAGCUGUAUCAGAGAGUAACUAAAGGUCAAACUUGGCUCUCUCCUUUAUCUAGGUUAACCCACCUGUCCUCCAUACUUCACGGCAGGUGCCUAAUGCUUUUCAUAGGAGAUGUACAACAGAUUCAAUAUUUACACAAUUAUCAACUUUUAAUUACCUACCCCUUUAAUAUAUUACUCUUAAGCAAUAUAAACGAUAUACAAAUACCUAUUUUUGUAAUGCAGUAGGAUCUUGACAAUCAAUUAUUUGGUCCUGAUCCUGGAACCAUGUAUCAACAGCCGGUCACCCUUUAAAAAUCAUGAAUUAGACAACCCAUGCUUUUUUCGGACAAAAAACAACCGACAAGGGAUUUCCACAACUUUUUCUAAUGGAUGAACAUACCUUUUCUGUAUCUCUUUAUGUACAUAAACCAAUAAUUUGGGCAGUCCAAAAGCUUUGCGGAUUCUAUGUGGGGCUAAAUGGUAUCAUUCAUCUUCUGUGUUGGCCCGCAGUCGACAUGGCACAAGAACUUCACAAUUUGUACUGGUAUGGAGUUUAUUUUCUUAUUAAGAAUGUUUGUCCAAACCGAUAUGAUAUAUGGUUUGUAUUUGUGAAAGAAAUAUCUUCAAAUUCUGAAAAGGCAUAAACCUAACCCCGCCGCAAGCUAAAAGUUGACCAAAGAAAGUCGAUAAGCUUUUAAAACUCGUUCCAAGUUGUCGGAUGUCCACACCUAUAUAUUAUUAUUUAUAGGUGUGCGAAUGGAUGAGAAAUCUAUUAUAUAUGAUGUUAAUGGUUAAGUCGGACCCAUACAAACAAAAGAUGAAGUCGGUAUAUAUAAUGGAAACAAAGAGGUGGAAACAAAGAGGUGCUAAUCGCUAUGAAUUGAAGACAGAAUGCAUCCACCCCAUACAAAAAUGUCGACCAUAAGAUGAAAUAAAAUAUUUAGAGAAGAUAAAUGUGAGGGCGGUGACAAGAUUGAGGAGCUUAAAACAAUGAUUAAAAUAUAGGGAUAUUUCAACGAUGUGUCUGUGUCGAUAUGAGCUAUUUACAUGCUGUCCGGCGAGUUGAAGCUUCAACCAUCCACAUUACUGUUGAGGCAAGUUUUCCCCUUGUUAAUAAUCUUACACUAUAUAUAUAUAUAUAUUAAAAGUUUUCAUAUACACUAAAUAUUUAAACAAUUAAUUAAUUAUAUUUAUUUUAUAAUUAAAUACAAAAUUUUCAUUUAAUUGAGUAAUAAAAAGUUUUUAAUAUCAUUAAUAUAUUAAUUAAAUAUUAAAAAAUUAUACAUUUAUCAUCAUUUAUUUUAUAUCAUUUAAUACAAUUAAAUUAAAUAUAUUAUAAUUUUAAUAUUAAAUAUAUUUUAAAAUUAAAUAUAUUAUAAUCAAAUAUCAUAAUAUUAUUAUCGAAUAAUAUUUGAUGUAAUUUAAUAAUUAAUAUACACUUUUAUACAUAUGUAUUAAUUUAUUCAAUAAAACAAAUUUAAAAUAUCUAUUACAUUUCUAAUUUAAUUUUUAAAAACUUUAUUUUAUAUUUUUAAAAGUUUUGAUCAAUUUUAAGUCGAUCAAUUUUUUGUAUCAAAAUAUCCAUCAAUAUAUUUUCGAUAUAUCCGUAAAAUCGAAUUAUCGAUAUAUUAGUGAUUACCGAUAAUUUUAUCAUUGGCUUAAAAGAGAAGUGAUGCUAUGGGACCAAAAAAAAAAAAUCUGAUCCUGUGAGAGAUUCCUUGGGGGGUCUGAAUGUUUUUGCUGGCUUCCUUUGCCAUUCUUUCACGUACCUUAUGUUCGCAUUCCUGGAAAGACAACUCCCAUUUUCAUUCUUUCCUUUCAUUCAAUCAUUACGAAGACCACAAACUUCAGUAUUGUACGGCUUUAUCUGGGUCUAAAUUUUCUGGUCAUUUUCUUGAUCCUUCCGUGAACCAUUGGAACGCCAUGGAGCUUAACUUCUUGUUUAUAUAUAUAUAUAUAUAUAUGAACAUCAAAUGCAGGUAAGUUAGGACAUUGUAGGGACCCCUCCCUCCGAGACACGUGGCACGCAUCUUACAGUGACACGUGGCACGCAUUGUCAUCCAGGUCAUUUUCAUCCGGACCUUCUCAUAAAGCACAAUGGCACGCUUUUCCGGACUACCUCAAGGAAGAUCAAACGACACUUAUAAGCAUAUCAUCCGGACGAUUUACACAAUGCAUCCGGAUGAUCAACAUAGGCCGUCCGGAUACAAUGGUCCGGACCACUAACUAAAGUAUAGCGAGUCUUACACGCUAUCACGACAACCAGCCAUGGCCCACGUCCCAUCACCUGCAGAGUGAAAGGACGGGUUGAGGUGACAACAAGUCACUUCCCACGAUCAUUCUACAUGAUCACUUCCCACGAUCAUUCUACAUGAUCACUUCCCACGAUCUCUAAGCAGCAGCAUCACCUACCACGGUUUCUGACAGCCGCCAGUAGGGUGGCGAUGACCAUGCUGCCUCCGAAUGUCAUCAUGACAAACAUAAAAUAUCUCCUCGCCAUUAAUGAGAGGAACAAUACUCCUAGCACUAUAUAUGAACCUUCGCACGAAGAAGAAGGUAAUCUCCAGAUACCGAGUAAAAGGCCAACUGAUUUAUAUCUCCCUCUCUAGCCAUGGCUAACAAAACCAUUAGAGAGUGCGUCCGGACACUCUGUCCGGAUGCCUUUUUGCAGGUAUAACGACUGAAUCAAGAACCUUUGUGUGUUGAGAUCGCGUCUCCAUCCAUUUGGCAACUACGUGGAAGCCCAGGAGUGCGAGGUAUUAACAUUGGCGCCGUCUGUGGGAACAUUUUUACUUUGAUUCAGUCACCAAAAAAGAUGGCUACACCUUCCCGAAGCCGAUCAUCUGGUAAAGGAGUGGAUGGAUGAUAAUUUUGAAUGACGUCAAACCAUCGAAAGAAGACAGUUGGCAAGCGAACGACAACUAAAAGCUCUCCUCCAAGAGACAGAAAGAUUGAGAGAAGAAAACACUGUAUUACGUAUCCAGGUUUCAACAUCAGGGCCUCCUCGACGUCGGCAUUCAAGGGGCCAAGUAGCAAACUCGAGGCCUCAGUAAGAGCCGGAAUCAAUAUAUCCUGGGACAACAGGGGCUAUCCCAGGGGCAUGCAACGUAAGGCCUCACGAGCCACGCACGCCUAUGCCUCGAGCUCCCCGUGAUGAAAGCUCAGACUCUACUCACUUUUCAGCAAAAAGACAACGUGAUAAAAAAUCACAGUUGUCAAAUUCGAUGCGCGCAAGACUAGGCCCGCAAGAGCCUAGAAGAUCAAGGCCACCAAUGGCCACAACCUGGGCACCACGCCCUGACCCCAUGGCCACCCCCAUGGUGCAAAACGUUCACCCGCAUCGUGACCCCGUAGUCACCCUCGUGAUGCGGAACGUUCAUUCGCACCCAGCGGAACGACCAGCUGGGAGAAACAUCCCAAACGAGCCGAUCAUUGGCUCCAUCAGCAAAAGGCUGGAUGACAUGCUCUCCACGCCUUUUUGCUCUCAUAUCAUUAAUUACGAGCCCCCAAGGGGAUUCCUCGUACCAAAGUUUUCCACAUACGAUGGAACCAACGAUCCCUUCGAUCACAUCAUGCAUUAUCGACAGCUUAUGACGCUCGAUAUUGGCAACGAUGCACUGCUAUGCAAAGUAUUUCCCGCCAGCUUACAAGGACAGGCCCUCUCAUGGUUUCAUCGCCUACCUCCCAACUCUGUUGGCGAUUUCAGGGACCUGUCCGAAGCUUUCGUGGGACAAUACUUGUGCUCCGCACGACACAAGCAAAAUAUCAGCACCCUGCAGAACAUAAAAAUGCAAGAUAACGAAUCCUUGAGGGAAUUCGUGAAGCGAUUUGGCCAGGUCGUGCUUCAAGUAGAGGCUUGUAGUAUGGAUGCUGUCCUACAGAUCUUCAAGCGAAGCAUCUGUCCAGGCACUCCAUUUUUCGAAUCACUGGCUAAAAAGCCUCCUACAACGAUGGAUGACUUAUUCAGACGAGCCAACAAAUAUUCAAUGCUCGAAGAUGACGUACGUGCAGCCACCCAGCAAGUUUUGGUUGCCGGACGGCCAUCUAGAAGUGAUGCGGAGAGAAAUACUAAGCCUUCGGAUCGACCAAAGCCGUCUGACCGAAGGCAGGAAGGGCCAAGUCGCUCGGAAAGGCCGCCUCUCACACCUCUUUCCAUAUCAUAUGAAAAACUUCUCCCCAUGAUCCAAGGCUUGUCUGACUUCAGGUGGCCAAGACCCCAAGGAACAGACCCCUCCACAAGGGAUCAUAGCAAGAGAUGUGUCUUCCACAAAGAUCAUGGCCAUACAACAGAGACAUGCCGAGCUUUCCAGUUUCUGGUCGAGAGGCUUAUAAAAGCAGGGCAUUUGAAGCAAUACCUCCGAUCAGAUAAUGGAGAAAGGGACGCAUCCCAACAUCACAACCCCGGGGCCCCUAGGGCCCCAACUGCCCCCAAGGCCAUUAUAAACUAUAUUAACGGAAGUCCAUCUGAUGAGGAGUACGACUCUAGGCGAAAGAGACAAAAAUUGUUGCGGGCCGCAUCAAUACGCGAACGCAUCAAUUCCAUCCGACCUGGGCUAACUGGAGGGGGCCCUCGCCCCAUAGAUGGGACAAUCAUUUUCCCACCAGUAGAUCCCACCAGGACACUGCAACCACAUCGCGACGCCCUCAUCCUGUCCCUGGAAAUUGGGGGCUUUGAUGUGCGGCGUAUCUUAGUUAACCCAGGCAGCUCGGCCGAUCUUAUACAAGCAUCAGUCGCUAGCCACAUGGGACACAGUCUCACAGUCCUUGAAAACCCUGGACAAAUCUUGUCCGGAUUCAACGGAUCGUCAACUAUAUCUUUGGGAGACAUUGUACUGCCGGUCCAAGCUGGCCCAGUCACUCUCAACGUGCAAUUCUCGGUAGUACAAGAGUUAUCACCCUUCAAUAUCAUCUUAGGGCGCACAUGGCUACACUACAUGAAAGCCAUCCCCUCUACAUAUCAUCAAAUGGUGAGUUUCAUCACCAGCGAGGGGCAGAUUGACCUGUAUGGCAGCCAGUUAGCCGCUCGCCAAUGCUAUCAAAUAGCACGAGAGGCAGGGGCCAACCAGGAGGAUGCAUCUCCCCCUGAACCCAACAUUGCACAUGACCAAUAGCAAUUAUUGGGUCGGGCGGACAAAGAUCCCCCGGCAGCAGAUCCUUUACAAACAAUCCAAAUUUCGAAGGAAAGCACUCACCUUACAAACAUCAGCUUCCUCAUGACAGCCGAAAAAACUCAGUGUAUGCAAAACAUUCUCAGACAGAAUCAUGACAUCUUCGCAUGGGCACAUUCUGAUAUGAAGGGAAUUCAUCCCUCUAUUGCAUCUCACAGGCUUAACGUCUUUUCAACUGCCAGACCCGUCCGGCAGAAAAUUAGGCGUUUUCACCCGGAUAGACAAAAAGUCAUCCGAAAUGAGAUGGACAAAUUGCUCGAAGUCGGAUUCAUCAGAGAAGUUUCUUAUCCGGAGUGGUUGGCAAAUGUAGUGGUGGUACCCAAAAAAGAAGGAAAGUGGCGAGUUUGUGUAGACUAUACCAAUCUCAAUAAUGCAUGUCCAAAAGACAGUUUUCCCUUGCCACGAAUAGAUCAGAUUGUGGAUUCCACGUCCAGGCAAGGGAUGCUCUCUUUCUUGGAUGACUUCUCCGGAUAUCAUCAAAUCCCCAUGUCCCCGGACGAUGAAGAAAAGACAGCAUUCAUAACGCCACACGACCUCUAUUGCUACAAAGUCAUGUCAUUCGGACUCAAAAAUGUUGGUGCCACUUAUCAAAGAUUGAUGACUAAAAUCUUCGAACCUCUAAUAGGCCACACGGUAGAGGUAUAUAUUGAUGAUAUCGUGGUUAAAAGCAAAACCCGAGAGCAGCAUGUCCUUCACUUACAAGAAGUUUUUCACCUCUUACGAAAGUAUGGCAUGAAGCUAAAUCCUUCUAAAUGCGCAUUUGGCGUAAGUGCUUGCAAAUUUCUGGGAUUUAUGGUCAGCCAAAGGGGCAUAGAAGUCAGCCCGGAUCAAGUCAAAGUAGUCAUGGAAACACCCCCUCCCAGGAACAAGAAGGAGCUACAACGACUCAUAGGCAAGCUCGUCGCACUAGGGCGUUUUAUAGCCCGCUUCACUAAUGAAUUGCGACCCUUCUUCUUGGCAAUACGAAAAGCUGGAGCACAUGGAUGGACGGACAGUUGCUAGAACGCUUUCGAAAAGAUUAAGCAUUGUCUUACGCAACCGCCCAUCUUGAGCAGCCCCAUUCCAAAAGAGAAAUUGUAUAUGUAUCUGGCGGUAUCAGAAUAGGCAAUCAGCGUCGUUCUAUUCCGCUGCCCCUCGCCCAAGGAGUGAAAACCUAUCUACUACGUCAACAGGGCAUUGGCUGACGUAGAAACCAGAUAUUCAAAAAUGGAGCUAACAGCCUUAGCCCUUCGAAACGCUGCUCAGAAGCUCCGCCUUUAUUUCCAAGCUCAUCCAGUGAUCGUACUAACUGACCAGCCCCUUCGCAAUAUUCUGCACAAGCCAGAUUUAACCGGGAGAAUGCUACAAUGGGCCAUUGAAUUAAGCGAAUUUGGAAUCGAAUUCCAACCUAGGUUGUCCAUGAAAGGCCAGGUAAUGGCUGACUUCGUGCUAGAAUAUUCCCGAAGACCCAGCCAACACCACGAAUCAAGUAAACAAGAAUGGUGGACUCUGCGAGUUGACGGAGCCUCACACUCAUUCGGCUCUGGAAUUGGGCUCCUACUACAAUCCCCAACUGGGGAACAUUUGGAGCAAGCCAUCCGGCUGGGAUUCUCUGCCUCUAACAAUGAAGCAGAAUAUGAGGCUAUCUUGUCCGGAUUGGACCUCGCCCUUGCUCUAUCCGUCUCCAAACUCCGAGUCUACAGCGACUCACAACUCGUGGUAAAGCAUGUCCAGGAGGAAUAUGAGGCUAAGGACACACGCAUGGCGCGAUACUUAGCUAAAGUAAGAGAGACUUUGCAGCAAUUCACCGAAUGGACAAUCGAAAAAAUCAAGCGAGCUAACAAUAGGCGCGCUGACGCCUUGGCUGGCGUAGCUGCCUCCCUCCCUAUCAAAGAAUCCAUUCUAUUGCCCAUACAUGUGCAACUCAACCCCUCUGUCGCAGAAAGUUCCACCUGCAAUACCAUUGAGGCACCCCAAGCGGACGGCCAAGAAUGGAUGAAUGGCAUCACAUAAUAUAUCCGGACUGGAACUUUACCAGGAGAUCUCAAACAGGCACACAAAGUCCGGGUGCAAGCUGCCCGUUUCACCCUGAUUGGGGGGCACCUAUACAAGCGAUCCUUCACAGGACCUUACCUUCGAUGCCUAGGGCAUUCAGAGGCCCAGUAUGUGUUAGCUGAGUUACACGAAGGAAUAUGCGGGAAUCAUUCAGGAGGACGAUCUCUGGCACAUCGAGCCCAUUCACAGGGAUAUUAUUGGCCAACAAUGAAGAAGGAUGCGGCAACAUACGUCAAAAAUUGUGACAAAUGUCAAAAGCAUGCUCUCAUUCCACAUAUGUCAUCAGCAACAUUGAAAUCAAUAUCAAGCCCAUGGCCCUUCGCACAAUGGGGCAUGGACAUAGUAGGACCUCUCCCAGUUGCGCCUGCCCAAAAGAAAUUUUUGCUCGUUGCCACAGAUUAUUUCAGUAAGUGGGAGGAAGCUGAAGCAUAUGCUAGCAUCAAAGACAAGGAUGUCACCAAGUUCGUAUGGAAAAAUAUUAUCUGUCGUUUUGGAAUUCCCCAAGCCAUCAUAGCUGACAAUGGUCCACAAUUUGAUAGCAUUGCAUUCAGGAACUUCUGUUCGGAGCUAAACAUCCAGAAUUCAUACUCCACACCGCGAUAUCCUCAAAGUAAUAGGCAAGCAGAAGCCACAAACAAGACCCUAAUCACUGCCUUAAAGAAUAGGCUUGAACAAGCCAAAGGAAAAUGGGUCGAGGAGCUACCCGGCGUCCUAUGAGCCUACCGAACUAUACCCAGACGGCCAACAGGAAAUACUCAUUUCGCUCUCGCAUAUGGAAUGGAUGCAGUCAUUCCUACUGAAAUAGGUCUUCCUACUAUCCGGAUUGAUGCAGCAAAACAGAGUGAUGCAAACAUGGAAUUAGGAAGAAAUUUGGAUUGGACGGAUGAAGUGAGGGAAAGCGCGGCCAUCCGGAUGGUAGAUUAUCAACAAAGGGCAUCAGCACAUUACAAUCGCAAAGUGAGGCCAAGAAGCUUAAAAAAUGGUACGCUAGUCCUUAGAAAAGUUUUUGAAAACACUGCUGAAGUCGGUGCAGAGAAAUUCCAAGCUAACUGGGAAGGACCCUAUAUAGUGUCUAAGGCAAGUGAAAGUGGAGCCUAUUAUUUACAAAAGUUAGACGGGACUCCAUUACUUAGACCAUGGAAUGUGUCCAAUUUAAAACGGUACUAUCAAUGAAAAAGAGAGACAAAAACAAAUAGAAGAAAAAGACAUAUUUUAUUGAUAUGUAUCAAUGAAUGUACAAAGAGGUCUUCGGACCACGAAAAUACAAAAAAAAAUUACAACAAAAAGUUGCAAAAAGACAAAAGCUAUCAGGGAGCAGCCUUAAAGUUUCUUCUCUUCACCCGGAGGAAUUGAAGGGACAUCCCCCUUUAUGCCAUUCUUCUUCAUACAGCAGCGAUAACCGAAGAUGAAGGUGUCAUCCACUUGUUUUUGGUAGUCCGCUUCAAGUUCCUCCCUCUCUGCAGCAAACUCCCGUUCUAGCUCUUCUUUUUGCGCUGUUAAGCGUAGCUGCAAAUCUUCUUUUUGCUUCUUUUCAAUAGAAGCCUCUGUCCGGAGUUGCCUCACUUCCCCCCCCCCCCCCCCCCCCAUCCGGGCUAUCUCAUCCUCUGCCUCAUGCAGACGGGCAAUCGAUGAUUCCUCCCGGUCCUUAGCCUCAGCCAAUUUCGCCCGAAGGGCUUCAUUGUCCUCUCGAACGGUGGAUAAGCUGGCCUCAGCCUCCGCCAGUCUCAGGCGCAACUGAUCUUCAGCAUCUUUGCGCCGAGUGGCGAAGNNNNNNNNNNNNNNNNNNNNNNNNNNNNNNNNNNNNNNNNNNNNNNNNNNNNNNNNNNNNNNNNNNNNNNNNNNNNNNNNNNNNNNNNNNNNNNNNNNNNUUUUUUUUUUUAUUGUUCAAAAGAAAUCCAAAAGGGUUUUUUGGCCCCCGAAAAUAAAAAAAAAAAUUCACAAAAAAAGUUGAAAAAAAAAAAAAGUUUUUGGGGGGCCCCCUUAAAUUUUUUUUUUUUCCCCCGGGGAAAUAGAAAGGGCCCCCCCCUUUAUCCCUUUUUUUUUUAAAACAGGGGAAAAACAAAAAAAAAAGGGUUCCCCCCCUUUUUUUUGGGGAUCCCCUUAAAAUUCCCCCCUUUUGGGCAAAAAACCCCCUUUUAAUUUUUUUUUUUGGGGAGUAAAGGGGGGCCCAAAAUUUUUUUUUUUUUUUUUUUAAAAAAAAACCCUUUUCCGGGGGUCCCCCCUUUUCCCCCCCCCCCCCCCCCCCCAUCCGGGCUAUCUCAUCCUCUGCCUCAUGCAGACGGGCAAUCGAUGAUUCCUCCCGGUCCUUAGCCUCAGCCAAUUUCGCCCGAAGGGCUUCAUUGUCCUCUCGAACGGUGGAUAAGCUGGCCUCAGCCUCCGCCAGUCUCAGGCGCAACUGAUCUUCAGCAUCUUUGCGCCGAGUGGCGAAGGUCUUCAUAUAAUCAGUGGUCCGCAGCAGGUCAGUGAAAAGAUCGUAUUGAUUGGCCAUACCACGGAGACCACUCACCAGCUGCAGGCAAACAGACAAACAAGAAAAACAAAGUUAUAAAUCACACCACAAACACAUAUCAGAAUGAGAAAGAUUCAAGGAACACAGAAAAGUAUACCGACUCCACCAUCUCGAACAUCUUGGCUGAAGGCAUAAUACUGGUCAAGCUGGGUGGAAUCUGUUUCAGCUUAUCUUCCAACUCCGCAUAGCUAAAAGGGCUAGCGGAGGUGCAAGACGCAUCAUUAACAGGAUCCCCGCCUGAUGAGGCAACAGAAGGAGACUCUGGUUCCGGAUUCGGUGCCUUAACAUUUACGACCGAAUGGGUCUCCCCGGGUGCAACCUCAGCCGGGACCAUUACAAGGACGACUGGAGGCUCAGUUGUCAUCUCCACUUCGCCCCCCUCCGGAUGAGCGUCGUGAGCGGAUGAGCAACUAACUUCGAUCUCUUGUUAACGAUCUUGAAGCCACCCGAGGAGUCCGGACCUCUGAUUGCGCGCCGAGCGCGGCCUCUUCGAAGGUGGCCCCUUCACCAGAACAAGAGUCAGACGGUCCGGAUCGUCCGAGGGCUGACUCUGGCUUUCGAUCCCCGCUUCCUCCAUCGGGUCCGCACAAACGGCUUCAACUGCAUCGACAUCCGGAUUAGGGGAGUCCGGAUGGUUGAUGGAUGCAGCUUCCUCAGCCAGAUUAGCCAGACGGGCAACCGCUGCCAAUGAGGUACUUGAGUGGUUCAGCCCCACGACGUGUCCGGAACCGCUUGAGAUAGAAUGAGGAGCAGGGUUCACUAGCUCCUCUAUUAUUACCUCCGCCUCGUGGAUAAUUGGCGGAGGAGCAAAUUCUUUGGGAGGAGUGGGCUCCUUCACUCCCUUCCCAUUCUUCACCAGCUUCUUCUUUUUCGCUGGAGCUUUAUUUGGCGGAGAGUCUGCGUCGCAUUUCUGUCUGGGAGCCUUCCGAAGGGUCCCUUCGUUUUUCUUCUUCUCCUGAUUGUCCAAGAGCGCUCGGCGUUUUUCAGCGUCAGCCUCUUUUAACGCCUGGUAAAUCGGGAGAUCUUUCACAAUGUAAUGCUCCCCAGGCACUACCUCCUUUGGCAUCUUCUUGGGGAGAAUGUUGAUGACAUACUCUUGGGGCUCUUGGACGACCGCCAUCAGGUUCCGUGCAGUCAGCAGCAUCUUGCACUGCCUCUCCUUGGCGUCUAUUUCAAAACACUUGCUGAGACAGGCAAAAGACGCAUUUCCACCCAAUCCACGAGGUAGCCCCUUUUUUCCGGACCUACAUUAACAGCAGCAAAGGUUGACAAUACCAUCCGGAGAUAUCAACAAGAAAACAACAAGGUAAAAAUCCGGACAAAAGUCGCAAAGCAAACUUACCCGGAAUCGCUAAGGAAUAGUUGGGAGAGAAGGGCCUCACCGGAUGCCUCGACCCCGCCCACGCACCCCGGACCAUCACGUGUCUCUUCGCCCCUCCAUUCGUCGAGUCUGGCAGUUCCGUCACCAAUUGAAGGGAGGGCAGGUGCGCGGACAGGCUGAAGAUGUCAGUUUUCGCCUUCUUCAGCGAAUACACGAAAAACACCUCCAGCAGCGUGAGGUCAAGGUUGUACAGCAUGUUUAUGAUGUUGCAUCCCAUCAGCACCCGGACGAUAUUGGGGUGAAUGAAGACUGGUGGAAUCUUGGUGAAAUGGAGGAAUUCCUUGAACAACGCCGGCAGAGGCAACCGGAGCCCCGCAUAGAAUUGUUCCUUCGAGAAGAUGACGGUAUCUUGUUCAGCUUUCUCAGUAGAUACGACAUCUUUCCAAUUCAAAAAUUCCACAAUCACGCCAUUUGCAAUGCAGAAUCGAUCCCGGAACUCCUUUACGCUCAGUUUGUCUGUAGGUUUCUCAUGAGCGUCGCUGGAGUGGGCAGAUGAAGUAGCUUUCUGCUUUGAAGACAUUUUCUAGCCCGAGGUUGAACUGAAACCUACAUGCAAGAAAUGCAAUAGUCAAACACAGCCAACCAACCCCACAAACCCUAAACGAUAACAAACACUCGGAAAACCUCGCACCAACAGUAUACCUAUUCCAAAAUCUUUGACUCUACCCCAACAAGAAACCCCCGACCUACAAAAACCACAGGGGGGCAACUGAAACCCUUAAAACACCCAGUCACAAACAACACUCGCCCAAACAAGCCAACAACGCCAAAGCGUACAAAAGGAAAGAACAAAGCAUAAAGAAUACGUACCGAAUGUCAGAGAGAAGCAAAGGUUGCAGAUCGCAAGGCAAGCACCGUCAAAGCGCAACAAAUCACCGUAAAAAAUUCUAGGGUUUUCACUCAAAAGAAGCAACAAUACGCACAAGGUUGACGAAGAAAGCUAUCUCAGAAAAACGCAGUAGAAAAAAGCAACAGUGAGCACAGUAUGCUAUUUAUAGGGGGACAUCCCCUCGGAAAGCCAAACGUCCAACAAACGUCAUCAUUGAAACGACAUACUGCCUGGGAAUACCCAGAGUCGGCGGCUCAUCAUAAAUGCCUUUUUGGCUCUCGCACCCCCACUCGCCACGUGGCCCAACCAGACAAAAAGUCGAUUUCGGUUUCAAAAAACCAAUUAUUUUUAACCCGCCCAUUUUUGCUCGGGCAAAAUAGGCAAGUUAAAAAGGGGGGCAUUGUAGGGACCCCUCCCUCCGAGACACGUGGCACGCAUUGUCAUCCGGGUCAUCUUCAUCCGGACCUUCUCAUAAAGCACACAUGGCACGCUUUUCCGAACUACCUCAAGGAAGAUCAAACUGCACUUAUAAGCAUAUCAUCCGGACGAUUUACACAAUGCAUCUGAAUACAAUGGUCCGGACCACUAACUAAAGUAUAGCGAGUCUUACACGCUAUCACGACAACCAGCCAUGGCCCACGUCUCAGCACCUGCAGAGUGAAAGGACGGGUUGAGGUGACAACAAGUCACUUCCCACGAUCAUUCUACAUGAUCACUUCCCACGAUCUCUAAGCAGCAGCAUCACCUACCACGGUUUCUGACAGCCGCCAGUAGGGUGGCGAUGACCAUGCUGCCUCCGAAUGUCAUCAUGACAAACAUAAAAUAUCUCCUCGCCAUUAAUGAGAGGAACAGUACUCCUAGCACUAUAUAUGAACCUUUGCACGAAGAAGAAGGUAAUCUCCAGAUACCGAGUAAAAUGCCAACUGAUUUAUAUCUCCCUCUCUAGCCAUGGCUAACAAAACCAUCGGAGGGUGCGUCCGGACACUCUGUCCGGAUGCCUUUUUGCAGGUAUAACGACUGAAUCAAGAACCUUUGUGUGUUGAGAUCGCGUCUCCAUCCAUUUGGCAACUACGUGGAAGCCCAGGAGUGCGAGGUAUUAACAGACAUAGGACACGAAAGCUACAGGAAAAUGACAUUAGAUGAGAUUUUUCUCAAUUUGGAAAGCGGAUUAUACAAUCUUUUCCAUAGUUUGAGGCUAAAGAUAUUUUGAGCUUUAACCCUCGCAAUUGUUUUGAUCAUGUUUAAGAAAAUUAAUUAGAUGUGUUGAUCUAAUUCAAAUCUUCAAUAUUGUACCAACUUAUAUUGUAAUUAAGUAUUUUUGCUUUCUUUCUUUAGAAUUUUCCCUAAACCAAACACAACCUUAGCUAUUUGUAAUUCUACAAACCUAAAAGAGUUGAGAAUCUAAGCAUGAGUUUUUUUUUUUUUCUCUUUAUGGAAAUAGAAAAUCUAGUGGAAUAAGUGGCGAUUUUGUACCAUACCAGGUGUACAAAAUCUUUCCAAAUAUACAAAUUUGAAAAUAAAUUUAUUUUUAUUAAUUUAAAAUUUUGAGAAUACGACCCUUAUUUUAUCUUCUAAUUUUUUUAAUAAUUAAUAUCUAACAAUUAAUUAAGCUUAGGCUUUGAUUUGGGCAUAUGACACAUGUCAUGAUCCUAUUUAAACACACAGAUGAUAUGUCAUAAUUAGUAACAGAAGGAAUUUAAAGAACUUUAAUAUGUUAAUAAAUGAACAAAAUUUUAAAUUUCUUAUCUUUUAAAAAAAAAUUGCUUUAUUUAGUUUCUUUUGAAUGGACUCUAUAUGACAAUUUUUUUAGUGGAAUAUUUAUCUUGGAUUUUAUAGAACAAAAUUUAAAAUGUUUAAUUGAUAAUAUAGGAUCAUAGUUGAAACAAUAAAAUUUAUUUAUCACUUAAAAGAAUUAAUUAAAUAAAUUUAAUAGAAUAAUAAAAAAUUUGUUAGGAAUAUUUGAAUUUGAAAAACCUUUAAAGAUCCAAAGUUUGUUAUGAAAUAUUCUUAAUAGUUUUUUUUAUCAAAAAAAUAUAUACUAACUAAAAGUUUGAAGUACUUUUUAUAUGAAGAACACAGCAUUACAAAAUAUCUUCAAUAUUCAGGUACAGCAUGAAUAUUUUUUUAUUUCGUAAACAAUACGUCAGACUAUAGAAAACAACAAAUGAAGCAUCCAGAGCAAAAUAAUAGACGAGUCAGAGUUCGCUGAGUUGGGACAUUGAAGAAAGGAGUGUCUAGGGUCUAGAGAAGAGCUUGGGUGAUCAUUUUGUCCAAGUUCGAGAAAGACGACCCAUUGGGACCUCUAGUGGCCUCUUCUGCUAGAGCCUUCCACUCCAAGGCCUUCUUCUUCAACUCUUUGCCUUUCUCUCCCUCCAUCAACUCCUUCACAAGCCUUUCAAUUUCAUCUCUCUUAACGUCGCUGUCUAUCUCCAUGCCUAUGCCCCACUCAGUGCAACAGUAGCGGCAGUUGGUUUGCUGCUCUGCAAAAAAGGGCCAACAAAUCAUAGGCACUCCAGCGCUCACACUUUCAAUUGUGGAAUUCCACCCGUUGUGAGUUAAGAAGCCGCCAACAGCCGGGUGACUGAGAACUUGCUCUUGAGGACACCAACCUGCUAACAGACCCCUCUCUUUCGUCUCUGCCACGAAUUCUGGCGGAAGAAUGGCCGCGUCACCGGACACAAGAUCUGGCCUGAUUAUCCAUAAGAACGUCUGAUUGCUAUUCACCAGUCCCCAAGCAAACUCAUUGAGUUGCUGCGAUGUCAUGACCGUGACGCUCCCGAAAUUCACGUAAACAACAGAGUUGGGCUCUUUGGAGUCCAGCCACUCCAGACAUUCCGGCUCUUCUUUCCACAGAUUCGAUUCCAUCAACUUCAAAUCGUUAUCUUGGAUCUGACUCAUGAGUUUGUGCAGGGGACCGAUGGUGUAGAUUGGGGGAAACAUCUGAGAAAGUGCAUCCAAAACUUCAUGCUCUAGAGCAUCAAAUGUAUUGAAAAUGAGGGCAGAUGCCUUGCGAGCUCUUUCAGCCUCCCGCAAUGGAAAUUCCAGCAUAAUGUCAUUUGGGUCCGUCGUUCGAAUGAAGCUUGGGAUAUCCCUCAAACGGAUACCUUUCAUACCCGGUAUCCAAUCAAUAACGGUAUCCAGAUACCCAUUUGUUAGGUAACUCUCAUCUGCAUUUCAUAGAAAGGAGGGGAAAAAAUAUGAGAAUCCGUAUUGAGCUUAGCUUUGAAGUAAUUAAAUGCAAAGUUGGUCAGUAUUUGAUUCAUUUGAAUGAUACCUUUGAGUGGAGCCAAACCCUUAUCGAUAAGAUUGCGAUAUUGCACGUAGCCCAUGAAGCCGCAAGCACUAGUUGUCCAGAAAAGAACUUCAGGAACGCCAAGCUCUUGAGCAGCAUCAAGAGUGAAGCUCAUGGCGCCAUCAGAAACUAUGCAAGUGACUGGAGGGCCAUCGUGGUUGAGGUUGGAAAGAAGGUCUCUAAAGGGAGGCAGGCAGUGUUUUGUGGUGGAGACACAGAGAGCGGGAGUGUCUUGGGUGGCAUCAACAUUGGAGGGAGGGAGACCAUCGGGAAUGGUCUUGAAUUGGAAGGAGGGGAUGCCUUUGAGGGAGUCUGGACCCCGAGAUUUGAGCAGGCGGUUAUGGUUGUACUCUGUGUUGACAAAGGUAAUGUGGAACCCUCUGAAAUGAAGGAACUUUGCUAGUUUUAGCAUAGGGUUUAUGUGGCCCUGUGCUGGGUACGGUAUGCAAACUGCAUGUGGCUUCUCAGCUGAGGCUAAGGAACCCAUUCUCUCUUUCUCUCUCUCUCACUUUCACUCUGCUCUCAAUUGGUAUAUGCCCAUGACAUUGGAAGUAGCUUGGGUUUUAUAGCCCCAGGAGAGAGGGUCAAACACUUUACUUAUAUAUAUAUAUAUUAAAGUCAGAAGUCAAAUAAAUGCUGCAAUAUUAAUAUAUGUACAGCUGUAUCAGAGAGUAACUGAAGGUCAACUUGGCUCUCUCCUUUAUCUAGGUUAACCCACCUGUCCUCCAUACUUCACGGCAGGUGCCUAAUGCUUUAAACACUUUACUUAUAUACAAUAUUAAUAUAUGUACAGCUGUAUCAGAGAGUAACUGAAGGUCAAACUUGGCUCUCUCCUUUAUCUAGGUUAACCCACCUGUCCUCCAUACUUCACGGCAGGUGCCUAAUGCUUUUCAUAGGAGAUGUACAACAAAUUCAAUAUUUACACAAUUAUCAACUUUUUACUUUUAAGCAAUCCAAGAUUCCCAACGAUAUAUGAAUACCUAUUUUUGUAAUGCAGUAGGAUCUUGACAAUCAAUUACUCUAAAAACUCGUUUCAAGUUGUCGGAUGUCCACACCUAUAUAUUAUUAUUUAUAGGUGUGCGAGUGGAUGAGAAAUCUAUUAUACAUGAUGUUAAUGGUUAAGUCGGACCCAUUCAAACAAAAGAUGAAAUCGGUAUAUAUAAUGGAAACAAAGAGGUGCUAAUCGGGACUUUUCUCAAUAGUAUAGUAAUUUUAAAAAGUUAUGCUUAAAUUAUUAUAGUAGAAGAAGUUAUUAUAAAUAUAUGGUAGUUUUUGCCACAUAGGAGAGAGGAGAGAGGGUGAGAGAGAGGAGAUAGGAGAGAGGAGAGAGGGUGAACGGAUAAAUUUUUUAAUUCCAUGAAAAAAAAAAUUAUAUUUUUUUAAAAAAAUAUAUAUUCUUUUUAAAAAAUUCCUAUUUAUUCAAGGGAACUCGUCUCUUCAAGAGACGAGUUCCAUGAAAAAAGACAAGGGAAAGACGAGUUACCAGGGAAAAAAAUAUAUAUAUUUUUUUUAAAUAUAUUUUUUAUUUAAAAAAAAUCCUAAAUUAAAUUUAAAAAAAUUUCCUAAAUGGAACUCGUCUCUUUGGGAAAUUUUUUUUUUUUUUAAAUAUAUAUAUUUUUAAAAAAAAAAUAUUUUUUUUUACAUGGGAACUCGUCUCUUGAAGAGACGAGUUCCCUUUAGGAAUUUUGAGGAUUUGUUUUUUUUUUUUAAUAUAUAUAUUUAAAAAAUAUUUUUUGUUUUUUUACAUNNNNNNNNNNNNNNNNNNNNNNNNNNNNNNNNNNNNNNNNNNNNNNNNNNNNNNNNNNNNNNNNNNNNNNNNNNNNNNNNNNNNNNNNNNNNNNNNNNNNAAAAAAAAAUAUAUUUUUUUAAAAAAAUAUAUAUUUUUUUUAAAAAAAUUCUAUUUAUUUAAAGGGAAUUGUCUUUUCCAAAGACGAAUUUCCUGAAAAAAAACCAGGGGAAGGGGGGUUUCCCGGGGAAAAAAAAUAUAUUUUUUUUUUUAAAAUAUUUUUUUUUUAAAAAAAAUCCUAAAUUAAAAUUUAAAAAAUUUUCUAAAAGGAAAUUGUUUUUUUGGGAAAAUUUUUUUUUUUUUAAAAAUAUAUAUUUUUAAAAAAAAAAUUUUUUUUUUUUCAAGGGAAAUUGUUUUUUGAAGAGGCGAGUUUCCCUUUGGAAUUUUGGGGAUUUUUUUUUUUUUUUUUAAAUAUAUAUUUUAAAAAAUUUUUUUUUUUUUUUUCCAGGGAAGGGACGAGUUUCCUUUGAAAAUGUUUUUUUUUUUUUUUUUUUUUUUUUUUUUUUUUUUUAAUUUGGGAUUUUUUUAAAUAAAAAAUAUAUUUUUACAAAAAAAUAUUUUUUUUCCCUAAAGGAACUCGUCUCUUUUUAAUUUAGGAUUUUUUUUAAAUAAAAAAUAUAUUUAAAAAAUAUAUAUAUAUUUUCCCAUGGGAACUCGUCUCUUCAAGAGACGACUUCCCUUUACGAAAUUUUUUUUUUUUAAAAAAAAUAUUUUUUUUACAUGGGAACUCGUCUCUUGAGGAGACGAGUUCCCUUUAGGAAUUUUGAGGAAUUAUUAUUAUUAUUUUUUUUUAAUAUAUAUAUAUAUAUAUUUUUACAUGGGAACUCGUCUCUUGAAGAGACGAGUUCCUUUAGGAUUUAUUUAUUUAUUUUUUUUUAAUUUGGGAUUUUUUUAAAAUAAAAAAUAUAUUUAAAAAAAAAUAUUUUUUUCAAGAGACGAGUUCCCUUUAGGAAUUUUUUUUUUUAAAUAUAUAUAUUUUUUUAAAAAAAAAAUUUUACAUGGGAACUCGUCUCUUGAAGAGACGAGUUCCCUUGAGGAAUUGUUGUUGUUUUUUUUUUUUUUUUGGGAUUUUUUUAAAUAAAAAAAAUAUUUUUUUUCCCAAAGGGAACUCGUCUCUUGAGUUCCUUUAGGAAUUUUUUUUUUUUUUAAUUUGGGAUUUUUUUUAAAUAAAAACUAUAUUUAAAAAAAAAAUAUUUUUUUUCCCAUGGGAACUCGUCUCUUCAGACGAGUUCCUUUAGGAAAUUUUUUUUUUUUUUAGAUAUAUAUAUUUAAAAAAAAAAUAUUUUUUUUUACAUGGGAACUCGUCUCUUCAAGAGACGAGUUCCCUUUAGGAAUUUUGAGGAAUUGUUUUUUUUUUUUUUUUUUUUUUUUAAUAUAUAUAUUUAAAAAAAAAAAAAUUUACAUGGGAACUCGUCUCUUGAAGAGACGAGUUCCCUUUGGAAUUGUUUUUUUUUUUUUUUAUUCAGGAUUUUUUUAAAUAAAAAAUAUAUUUAAAAAAAAAAUAUUUUUUUUCCUAAAGGGAAUUUUUUUUUCUUUUUUUUAAUUUGGGAUUUUUUUUCCCAGGGAACCCGCCCCUUCAGACAAGUUCCUUUAGGGAAUUUUUUUUUUUUUUAAAAAAAUAAAAAUUUUUUUUAAAUAUAAAAAAUUUUUUUAAAAAAAAUUUUUUUUUUACGGGGAAACCCGUCUUUUGAAGAGACGAGUUCCUUUUAGGAAUUUUUUUUUUUUUUUUAAUUGGGGAUGGUUUUUAAAAAAAAAAUUUAUUUUUUUUUUUUAAAANNNNNNNNNNNNNNNNNNNNNNNNNNNNNNNNNNNNNNNNNNNNNNNNNNNNNNNNNNNNNNNNNNNNNNNNNNNNNNNNNNNNNNNNNNNNNNNNNNNNGGUCCCUUUGGAAAUUUUUUUUUUUUUAAUUUGGGGUUUUUUUUAAAAAAAAACUUUUUUUUAAAAAAAAAUUUUUUUUUUUCCAAGGGAAAUUUUUUUUUUACGAAGGGUUCCCUUUGGAAAAUUUUUUUUUUUUUUGAAAUAAUAUUUUUUAAAAAAAAAAAAUUUUUUUUUCCAGGGAAAUUGUUUUUUCCAAAGACGAGUUUCCCUUUGGAAAUUUUGGGAAAUUUUUUUUUUUUUUUUUUUUUUUUUUAAUAUAUAUAUUUAAAAAAAAAAAAAUUUACAUGGGAACUCGUCUCUUGAAGAGACGAGUUCCCUUUGGAAUUGUUUUUUUUUUUUUUUAUUCAGGAUUUUUUUAAAUAAAAAAUAUAUUUAAAAAAAAAAUAUUUUUUUUCCUAAAGGGAAUUUUUUUUUCUUUUUUUUAAUUUGGGAUUUUUUUUCCCAUGGAACUCGUCUCUUCAGACGAGUUCCUUUAGGGAAUUUUUUUUUUUUUUAAAUAUAUAUAUAUUUUUUUUAAAUAUAUAUAUAUUUUUUAAAAAAAAUAUUUUUUUUACAUGGAAACUCGUCUUUUGAAGAGACGAGUUCCCUUUAGGAAUUUUUUUUUUUUUUUUAAAUUGGGAUUGUUUUUAAAUAAAAAAUAUAUUUUUUUUUUUUAAAAAAAAAAUUUUCCCAUGGGAACUCAUCUCUUGAAGAGACGAGUUCCCUUUAGGAAAUUAUUUAUUUAUUUAUUUAAUUUGGGAUUUUUUUUAAAUAAAAUAUAUAUUUAAAAAAAAAAUAUUUUUUUUCCCAUGGGAACUCGUCUAUUCAAGAGACGAGUUUCCUUUAGUUCCAAAUUGUUUUUUUUUUUUAAUUUGUGAAUUUUUUUUUUAAAAUAUAUAUUUUUUGUAAUGGGAACUCGUCUCUUGAAGAGACAAGUUUCCUUGAAGAAUUGUCUUUUUUUUUUUUUUUUUUAAUUUGAGAAUUUUUUUAAAAAUAUAUAUAUAUUUUUUUUCAUGGAACUCGUCUCUUGAAGAGACGAGUUCCCUAAUGGGGAAUUUUCUUUAAAAAAUAUAUAUUUUUUGUUUCAUGGAACUCGUCUCUUGAAGAGACGAGUUCCCUUUUUAAAAAAAAUUUAUCCGUUCACCCUCUCUCCUCUCUCCUAUCUCCUCUCUCCUUUCUCUCACCCUCUCUCCUCUCUCCUCUCUCCUAUCUCCUUUCUCCUCUCUCCUAUGUGGCAAAAACUACCAUAUAUUUGUAAUAACUUCUUCUACUACAAUAAUUUAAGCAUAACUUUUUUAAAUUACUGUACUAUUGAGAAAAGUCCGUGCUAAUCGCUAUGAAUUGAAGACAAAAUGCAUCCACCCCAUUCAGAAAUGUUGACCAUAAGAUGAAAUAAAAUAUUUAGAGAAGAUAGAUUAAGGGCGGUGACAAGAUUGAGGGGCUUAAAAGACAUGUCACUGAGUGAUGCUAAGGGCGACCGAAAAAAAGAAAUCUUAUCCCUGUGAGAGAUUCCUUGGGCGGUCUGAAUGUUUUUGCUGGCUUCCUUUGCCAUUCUUUCACGUACCUUAUGUUCGCAUUCCUGGAAAGACAACUCCCAUCUUCAUUCUUUCUUUUCAUGCAAUCAUUAUGAAGACCACAAACUUCAGUAUUGUACGGCUCUAUUUGGGUCUAUAUUUUCUGGUCAUUUUCUUGAUCCUUCCGUGAACCAUUGGAACGCCAUGGAGCUUAACUUCUUGUUUUUUUAAUAUAAUAUAAUAAGGAAAAGUGUGACAACCUCUAAAACAUGAACAUCAAAUGCAGGUAAGUUAAGACAUAGGACACGAAAGCCACAGGAAAAUGACAUUAGAUGAAAUAUUUCUCAAUUUGGAAAGCGGAUUAUACAAUCUUUUCCAUAGUUUGAGGCUAAAGAUAUUUUGAGCUUUAACCCUCGCAAUUGUUUUGAUCACAUUUAAGAAAAUUAAUUCGAUAUGCUGAUCUAAUUCAAAUCUUCAAUAUUGUACCAACUUAUACUGUAAUUAAGUAUUUUUUUCUUUCUUUCUUUAGAAUUUUCCCUAAACCAAACACAACCUUAGCUAUUUGUAAUUCUACAAACCUAAAAGAGUUGAGAAUCUAAGCAUGAGGUUUUUUUUUUUUUUUUCUCUUUAAGAAAUAGAAAAUCUAGUGGAAUAAGUGGCGAUUUUGUACCCUCAUAUGAAAUGGACCUUGUUAGAGUUUGGGAUGAAAACACGUCAAUCCCAUUCCAGGCCCACCUCAUCGCAUUGGCUAAAGAGGUUACAGGGAACCAAGUGGGGGUGACCUUAGAUGGGCCAAGUUCAGCCCAAGGUUGAUUUGCCCUAAAAUCACAAGACCAGGGCCCGAUCAACGCAGUUGUAGAUUUCACAACAGCGAUUAUCUUUAAGUAUUUGAUAUUAUAUAAUGGAAAAUUUUCUAAUUUACAAAAUGAUCAUGCGUGAUUUUACUAAAAAAUAGAUUGGAAUUUGGGCAUGAUCUUGGUUCAAUGUAUCAAGGAGAUUUUCCCCUUUUUCAAUGAUCAUGUAGAUUGCUGUUUUCAGUCAACAAAUACGGAUUACUAAAAAACUUUAAAACUAAAAAAUAUAAAAAUAAAAUAUUAGAUUUCACUUUGCUAAAUCACACUAAUUAAAAAUAUAAAUUCAAGAAAUAAUUGAAAAUACGAUGAGAGUAAAUAUUUAAUUUUGUUAUUUUUAAGUUUUUUGUUUUAAUUGUAUUUAAUUUUUCAACUAUUUUAGUUUUAAUUGUUAUAUUUAUUUUUAAAAUUUCUUAUUUUAUUGUUUAUGUCAACUAACAAAUUUUUUAUUUAAUUUAUUUUUUAAAAAAUAAGAAGAUGAAUGGAUUUAUUUAUUACAAGAUAUAAAAUCAAGAUAUUUUUUUAAAAUUAGGAUUUAUAUAAUACAAGAUAAUUUUUAGAAUUUCAAACAGAUUUGAAAAUCUAUUCAUAUUAAAGUUAUUUGCCCAUAAAUACAUCUCCAUAACUUCAAAAGAGUUGGAGAUCUAAAUUUAUUUAGAGUGAGUUCAUUUAAAAGAAAGCUUAAAUAGCCACAAGCAUUCAGGGGUUAUUGCGCCGCUUGCAAACAUGGAUCAUGUUGUCAAAGGUUGUUGCAUUGUAUUAUAGACAUGGUAUAGGAAGAGUAUAAAUAAUUUUUUUUAUAUUAUAUUUUUGGGAAGAAUCCUGUAAAUUUAUUUUAUUUUAUUUUAUUAGUUUUAUAUUUUUGGGAAGAAUCCUAUUGAGAUUGUGCUAAUGGAGUCUCAUUCCUUAUAUAAGUAAAAUCCCCUUCCACUUUGAGUCUGUUCUGAUUACAAGUAGAGUCUCAUUGGGAGUGUACAGGUCACCCCUCACUCUCUAAAUAUGAAUACCAAUUUUUCAAGAUAAUUUUUUAGAGAGUCUUUUCAUACAUCUAUUUGGAGGAAUUUUUUUUCAAAACUCGAGCCGUACAUCUCGUUUAUGCAAGAUCUAACUGUUGAAUUACACCGAGUUCGUCUUUGAGGAUGGUGAAUCUAUUUCAAGAAUAGUAUUUGUCACGCCUCAACCUAAGUUUUUCUUUUUAUUAAUUUUGUUCUUAUUUGUGUCUUUUGCACUAAUCAUUUGUUUCCAUACCUUUAAAUCUAACACAUGGAUCAAGUUGUAAAUUAAUAAACAUGCAUCACGUUGUAAGAGGUUGUUGCAUUGCAUUACAUAUAUUCAUCAAAUUAUAGGUAUUAAAAGUGUCAUGUAGAUGUGUAUAAAUUUAACUUUGAUAUAUAUACAAAAUUUAUUUCCAAAAUACUUUCCAAAAAGUUUUUUUAAACACGUCUGAUUUGAAUAUUAAUAUUCAAAGAAUAGACUUUGAAGGAGGUUUGAGUUUCAUGAAGGAAAAGAAAAACACUUUCCAAAAAUUCUUUUAUAAGCACGUGUCAUUUGAAUAUUAAUAUUCAAAGAAUAGACUUUGAAGGAGCUUUGGGUUUCAUGAAGGAAAAAAAUGAUGUUGGAGAGAAGACCGCUUCUAAUACCACCAGGUGUGCAAAAUCUUUCCAAAUAUACAAAUUUGAAAAUAAAUUUAUUUUUAUUAAUUUAAAAUUUUGAGAAUACGAUCCUUAUUUUAUCUUCUAAUUUAUUUAAUAAUUAAUAUCUAACAAUUAAUUAAGCUUAGGCUUUGAUUUGGGCAUAUGACACAUGUCAUGAUCCUAUUUAAACACACAGAUGAUAUGUCAUAAUUAGUAACAGAAGGAAUUUAAAGAAUUUCAAUAUGUUAAUAAAUGAACAAAAUUUUAAAUUUCUUAUCUUUUAAAAAAAAAUUGCUUUAUUUAGUUUCUUUUGAAUGGACUCUAUAUGACAAUUAUUUUUAGUGGAAUAUUUAUCUUGGAUUUUAUAGAACAAAAUUUAAAAUGUUUAAUUGAUAAUAUAGGAUCAUAGUUGAAACAAUAAAAUUUAUUUAUCACUUAAAAGAAUUAAUUAAAUAGAUUUAAUAGAAUAAUAAAAAAAUUUGUUAGGAAUAUUUGAAUUUGAAAAACCUUUAAAGAUCCAAAAUUUUGUAUAACAAGAAUUUAAAAGAUUUAAUUGGCAAUUAAGAAUCCUAAUGGCAAAAGGAUUUGAGCAAACAAAAUUUAUUGGCAAUUUUUUUUAUAAAAAAAAGCUGAUAUAUUUAAUUUAAUAUUUAUAAAUUCAAGUAUUAAUAAUAUUUGAAUUAAAAAACAUAAAAACAAAAAAAAAACAAAACAAAACAAAACAAAACUAAACUGGAAGACUUAUAUUUUGAAGGGUUUAUGUUGAUUGGCUUUCAAACACCACAAAAGUUUUAAUUUGAAUCUUGCAGAUUUUUGUGUAGAGCAAAUUAAAAUUUUGAUUGGUCGUUUAAAUUUCAAGUGUCACAAAAAAGUUUUGCUUUAAUUUAUGUAAGUGGCGCCGAAUUUAUUUUAUUUUAUUAUUUUUUGCUAUUCAAAAAUGAGUGAUGUUAGAAAUAUGUUUAUAAAUAAAGUAAAGAAUUAAAUAGGAGACUUCAAUCAAUGAAACUACAUCUUUUAAAGUUAUUUCAUAAAUCUAUUUCUUUAUUUUCUUCUUUUUUUCAUUAUUUUCUUUUCUAUUAUCAACCGUAUAAAAAGUAUAUGAUAAACCUACACUUUUAUCUUUUAUUUUAUUUAUAUGUAAUAAAAUUAUACUUUAAUUUUAUGGUAACUUUGAUUUUAUAUUUUAUUUAUAUAUGAUAAAAUUAUACUUUGAUUUUAUAUUUUAUUUAUUUUAUUGAAGCGCAUAAACAUACGUGGAUAUCAAUUAGAAAAUAUGUUUUUCUUUCUAGUAAAAAAUUAUUUAAAAAAUAUCAUAAUUAGAUAUUAUGAAAAAUAAGUGCAAUCCUCAUAACUGAAAGUUAUGAGAUAAAUAACAAAAUUACAAGUAUACAGUAUGCAUAUGACUUUUAAUUACUUUUUAAUUAUAUUGUAUAAUUGGAAGUCAACAAUAUUGUGUAGGUAGAAGCUAUAGAAUGAAAUAGUUCAUAACCUAAAACUAUGUAUAAAUUUACACAAUGAAUUCAUAACAUGAAGUUAUGUACAAAUUUGCUCAAUAAAUAGUUCAUAACCUGAAAUUAUAUAUAAAUUUAUAUAUUUUUUUUAUUCUGACAAAAUAAUUUGAAGUUAUAAAAAAUAUUAAUUUUUAAUUUCUAUUUUGUAUUCAUACACUUUUAUCAUAUUUGUAAUUAACAACAAAACAUAGCAAAAUCUUAUAUCAUUAUAUUUUUAGACAUUAUUUAUUUGAUAAAAUAUUGUUAAAUAAUUUUAUUAAUUUGUUUAUAUUUUAUUUCAAUAAAUUGAAAUAUUUUCUCAUUAAAUUAUUGCAUAUAUAGUUUUCAAAAAAUGUCAAGCUUGACAAAGCUUAGGUUUGUUGUCCUUGAUAUUUUAAGGCAAAAACUACUUAUCAUAAGUUCUAGAUACUAAAAUUCACCUAAAUGUAAUGAAUCUUGGAAAUAUUACUAAAAAGGAAAAUGACACAUCCUUGCAUAAUUGUACCAAAGCUUUAAUAUUCCUUGUCAUCACAUUAACGAAGGAUUAAAAGAUGAAUACCUUAUGGUAAAAAUUCCUUUCAUCAUUUGGAAUAAUCUAAGUGAACGAUAUGACCACCAAAAAAUUACAAUCCUUCCAAAAGCAUGUUAUGAUGGGAUGUACUUGAGAUUAUAAGAUUUCAUGUUUUUUAGUGGCUACAACUUAGUUUUAUUCAAAAUUAGCUCACAAUUAAAAUUAUGUGGAGAGAAAGUCAUUGAAGAAGAUAUGCUUAAAAAGACAUUUACGACUUUUCAUGUUGUGAAUGUACUCCUAUAGUAGCAAUAAUGAGAGCGUCGUUUCAUUAAAUAUUCAAAAUUGAUUUAAUGUUUUCUUAUGGUUGAACAAAAUAAUGAGCUUUUACUGAAAAACCAUCAAUCUCGUCCUAUUGGAUCUGUGUCAUUACCUAAAGCUAAUGUCCCAUAUGUCCAAACUUCUGAACAUGGACAAGAACGUGGAUAUGGAUAAGGUUGAGGUAGAGGAUGUGGUCGCGAUUGAGGUCCUAGUAAAUACAAUCCAUCACAUUGAGUUAUAGGUUUUUUUUUUUUUUUAGAAUCAAUCAUUUUAAUUGAUGUAUUAGUGGACCUUUAGGUUAUAGUUUGGACAAAUGUGUCAUUGGCUUCAAGCAAUGACACGGUCCCAACAUGAUGAAAUUAAUGGUUUUUCGGUAAAAGUUCCCUAUUUUGUUCAAUCAUAAGAAGACAUGAAAUUAAUUCUAAAUAUUUGGUGAAACAACGCUCUUAAUAUUGUUGCUGCAUGAGCACAUUUGAGGCAUGAAAAGUCGUAAAUGUCUUUUCAAGUAUAUCUUUUUUAGUGAGUUUUUCUUCACAUAAUUUUAAUUGUGAGCUAAUUUUGAAUAAAGUCAAGUUGUAAUCAUUAACAAACUUGAAAUCUUAUAAUUUCAAGUGCAUUCGAUCAUAGCAUACUUUUUAAAGGAUUACAGUCUUUUGGUGAUCAUAUUGUUCCUCCAAAUUAUUCCAAAUGAUGAAAGGAUCCUUGAUCACAAGGUAUUCACCUUUUAAUCCUUUAUCAAUGGGAUGACAAAGAAAUAUUAAAGUUUUUACGCAAUCCUACAAGGAUGCGUCAUUUCCUUUUUUUUAAUAGUGUUUCUAAGAUUCAUUACAUCUAGAUGAAUUUUAGCAUUCAUAACCUUUUAAUCCUUUAUCAAUGGGAUGGUGAAGGAAUAUUAAAGUUUUGACAUGAUCGUGUAAGAAUGCGUCAUUUCCUUUUUUAAUAGUAUUUCCAAGAUUCAUUACAUCUUGAUGAAUUUUAGUAUUCAUAACCCAAGAUAAAUAGUUUUUGCCAGAAAUAUUGAGGGUAACAAAUUCAAGCUUUGCCAAUUUUGACAUUUUCUAAAAACUAUAUAUGCAAUAAUUUAAUUAGAAAAUAUUUCAAUUUAUCAAAAUAAAAUGUAAAAAAAUUAAUAAAAUUAUUUAACAAUAUUUCAUUAAGUAAAUAGUGUCUAAAAAUAUAAUGAUCUAAAAUCCUGCUAUAUUUUGUUGUCAAUUAUAAAUAUGGUCAAAAUACGUGAAUACGAAAUAGAAUUUAAAAACUAAUUUUUUUUUAUAACUGCAAGCUAUGUUUAUUUUGUUAGAAUAAAAAAAUGUACAAUUUAUAAAUAGCUUCAAAUUAUGAACUAUUCAUUAUGCAAAUUUGCACAUACCUUAAGGUUAUAAUCUAUUCAUUCUAUAGCUUUUAACCAUAUAAUGUUGUUUUAUAUAACUUUCAAUUAUAAAGUAUAAUUAAAAAGAAAUUAGGAAUCAUAUGUAUAACUUCUUACUAUAUAUUUGUAAUGAUGUAAUUUACCCCAUAACUUCUACUUAUGAGGAUUAUAUAUAUUUUUUAUAUAUAACUUCAAGUUAUGAUCUUUUUUCAUAAUUUUUUACUAAAAAAAAAACAUAUUUUCAAAAUAAUAUCUGCAUAUGUUUAUGUAUUUAUAUACGAUAAGCAAAAUAGAAAAUCAAAGUAUAAUUUUAUCACAUAUAAAUAAAAUAGAAAAUAAAAGUAUAGGUUCAUCACAUACCUUUCAUGUGAGAAAAAAGUUUUUCUGGCAGCAAAUUCAUCACUCUUUGUUAUCAAAAAGUUUUUCUAAGGGGAAUAUAAGUUGCUCGAGUUGAUCUUCAAUAAGUAGUUUAGUAUGCAUAAAGUACUUUUUCACGUCAAUCUCUCCUUAACUAAUCAACCAUUGUUUAAGAUAGAUUGUAGAGAGUUUUAUUGAAGUCUCAAUAAGACCAUUAACCAGUGCAUUACAUAUGGAAGAGUUGUAUUAUUGUUUGAAUUCAAAGUUUUCAUAUAAUUUGUGCAUCAAAUUGUUAUAGACAUUAUUUUCAUUAUUGGUAAGAAUUUAGUGAGGAACACUACAUAGAUGCUAGUCCAAAGGAAGUUAAUAGUUGUUUCAUUAUUAACUUCCUUUAGAGUCAGUUUUGCCCAUUUGAAAAAACAAUCUAUAGCCACCAAUACACAAAUGCCUGAUCAUAUGAAGAUUUUAGUCUAAUUGAUCAUAUGAAAUUAAUUAAGUCCUCAUGCAUCAAAGGACCCAAUGCCACCCUUGGAUGUAAUGGCUCUAAGGUAGUAUCUCAUUCUCUUUAUUUAUUUAAAAACGGAUUAUACCAUGUCUAGGCCAAGUAUAAGAGCUAUUAUUGGAGUAGUUUCUUGUAAGGUAAAACAAUACGGGACGAUGUUUCAUUUAGGAGUAACAAAUCCAACCUUGAUACUACUCACUCACAACAUAAUUAUUUUAUUUAUUUAAUUAUUAAAAUUUAUUUAUUUAUUUUGAAUCUCAUAUAGAUGAUAUGCGAAAAUUAGUGAUCGAAUAACUACAAUCAAAUAAUUUGUCAUACUUGUGCAAUAAAUUACUUUGUAAUAUUUUAUUAAUAAUUUAAUAAAGCUUUUUAACAUUUUUUUUAAUAUAAGAUCAGCAUAAAUGCCAACUGUUGUGACUUUCUGAAACGGGCCGAUUAUUCGGCCUGUCAUAGAGUUACUUUCUCUUUUCAGGUCUUUUGGGUUUGAUGAUUUGGAGUGGGUAUGAUAUGUAGAACACUUGAGAAAAAAAAAAAAAUUACGAUUAAGAAGAAAUUAGAAUAUCCACACAUGUACAAUCCACUAAAAGUCAACCUUGUCAAACAACAGUUGAGCACUGCGAAGUAGAAGGGUCAAGCACUGCAGGUAGGAGGUAUUUCCUGCUGUUUACACCCAGCGCAUUAUAGCUCGCACCGGUGCUGGAAUCCACCAACAGCUCUCCGGCGUAUCCCGGAUAAGCUCCUUUCCCAUAAAUUCCUGGGCAAGCUGAAGCCACCUCCAGAGGCGCCUCAGCUGAGCCCUGGAAAUAGCCGUUUCCAAAAGGGUUGGUUACAGUUCCGGCCAGAAGAGUCGCUAUAUUUUCGACCAUGCCAUCCAACCCCACGUCCCCGUUGGGUGCAAUCAGUGGUGUUGUCUGUGGUCCGUAGAUGGGUUGGUGGAAGGGCCACGCGCAUUGGCCAGGGCACUGAGUCUCCGAGUUCCCAACCCAGAUGAAGGCUGACCUCUUUCUAGCGUCCGACCCAUGAAACCCGCAGUUGCUCAUACAGAAGCCUUCAACUGCAACGUCUUUUGCUGUGAGAACCAGAGUUAACCCACUGGAUUUGGAGCUUACAGCACGAGCCAACUCGGAAAUCUGGGAUUUCUUGAGGGUUUUGCCCAUGGAACAGGACUCAUCUGAGAUUUGAUUGGACAGUUCAAUUUGGAUCUCCCUUUUGCCAGCCUUUUUCAAGUAGGUUUGGAUAGUUUUCCACCACUGCGAGGUUGAAGGUUUUUUAGAGGAGAGAUUCUCUGGUUGAUCAUGUGGGUCGAGGGAGAGAAGAAAGUCUGCAACAAUAGAUUUCUGAGCCGGUGAGAAUUGUCCGUACCAAAGAAUUGAUACUGGGAGAUGUCCUUCAAGCAAAGCGCCAUUAUGGUAUGUGAGAGCCAUGGGUGGUGGCUGGUACAAUGAAGUUAGCUUUCUUGCGCAGAAACACGGGCUAAUGAAGAACAAGUGAAAAAUAACAACGACAACAACAAGAGAGUGUGUUUUGAGGGAGAGAGAGAAAGCCAUUUCAGAGAUAAACUAAAGAGUGUUGAUGUUCGAAUAAAGGACAGAUAGUUUAAAAUUUUAGAGAGAAAGGUUUUGGCUUGAGUGGUGUGAGAGAGAGUCAGGGAGUGGUGAGAGUAUAUGUAGGCGGGAAGGUGCAUGCACCGUGCCGAUAAACUGCCCUUGUACCUUUCAUCACCAGCUUAGCAGAUAAAAAAAUUAGAGAGAUCACGAGAAUUUGGAAAGAUGAGGUGAACGGGGAACAUCUGGCAAGAAUCUCUCUCUGUGCGUAAAGUAUUUUUUGUAUAGAGAUUAGGAGACUCUGCUGACGCUUACAUCGAUUUCAUAGAUGGUAAUGUGGCAUGCAAGGAGGGAAGUACAACCGCGACUCUUAAUGGACAAAUGGGUGGAGCUAUGGGCUGCAUGUGUUUGGAGCUGUUUCCUAGGCAGUUUCACAUUUCUUCUUCAUUAAUUAUAAUCUUUUUUAAAAGAGGAUAACUCAGAUUAAUUCAAUUGAUUUAAGGGCACCCCAACAAUUAAGAGCAUGUCUUAGCCAAGAGAGAAAUGUCCCAUUUGUUCAGACUAAAGUUGUCCACAUCAACUUGGCUUUGUCUUCUAACAUCUGCCUGAGGGCUCAGGACCUCGUUGUUGUUGCAUAAUAAUAAGUGUUUUGCAGUACUGCUGUUGGGGAUUAUGAUUUUGGUGUUUUCAAAACUCAUGUGUCCAAAUGGAGGUAGCCCAGGUUCAUAUGUACUGUAGUAAUGAUCAGAAGUCUAUCCUCAUCUAACAUGCAAUGCACUUGCCCAUACAUCAUGGGCAUUCCGAAAGUUUAGGUUCAUAUUGCAGAAAAAAUGAUGGCAGGCACUAAGCUUGCCAUGCUCUUGUGGGUCCUAAUGUUAUGUCACAUGCCUCUCUUCAUUGGGAGUGGGUGGGGUAGCUAUAAGUUGGGUAUUCUGCAAUCAACCUGGGAUAUAUAAACCUAUAGCCCAUUUCCUAUAUGCAUGUAGUAUAGUUGAUUACACAGCCUAUCCUUUUGGAAUAGGCUUUAAACUCACCUAACCAACACGGAUUAAAUUUCAUCAGCAGUACAGUCCCCUUGGCCGGUCCGUCAAAGGGUUCCCCAUCAGAGCAGUUGAAUUAAAGCAUCUCAUUAAACAUUGUUAUGGUCAUCAUUUGAUUUGACCUUUGACCUAAAAGGUUCCUUCCCAAACUUUAGUUGGAGAAUAAUGAUGGAAAUCAGAUUAAGAUUAGGAUCAAUCGAAUUGGGAGUCAUAGGAAAAAUCUCAUGAAAACAAACUGACUUGUUUUAAUUAUCCACAUUUGCAUAUCACUAAUCUGUUCGAUCUACUCAAAAGAAAAUUCAUUUAAUUCUAAAUGCAUCCCAGCGAAUUGAGACAAUGACCACACAAUGAUCACAUGUAUUUUUACUUUUAUAGCAGUCACAAACACGCUCACAUGACCCUUUUUCUAGUGUGAAAGCCUGGUACUUGGUCGGCAAGCAGACUCUGGCAAGAAAAGUGGAAUCAUCCAUUUCUUAGAGGGCGUCCGAAAUCCAAAUAGACCGUGAAGCUUACAUUUCCCAAGCACCACUCGUGCAGCUUCAAUAUUAAACUAUUCAAACUUUCAUUAAUUGGUGAAACCAUCCUCGCAAGUAUAGAAAAUAUAUGUUGAACACAUCAACUAUCAGCAGACAGGCUGGUUGCUCGGAUCGAGUUUAUUGGAAGCUGGUGGCUUAGGAGAUUAGAGGGUGUCUUCUGAUGAUGCUACGAAUUUGAUAUUGAAAAUGUCACGAUGAUAGCUUUACUUAUUCAAUGGACGCCAAAUUCAUUAAGAAAAUGAUAGUCAAUUUGUCGCCCGUCUUCUACACAUGAUUUAUGAUCAAACGGCUUAAAUUUCAUGAUCAUGAGUCAUCAUCAUUAAUUACCCUUGAACCUAGAUUUUGAGCACUUUGAAAAUGCAGAAAUAAUGGGAAGAUUGACUGUGUGAGUGUAUUAUUGAUCUUCCAGGAAGGUGGGGCAUUGACUGUUUUACAAGCAUAUCCCACAAGGCUUGCUGCCAUCUUCUCAUACAGGAAUGAUUUUUUGGAAAUGGCUUUGAAGUGAAGGCAUCUAUGUUGAAUGGGGGACAGGAUAUACAGACCAUCCAUAUUCCUCCGGUCUCCUGCUUACCUGCAUCAAUGACUUGUAACUUCAAUAAUUGUUUUUUAAAUUUCUUUCUUCUACAAACAACUUUUUCCCUUUCUUAUAUUUGAGAAUUUGAAGAAUGUUCAAAACUAUUACCAAAAAUUACAAACUAUUAUGUUAUUUAUUCAAUAAUGUUGCAUGCAGGGAUGCCACCGGGUAUGUUUUUUUGGAUGCUUGUCCUUAAAAUUUAAAUAAUAAGUUGGGGACGGAUUUAUGAUUAUUUUUUAAAAUUGGGAUGGAUUCGGACAGGUUUAGAUAUUGUUUGUCCCACCUGCCUGAUUAUUUUUCAAAAUUAAUUUUAAAUUUUAAUUUAAUUUUGAUUUUCCCAUUUUAAAAAUAUAAUAAUAAUAAUAAUAAUAAUAAUAAUAAUAAAUUACUUUGUGAUAAAAUAAGGUAUAAAAAUUAUAAUAUUUUAAUUAUUUAUAAAAUAUAUUUAUUUUAAUGUAAUUUAAAAUUUUAAAUAAAAUAAAAUAAAAUAAUUUUACAAAAAAAAGUUAAAUAGACCUAGUGGGGCAGAAGAGAGAAAUGCAUACCUAUUUUGUCCAUCCCUUCUAUUUAAUUUUUUUAAUUGGACUGAAAUAGGAAUAAUUUUGAAUAAGGGGAAUGGAGUCGGGAUGGGAUGGCCGCCCGUUACCAUCCCUGGUUGCAUACUUGCAUGUAAAUGAAUAUAAGGCAAUAGCAGCAAUUCCCACACUCACCGAAUAUUUUUCAAAUAUUGGUUCAUCCUCUGCAUGUUGGUCAAGUCAGAAUCCUUUUCUUCUGUGUAUGCCCUGGCGCAGACACUUUAAAAUUUUUUAAAUCAUUCAAGGUCUGUUUGGUAGUUUCCAUUUUGGAAAACAAACAGUAUUUUUUUUAUAUCUAAACAUAUAUGGCCAUAGAAAUGAAAACAAACACAAUUUUUUCUUUAAUUAUUUUUUCCUUUUGAAAAAACUAUAUAGUCUAUAUUUUAUAGUUGAUACUUUCUUGAAUCUCAUCUCUCAAGAAAAUAUUUCUUUUGGAAAAAUAUGAGGAUAUCGUUAAAAAUUUGAAUUGUAAGACAUUCAAAAAUUUUCAUUUGAAUUAUUAAGAAUUUCUUAUAUGGAGAAGAAGACCACCAUUUAUAAUAAUACAUGAAUUAUUGGUUAAUUUAGAUGCUUAUCCAAUUAGCACCUCAAUUUUUCUUUGAGUUUGCAAUAAAUUAUAACUUUUAGUUGACCAAUGUAUUAAUAUGAUAUUAAAUUAUCAAUUAAUUUAAAAUUUUAAUUUAUUAGGUAAUUGAUUAAUAAUAUAUUGUAAAAUAAUGGAGAAUUUAUAGAAGCCAACCCAUCAAUUUUCACCAGACAAGCUGUUUUGCUUAGGAUUAUGCAAUAUCUUCCCAUAAUAAAUUAGAAACUAUUUGGAUGUUCAGCACUUAAUUAGGUUACAAAAAAUAGCUUAAUUUUCAUUGGCCGUGGAUGAAUCGCUUAUCAAUAAUUAGUCUCUGGAGCCUGAUUUUCAGUACUUUCAAUCAGAGAAAUAGCAAGAUUGACUCAGUCGAGAUAUUAGUUGUGUUAUUGUCCUUGAAUGAAGGGAGGGCAUGAACCCUCAACAUAUCCACAAGGCCUGCUUCCAUCUUCUCAUACAAAAAUUGAUCUGUAAAUUGCUUUAAAAUGAAGCAGUUAGGUUGAAUGGGGGACACGAUGUGCAGGCCAUUCAUAUUCUUCUGGUCUCCUCUUCGCCCGCAUGCAUGACUGGUAACUUCAAUUAUUGAUUUCCAUUAAUUCUUCUUGCGAUAUAUAUUUUUUUCCCAUCUCUUCUAUUUGAGGCUUUUAAGAGUACCCAUAGCUUUAGGAAUCAAAAUAAUUCAAAAACAAACAAACAAACAAACCCAUCCUUCCAUGUGAAUGAACAGCUUCCAUAUUCUUCCAGCUUCAAAUUGAAUUUUAGAUUCAAUUAAUUGAAAAACUAUGGCAUACUUUCAUGCCCAUCAGACAUCCAAGCAAGAAUGUAAUCUUGCUCUGAUCCAAAGGGAUGAGAAGAUGAGUGCAAAUGGACAAGUACAGCUACAAGCUCUCCACAUUACAGACAAAAAGAAUCCCUUAUGAGGUGAAAGUCAAGAAAAUGAGCAAGCAAUCUAGGCUUAGAUUCACGAGACACACCACCCGUGCCCCUACAAAGCCAUAUUAAACUGAGGAUAAAGCCUGCACCACCACCAGACACGGCGUCGAAUUUAAGAAGAGUAAUGCAAAUGGAUGCAUUAUCAAAACAUUUCAACGUUAUUAAUAUAUAGAGUUGAGAUAAGGUAGUUUUAUAAUCACAUGGAUUAAUUAGGAGUGAAUGCCUCGUGGCCCGUGGGUGCUAGCUUUUGGAUAAUGUUUUAAGAUAUCGUUGCCUGGCUCGUGAAUUCUAGGUUUUAGUCUUUUAGAUAGGGUGACGACUGGCCUCCGCCCUCCGCCCUCCGCCCUCAGCUCACCUUUCUCUUUACUUUGAUUUCCACCUAAUUUGUUUUUAUCAGGCACAAAUCCAAAGUCCAACUAAGAAGCUUCCAUUCACUAUGUCAAGCUAUCCAAUAUCAUCAUCAUAGAUUCAUAGCUUCCCUUGUCUAUUUCUUGGAAAAAUCUUUCAGGAUUUCAUUUAUUUUAUAAGAAAUUUAAUGUUAAAAAGUUGUAAAACAGUUUAAUAAACCAUACUUAAUUGCCACAAAACACCAUUCAUACGUCAUUCAUAUUCUAAUUAAAAAAAAAAUAAUUUCUUCACUGAGAAUUGAGAUUGCAAACAUUGUUUUGAUGAAAGAAUGUAAAAUUAUAUCGAAAACGAUGGGAUAAAUUUUUUUAUGCUAUUCUGAAAAUCAUUACCAUAUCAAAUUAAAAAUAUAAAUUUAAAUAGGAUUAAAAUUUUAACUAUGAGUAACUUUAAAUUUUCAAAUGUAAUUUGAGAAGUAAAAUUUAAUUUAAUAUAUUCAUUUGUAUAUCAAAAUUAGAAAAAAAUAAUCUUUCACAACAUGUUUAAAAUUUAUGUCUAAAUUAAAAAAAUUAUCAGGUACUUAUAAAUUAUUUUUCAAAUCAAUACUCCAUUUAAAUGAAUAUAAUGAAUUUGCUAUUUAUUAAACUUUCAUUUGGGUACAUUUUUAUAUUUUUACUUAAUUUCUAUCUAUAAAAUGUAGAAACUUUAAUAGAAAAAAAAUUACAAAUUUAUUUUUUGUUUUAAAAAAUUAUUUUUUAAAAUUCUAAAUUUUUAGAUGGUAAUUUUUUUUAAUACCUCACAAUUUCCAAUCAAUUUUUAGAAACCUUUUAAGAUUUUUUUUAAUAUUUUAUAUGUAAGUUACUAUUGUUUUUUGUUUUUUGUUUUUAAAUUACAUCUAAUACACUAACGCUCAUUUAGACGCAUUUCCUUCUUUUUUUUUUUUUUUUUUAAUGAUAAUAACUUUUACAACAUAUUAUAAUAGCUCCUAUGUAAAAGAUAUACACAUUUCUUGUGAUUUUUUAAAAUUUUGAGAUAAUAAUUUUUUUAGUGGCUCUAAUUUCAUAAACAAAUUUUUAAGUAAAUUUCUUGUUACAGAAGUUAUUAUUUUAUGUUUCUAAAAUAAAAAAUUGACAAAUGUAUCCAAAGUACUCAUUUACAAACUCCAUCUAUAUCAACAUUUGGAAUAACAAAAAAUAAAUUAAUCUGGGUCUUUUGGUCACAUUUUUAUUCUUUUAACUUAAAAACAAAUUUAAGAAAACAUGGUUAAAUGACCCAUGUUUUCCUUUUGAUUUUAAAAAUUGAUAAAAAAAUUUCUACUUAUUUUUAAAAAUUAUUUUUAAUUUCAUUUUUUUUAAAAAAAAAUUGUUUAUAAAGAAGAACAACCAAAUAUUUUUUUUUUUAAAUAAAGCUCUUUUUAAAUCACCAUGAAACAUGCUUUUAUUUACCACAAAAUAAAAAAACUUUUAAUUUCUUAAACAGUUUUUCAUUUAAAAAAUUUAUCCGUGUAUAAAUUUUGAAAUUGUUAGGAGCAAUGGCUUUUAAUCAUUUUGAUGACAUGCCCCAAAAUCUAAAAUUUUUAUUAAGCAAUUAAAAUAUCUCUGAGAGAUAUUUUUGUUCAAUGAAUCAAUGGAAUGGAGUGCAUGAGAAGAUAUUCAAAUGGUGUACAUGAGAAGACAUAUCAUGUUUGGUUCAAUGUUGGGGAUUAGAAAUGACAAUGAAACGAAUUGUCUCGUCCCGUCUCCAUCAUUCAAGCAUAGUAGUUUCAUUCCCACCCAAAACGCCAUCCUUACCCUGGACUACACAUCUUACUUACCCUCCACGCCUUUUACAGCUCAGCUCUCUCAUAGACAAUGAUUGGCAUCAUUAUUUGGAAAAGAAAAAGGCAGACAAUAAUCAUCGAGACAAAAAUUAAUAAAACAUAUGUUAAAAAUCCAACCUGUAAGGCUGUAACCCACCAAAAGUCCCUGAGAAGGUGCAGGGGAAAUGCUAGUAUGAUUUUGUGCACACAGUUGAUUGAGGAUUGCCAUGAAACUUAAUGUGUAAGUCAAAAUUCUAACCACUACGGAAAUAAAUCUUAAAUGGAAAAUGAAAAAUGAAAAAUAUUUGAAUAAAAGAUAUGUUUGGAGAAACAAGUCUAUCAUAAUUCUGCAUUGGUAGCAUUAUUUGGAAAAAAAUAUAAACCAUGGCUUAUCUUUUAUUAACCUGCAUUGCUCAAAGCAGUAGUAACCAAUUUUUUUUUCUUUAUUUAGAUUGGUCAAUUUUAAAUCUUGAAACACGUAGCCCCACACGUGACCAGCAAAAUGGCUUGGUACUAGGAAAAGCAAUUUGUGCCCAAAACGUGGGAGUAACAAAAUGGGUAUGAGACUUUUAGUUUUAGUCACUGGGGAGAGAAUUUUGGCAGCAACAAGUUUCUUCUUUCUUAACAUUACAGUCUUACAGAGUAAACUUAGGGCCAUGCUACCAGGGAGAGGCAAGGGAUUUGGCCCCAAAAUGUACGAUUUUUCUUUGUUAAAUCAAUGCAAACAACUAUCACCCAUUAAUUUUAAUGAGUGAAAUCAUUUUACUCCAGAAAUCAGAAGUUGCAAUAGAGUAGUAAUAGAAGGCGUUCAUAAUUUUGGGUUUAAAGUGGGAAGUUAAUUAAAAUUUGGGCAAAACGUGCUUACUGGGGGUAGUGGGCAAUAAAGAAGUGAAUAGAGGUGGUAGGGGAGCUGUCAUCCAGCUGGACUCUCAAAUGCAAAAAUGGGUAUUCGUUUAUCCCAACUCACAAGUCACAAGUCACGAGUAGUAUGUGAAUUGGCAAUGGCAGCUAAUGACUCAUGAGAAAUGGCAGAGCGCGUCAUCUCUCCUUCUCGCCUCGGAUGCUCACUGUCACACUGUUUCCCCACUCUUUUAUCAACCUCAAGGUCCCAAUGCUGACUGCCAGUUGGAUCGUCCGCGCUUCCCGAUAUUAUUUCUAUAUUGAGCCCCAAGCCCCUUCCAGCCUGUCACCUUUCCUACCUUCUCCAACGUCUCUCUCUGCCUUUUUUGCUUUUCCCAUUCAAUGCCCUUCACUCUCUCCACCGCUACGGCUCCACAGUACUCAUUCUGAGGCCUACUUUGGUCAAAUCAAAAGUCCUCUCAAACUGUAUCCAAGCUGUAUUUAGGUUUUGUCCUGUAGCUAUAAAAAUUGAAAAGGAAAGGAGAAACUGACUUUAACAGGGGCACUCCUCUGGAAACUUUUAAAAAAGUGCCGGCUGGCAUUGCCCUUUGUGUUCUUAAUGCAUACAAAAGUGCAAAUGGCUUUGUGAUUUUUCUGACUGGAGCGUGUUAUUUGGGGCCUCAGGUUUUUUAUAGAACCGCGUUGGAGAGUACCGUUGCCUCUCUCAAACUUCAACUGCCCCUUGCAUCUUUCUGAGCAGGUUCGAACGAGGCCCCACCGCACAGCCCACUCCUUCGAUUUAAAAUUGUGACACCAGACGGUCUAUAUAUAGAGACUCACACCCCUCUUGUCUCUACACAGACUCAAAACCACAUCAGCAGCCUCUCCUCCUGCUUCAUUUUCCUUGUCCACAACAUUUCUCUAUCUGCGUUCUAAAUAUGGUUUCUUUUAUCUCUAUACGCCAUUUUCUGCCAUUCCUCUUUGUGAUCUCUCUGUUCCAUGUGAGCUAUGCUGCGAGGAAGCUCAAUGAGCUGGUACAACAGCAGCCUCUGCUCUUGGAAUACCAUAAUGGCCCUCUCCUCUCUGGAAAAAUCUCUAUAAACCUAAUCUGGUACGGCAAAUUCAAGCCUUCCCAGCGGGCUAUCGUUUCAGAUUUCAUUACCUCCCUUUCUUCUUCUUCCCUGUCUCAGGACCAGCCUUCCGUUGCCACCUGGUGGAAAACCACAGAGAAGUACUACCACCUCACCUCCAAGAACCCAUCUUCACUCAAGCUCUCCUUGGGCGAACAAAUACUCGAUGAGACCUACUCGCUCGGGAAGUCACUCACAGGGAAGCAAAUCGUUCAGUUGGCUUCCAAGGGUGAACAAAUGAACGCCAUUAACGUGGUUUUGACCUCCUCUGAUGUGGCCGUGGAAGGGUUCUGCUCCAGCCGCUGCGGGACUCAUGGAUCUUCUUCGAGUUCCAAGAAUGUUCAAGUCAAGGGCAAGAACUACAAGUUUGCAUACGUCUGGGUUGGGAACUCUGAGACUCAGUGCCCUGGCCAAUGCGCCUGGCCCUUCCACCAGCCCAUCUACGGACCCCAGAGCCCACCGCUAGUCGCACCGAACAACGAUGUGGGUCUGGAUGGCAUAGUCAUAAACUUGGCUAGCCUCUUGGCUGGAACUGCGACCAACCCUUUUGGAAAUGGCUACUUCCAGGGUCCGGCGGAGGCGCCCCUAGAAGCUGCAUCGGCUUGCCCUGGGGUUUACGGGAAGGGGGCAUACCCUGGGUAUGCUGGGGAUUUGUUGGUGGAUUCAGUGACUGGUGCUAGCUAUAAUGCCCAUGGUGCCAACGGGAGGAAGUACUUGCUUCCUGCCUUGUAUGAUCCUUCUACAUCCUCGUGUUCUACUCUGGUCUGAAGCAGAUUAGUGUCUUGACGACAGAAACUUCGUAGAAUUUACAGGCCUUAGAAAAAUCCAGAGAGAUACUGUUAUUCAUUCAUUUAUUUGUUCUUCCCGUGGUAGUUUCAAUAAUAUCAAAGCAAAUUGGUUUGGUUUGCUUUUUUCACUUGAAUGCAUCUUUCCAAAUUACAAUGCCUCAACAUGAAUGAAUGAGGUGAUUUGUUGCAGUGUUGAGGAUAUUCCCAGUGAAAUGGGUUCUACUCAUUGAGAAUUACUUUAAUUACUCUUAUGUCCUUCCUUCUCAGUGGUUGUACCUGUGCCAGCGCUUAAAGCCGUGUGCAGUAUGUAUAAAGGCGUGGCAUAUGGAAUUUUAUCUCUUAACAGGGUAUUGGAUCACAAGCACCCCCAACACAAUCACGGGAUUGAGGCGAAAUAGACAUAAUAGCAUCCUCCCACGUAGAAAUUGUUGACUUUGAUCCUCAAACAAGAAAUUGUUAAUACCUAAAUAUAAGAUUCUAACAAUUUUAAACGGAUUUACAUAAUUAAGAAAAAUUUAUACAUAAUUAAAAAACGUUUAGUCACGUCUAAAAUUUCCCGUUGGAUAGAAUUAUUAUUUUAUCAAGAGCUUUCAUACAAUACCAAUGCCAUUUAAUGUGCCGAUAAUAAUAACAUUAUCUUAGCAAUGUAUAAUAACAUUUGGCACUUUCAUCUUUACGUUUGCCUUAAUGAGUAAAUUACCAAUUAAAAAUAUUGCUAAGAAGCUCUAAACGGCAUUUUGCAUUGGAGAUGCUCUAAAACAUGUGUUAAUCACACAUUUCUAAGUCUCUUAACUCUGGAUCUACUUCAUUAAAUCAGGAAUUGUGAGGUUACCAUUAAUAGUGAAAAAUGAGACACACACUUCCCAAUUAUCUUACUAUUAUAACCUCGGAUUCUCCGCCGGCUUGGCUGAAUCUAAGUACUGGGUGUGAGGGUUUAUAAGUGGAUAUACUCAAGGCAACUAAGCCUUUUUUUUUUUUUUUUUUAUGAAGUGAGAUCUUAUACUUUGAAAAGCAUUGGAAGAUCAACUAAAUCUAUUUUUCUACGGAAGAAGUGAGAUCUUAUAUAUAUAUAUAUAUAUAUAUAUAUAUUCUUGUUUUGUAUAAGUGGAUAAUUUAUUUUCCUAAGAUAAUUUAUUCCUAAGAAAAUCUUACUUCAAGUAUUUUAUGGAAUCUAAAAAUUUAAAAUUUUUAUUUUUAUUUAUAAUCUAAAUGUUAAAUAAAAUUUUAAUAUUAAUUUUAUAAUUUUAUACAAAUUUAUGAUUUCUCAUUUUAGUAAGGGAAAUUUUUUUUAAAAUUAUAUAAAUAUGAAUUUUUCUUCAUUAUUUAGAAGCCGUUAAUGUUCUUUUGACUCACACGCAUAUAAUAUCUAUCCGAUUAAAAUUGCACCAUUAAUAUGUUUGUAAUAUCUCAUGUUAAUGUUCUUUUGACUCAAACGCAUAUAAUAUCUAUCCGAUUGAAAUAGCACCAUGAAUAUGUUUGUAAUAUCUCAUAUUGAUCGGGGAAAAUAGAAGAUAUUUUUUUAUGCAAACCUCCACAACCCGCUUAAAGAACGAAGAAUCGAAACCAUUUAAUGUACGCGUCCGGACAGAUAGUAAUGGAGCAGAGCCAUUUCCAUUUCUCUUUCUUCAGGUAUGCACUAACCAGGAAGCACCCAACUUUCUCCCUUCCCAUUUUCCUUGUUGGAGUCAGCUGUCUUCAGUGUCCGUAUCUAGUUUUUGUUCCGCUAUCACACUCCUUUUUGUUCCGCUAUCACACUCCAUCUAGUUAUGUGCCAUAAUUCCCUUUGUCAUAUUCUGACGGAAAAACCAAUUAAAUCCUUAAUCAUCAAGCUAAAACAUUUGUUCUUUGAAACUACAAAUUUAGGCUCUAUGUGGACCCCGCAUUUCGGCUUAAUGCGUUUCCCACUCGAUGACGAAACUCGAUUUUUAUUUGAAAAAAAUUGAUUUUUAUUGAUUAAGAAAAAUGACUUGGAGUCGUCACUUAUUUUUGUUUUAUUUUUAAAGGGUAAACAAAAUAAGAAAGAAAAACCCUAAGUGUAACUCCUUAUUUUGGAAAAGGUGGUCUGUGAAAAACCGGAUCGGGUUCGGGGGUUAGGUUACUUAUCGGGAAGGUACGGUAAAGACCAUAGCACCCCUCUAAGUCCCUAAAAACGGGUCUCUACUAAUAAAAUGAAGCUAACAUGGCAACCAAUGAGAAAGUCAAUGAAUACUCAAAUCGAUCAUGCACGUAUGAGUAUCAGAAUAUGCAAUAGAGGAUAACCGAAGUGAAAGUGGAUGCGUACCUGAUCAGCAAACGGCAACGCGCUGAAAGAACCCUUUUCCAGUAAGGCUCUGUUUAGCUGUCAAUGCCUUCAAUCCUCCUCCAAUGUCGACAAAGCCAACCAGCUUACCCUUCUGAACAGCACCCCCUCCUCCUGCAGCUCCAAUGAACCCCUCCGAAGCUCCCUUCUCCUCUCCAGCUCAAGAGAUCACUCUCUCAGCCAAAAGAUUUCUCCUCUGCCCCAAAAACUGCAAAACCCCCACAACCUUCCAAAAGCAACCUCACUUUCUCAGAAUCCUUCCUCCCUUCCUGCCUCAAAAUGACUAAACAAAAGCUCUCCCCUCAAAAGAUCUCUGCAGCCUCCAACUUCUCUCUCCCCUCGUUUUUCCCCUCAACCCUCCGUGUCAAGAUAUCUUCACCUCUUUUACUAAAAGCCCAUCUCUGAAAAGCAUCUCCCUCUCUGAAAAAAAAUCCCCAACGGCAGCCCAGACCCCUUCUCCUGCAGCUGGCCUGCUGCUCCUCAACAGAAACGUACCUCCUCUCUAACGGCCAGAAUAUCUCCAUGCCACGUGUCAAACUCUCACUCGCUCCUCAAUUCCACCAUCUGUUUCUAUGACCACCAACCACGAGGCGACACGUGGCUCCUUGAGAGCCCUCCACCUGCAAAGAAUUAUAACCUGUAGAGAUGCAAAGGAAUGAGCCCCAAAUGGGGGUCUACACUCUAAUAUUAAAAUUUAUUUUUAAAAUAAAAAAAUAGAUACUAUAUCUAUUAAUGUUUAUUACUUAUUUUUAAGAGUUUUGGGUCAAAAUGGUCAUUUUAAAAAAAAAAAAUUGUAACAUCUAACCACUCUUUGAAACUUAUGUUCAAAUUAGGCUCUUUGGUACCACGUAGACGCCGUCUUCAUUAAAAAAUAUUUUUUUCAUCAUUUUAGUUAAAGUCGCAGUUGAUAAUCGCGAUUUCAUUUUUGAACUAAAGUCGCAGUUGGCAAUUGUGGCUUCAUUUUUAAACUAAAGUCGCAGUUGACAAUUGCAGUUUUAUUUUUGAAAAAACUGUAGUUGUCAACUGAGACUUUAGUUAAUUUUUUUUUAAAAUUUAAAAUUUAAUUAAAAAUUAUUAAAUUACAAAUUUAUGAUUGAAAAAUUAAAAUAUACUUAAAUAAUAAAUUAUUUAUAUUUAAAUUUAAAAAUCUAGUAUUACUUCAGCAAACAUAAAUUGAUAAAUAGAAUAUAUUAUAAAUGAAUAUUUUAUUUAUUAAUAAAUUAAUAAUCUUAAAAUAAUAAACUUGUAUAACAUAUAAAUAAUAUAUAAAAUUGUAUAAUUUAUUAAUUUAAGAUAUUUAAUUUGUUGUUUUUUAAAAUAUUAAUUUAUUUGUAUUAUGAUAAAUUUAUCUUUAUCGAAAUAAUUGUAUACUUUUAAGCUGCAAUUGAUAACUAAGAUUUCAAUUAUAAUUUUUUUUACUUUCAAAUUUAAUUAAAAACUAUUAAAUUACAAUUUAUGAUUGAAAUUUAAAAAAUAUACUUAAAUAAUAAAUUAUUUAUAUUUAAACUUAAAUUAUUUAUAAGAACAUGUUCAUAUUUAAAUAUAAAUAAUUUAUUAUUUAAGUAUAUUUUUUAAAUUUCAAUUAAUUUUUAAUUAAAUUUGAAAGUAAAAAAAAAAAAUUAUAAUUGAAAUCUCAAUUAUCAAUUGCGGGUUAAAAGUAUAUUAUUAUUUUGAUAAAGAUAAAUUUAUCAUAAUACAAAUAAAUUAAUAUCUUAAAAAACAAAAAAUUAAAUAUCUUAAAUUAAUAAAUUAUAUAAUUUUAUAUAUUAUUUAUAUGUUAUAUAAGUUUAUUAUUUUAAGAUUAUUAAUUUAUUAAUAAAUAAAAAUAUUUAUUUGUAAUAUAUUUUAUUUAUCAAUUUAUAUUUAUUAAAGUAAUACUAGAUUUUUAAAUUUAAAUAUAAAUAAUUUAUUAUUUAAGUAUAUUUUUAAAUUUUAAUCAUAAAUUAUAAUUUAAUAAUUUUUAAUUAAAUUUUAAAUUUUUUUAAAAAAUUAACUAACAGUUAACAAUUACGACUUCAAUUAAAAUGACGAAAUUUUUUUUUAAUAAUAUAAUAUUUAGGUGUUACCAAAAAAAAUCAAUUUGAACAUCAUAAGUCUCAAAGUGGCGGAUGUUACCAUUUUUUUUUUUUAAGGUUCAUUUUGACCCAAAACUCUAUUUUUAAAAUCUGGUUUUCAAAACAAUCAUGGAGGAUGAUGAGUUGUUCUCCAAAGACGUUCAAAUAAAUGUAUUUAUAAUUUAGAAAAUGGUAAAAAAAAAUAACAAAAUGGAAGAAAAAUAAUAAAGAAAAGAAAAGUUUGACGAUGAUAAAAAGUCACCCCUAGGCUCUUAAUGUCCUUAGCUGUAAACGUAGGGUUUUUGAUUUUUCACAGCGAAAGACAGAUCCGCACUCAACCAGAUUAAUUUCGAACGCGCUAUUGAGUAUUGAGCUGGCAUUUGCUUCGCUUUUCGCCUUUUCCCUUCCUUCUCGGCACUUUCAUUCAUACCCUCCCCCUCGCUCCUCUCACGCUGUUGGUCACACUCUCCCCACUGCCUAUUUUACUAUAUAUAUGAAACCCCCAAUUCAUCUUCUCCUCACUCCAAAGUUCCAAACCCCCACCAAAGCCAUCUAUCUCUACAGCUUAGCUUCACUGCACUCUAAAGUCCUAACUACCAUGGCAUCUUUCGUUCCUACUCAAUGCCUUUUACAACUCCUCUUUGUGGCUUCUCUGUUUCCAUUCAUCUCAGCAGCCAGGAGACUUGCUCAAGACCAGCAACCUCUGCUUCUUCAAUACCACAAUGGCCCUCUUCUUUCCGGAAAAAUCUCCAUUAAUCUCAUCUGGUACGGAAAGUUCAAGCCUUCCCAACGCGCCAUUGUUUCUGAUUUCAUUACCUCCCUCUCUUCCUCCAAAACCACCCCCCACCAACCCUCUGUUGCGGCGUGGUGGAAUACCAUCGACAAAUACUACCUCCUCAUUAAGUCCAAGAAAUCCACCUCCCUCGGUCUCUCCCUAGGCACCCAAAUCCUCGACGAGAACUACUCUUUGGGUAAAUCACUGACCAGUCGAAAUCUCAAACAGUUGGCAGCAAAGGGGCAGCAGAGCAACGCCAUUAACGUAGUCUUGACAUCUUCUGAUGUAGCCGUUGAAGGGUUCUGCUCCAGCAGGUGCGGAACACAUGGGUCUUCUCCCAGCUCCAAGACUGCUAAGGUUAAUGGCAAGAUCUCCAAGUUCGCAUACAUCUGGGUGGGUAACUCCGAGACUCAGUGCCCAGGUCAAUGCGCAUGGCCAUUCCACCAGCCCAUUUACGGACCCCAGAGUCCACCCCUGUCCGCACCCAACAACGAUGUGGGUAUGGAAGGUAUAGUUAUGAACCUGGCUAGCCUCUUGGCUGGAACUGUUACGAACCCCUUUGGAAAUGGAUACUACCAAGGUUCCGCAGAGGCUCCCCUGGAGGCUGCAUCGGCUUGCCCUGGGAUUUAUGGGAAGGGCGCGUACCCUGGCUAUGCCGGAAAGCUGUUGGAGGAUCCCACCACAGGUGCUAGCUAUAAUGCCAAUGGUGUGAAUGGGAGGAAGUACCUGCUUCCUGCAUUGCUUGAUCCUUCAACUUCCACCUGUUCUACUCUGGUCUGAUAGACUGAUACUACUAUGCUUCUCUAAAUUCAUUUAGUUGUAUAGCACGGAGAGGAUAAGCGAUUCUUUGUUUGUAUUUGAUUAAUUACCAUUAUGUAUUCUUUUUCCCGUCUGAAUAAAUGAAAUUCCAAUGUUUUCUUUCAUAUCCAAACCAGCUCAGCCUUCCUCUGAUAUUUUUUCUUCACAUCCCAAUCCCAAUCCCAACAAAAGCCGCACUGCGCCCUCCUCUGCUAUUCAAACUCGUCUGUGGUCAAAAUCAUUAAUGAGAUCCACCAUUGGAGAAAGCUUUAUAAUAAGGAAAGUUUUAAGCAAAACCUUUAGGACAUGGAAUGAUCUGCUGCUUUUCUCGUCCUAUAUUUUUAAUUUUUAAUUUAAGACUUGAUUUUCCAACCUCCUCUACAUGCCAUCAUUAUUUAUUCUGAAGUUGCAAUUGAAAGAAACGUUUAUAGCACGUUUUGCAGGAAUAUUAUUAAUAAUUUAACUAUGUAACAUUCUCAAAAGGCAGUCUAAGAAGAUGUAUACUUCCAACCUUGGAUUUUGUCACAAUUAUUCAUGGCCCGGCCUCCACAUGAAAUUCUAAUAGAUGUUCAAUAAUUCAAACGGAAAUGUGCAAUAGAAUAUGUCAACCCUUCAAUGUGAGGAUGGUUUGGCUAAAAUUUUAGCUUAAAUUAAGAUUUUAGAGAAUAUAACAUCAUAAUUUUUUUUCAUGUUUGUCGUAAGGAAGAUAUAAAAAGGGCCUUAUCACGUUUGUGAUAUAAAUUUUCUAAUUUAAUUUGAUAAUUUCUUUUUUCUCAUGAAAAAAAAUUUCCUCAGAAUGAAUGCAAGUUGGUUUUUGAGAUAACAAUACGUUGGCUAGAUGUGUAAUAUAUGAAAAAUUAGAAAAUAAAAUAUUUAACAAAUUUUCUCCUGUUAAUUCAACAUUUCUCAAUAUUUUUAUAAAAUUAAAAUUAUUAUUUUUAAAAUAUUAUUUAUAAAUCAAUUUAAAAUAUUUAAUAUUAUUAUUCUAUAACAAAAUAACCUAUUAAUUUUUCUUUUUAACUUUUUAAUACCUAAUAAAAAUAAAAUAUUAAAUCAACAAACUACUUAAUACUAUUUAAUUAUAAAGUCUAUUUAAAAUUAAAUUCGAAAAAAAAAAAGAAAAUACCAUCUUAAUCAUUUCGAAUCAAUUCUCCAAAUUAGAUUUUGAGGGCUUAAUUUUUUAACAUAGCAUCAUUUGAAAUUUUGAAUCGAUACAACUUUUAUAAUAAAUAAGUUUUUGGCUAAAAAGAGUAUAUAUAAAAAUAAUUUAAUUUCACACCGUCUAUGUAUCUUUGUAAAAAGUUACUUUAUAAAAGUAUUUGAUUCUUAACUUAAUUUUUAGAAAAAGCUCCUUAAUCACGAAUCUCUCAUUUUUUAUAUAUUUAAUAAAUUUGUUUUAUAAAAUUUCUUGAAUUGUUUGAAACAUAUGCUAUAUGAUUUCAAUGAUAUUUAAAGUAAAACCUUGAUCAACUAACUUUCUAGAAGACAUAAAUUUUUUAGAAAUCUAGAACUUUAGGUGUAGCAAUAACAAAGAUAUUUAAGUGGCAUACAAGUCAGAUUGUUUUUGAGGAGUUUCAAACUUCAAAUCAUAACCGGUCCAAAUGUUAUACAUUUGAGCAGGAAACAGAAAGACUGUCACUAAUUUGGGGUGUUAGUUUAGCCAAAUUAAGCUAGGGCCAUAAGAUGUUUGGGACCACCUCGAUUUUAAGUCAUUUUGCCAACAACUAUGGAGGCAUUAACAACUAACUAGGCAGGCCGGACCCUUAUCCAUUUCUAUAAAAGACAUCAUCUGUAUGGCUACCGACCUAAAUUUAUUGCAUGCCAAAUGAACAAAUUUCAUACCCAAUAAUCACAUGUAACUUCUAAUUAGCUGGGUGUAAUUGUUUUGUCAUUAAAAUUGCUGUCCCGGUCCCAUCACAUGGUGCGAAUACAUCGUGAUUUGUUAACUUAAUUGGAAAUAUUACAAUCCAAACAACUAAGAUUGUGGGUAUUAAUGGAAAAUCCAAUAUUGCAAUGUUGAUGGUUGCAACUUGCAGCUUGGAUCUUAUACUUAUAGUCUCACACUUGUUUCACACGUAGUCGAUAUGAUCAUGAAUAACGGGGUCCAUCCCCUAGGGCCCCGUGAUAACAACAGAGCACCUAAAAAUUAAAAUGGUGUGCAUGUAGCCGCCGCCAGGAAAACCAUGCCAGUGUUCGGAAUAAUUUUGGCUUUUGUGUCUUUCAAGCUAGCCGCUUCUCCAGAGAGAUGGAAGCACGGUAUCGAUCGAAUCAAGUGGAUCAGGGCCCGGAGUUUUAAAUGGCGCACACCGAUGUUUUGAGCCAUCUAAAACCAUGAGCAUUAUUGAUUCCUUGAGUUAUUUAGAAAAUGGGGAUGUGCUUUCAGCAUAUACAAACUCACCUGUGACUAUCUUACUCUUAAAGCAAAUAAUCACGGACGAGUGCUAACCCUAGGAUCGUUAUCUUCACAUGCAAGGAUUACCUACUUGUUAUUCCCCCUGUCCCUUGACUUUGGGUUUUAUAUUUUUGGACGAUCAGAAAGAAGGAGACACCUACCCUUGAUAACCACGUCAUCAGACACAACCUGGCGAAAACUGCCACGCGUUUGACACUAAAAGUGGUCAAUUAAUCAACGCGGCACGAUUUCAAUGUUUCUUCCAUCACCCCCUUUUGGCCAGCGCCACACGCGCACGCCAUGACGACACUACCUUUCUAUGACUAUAAGUAUCGCAACAAUCGAACUCUUCCUUCACACUCAUUCCUCACCAAUCCAGCUUUUCACACUCUCUGCAUCACCUUCACCCCACUACUUUACCUUCUCAAUGACUUCUACUUACCAUUUCUCCAUCUUUGUUUCACUUCUCCUACUCUCCUUCCUUCUCAACCCCACCUCCGCCACACCUCGAAAACUCUUCUCUCUUGUUCAAGAGCAACCUCUCAUUCUCAAGUACCACAACGGGCCACUCCUUAAGGGCAACAUCACCCUCAAUCUCGUUUGGUACGGAAACUUCUCCCCCAUCCAACGCUCCAUACUCGUCGACUUCCUCCAGUCUCUCAAUUCCCACACCACCACGCCCCACUCCGUCUCAUCGUGGUGGCAGACCAUCCAGAAGUACAAAGGAGUCUCCUGCACCCUCGCCGUUGGGAAUCAGAUCCUCGAUGAAGACUACUCUCUAGGGAAGUCAUUGCGAAGUUCAGACAUCAUUUCCUUGGCUUCUAGAUCAAACCAAAGGAGCGAAAUAACCGUGGUGUUCACGUCGGCAGACGUGGCGGUAGAAGGGUUCUGCAUGAGCCGGUGCGGGACUCACGGGUCAACUCAGAGUAAGUGGGCCUACGCGUGGGUGGGUAACUCGGAGACUCAGUGUCCGGGUCAGUGCGCAUGGCCAUUUCACCAGCCCAUGUAUGGACCACAGACUCCGCCGCUGGUGUCUCCAAACGGGGACGUGGGAAUUGACGGAAUGCUGAUCAAUUUAGCGACUGUUUUGGCGGGAACGGUGACUAAUCCGUUUGAUAACGGCUACUUUCAAGGGUCGGCUAGCGCGCCGUUAGAGGCGGUGACGGCUUGUACAGGUAUAUUCGGGACAGGAGCUUAUCCAGGAUAUCCCGGCGAAGUUCUGGCGGAUGGAACGACUGGGGCUAGCUAUAAUGCUGUUGGGGUGGAUGGGCGUAAAUACUUAUUGCCGGCGAUGUGGGACCCUCAAACCUCCACCUGCAAGACAUUAGUCUGAAGCCUGAACCUAAUGGAUGAUUUGUGUUCUGUGUGGUACCAGCAAUUGUUUGUUUGGAGGAGCUUUGUACUCCCAGCUUUGAAGUUUGUUCUUUUUUUUCAUCAACCUUAUCAUAUGUAAAUGUUUAUGUAUCAUUAAUUAAAUUUGUUUCAUUAGUCAACCAAUCCUCUGUCUCCUUUGCCUUCUAAAAAGUUUCAAAUUUUUUCUAACAAUUUUGGGUCAUUAGGUUUAGGUGGAAGUUUCAAGUUGACUAACCAGUUAGCUUCUGGAUUUAACUUAACCCCAUAUUAAGCUGAGGAACCAAUCUGGUUUUAGCACAUGUGCAUUGAUUGGUAUUCUUUAUAAUGGAAUGUAACUGCUUUCUUUUUUACCCCAUGAGAAGAUUUCACCAUAUUGUCCUCCAUUCUUGCACACAACCGUAUCAUCUGACUGAAUUUUCUAUGAAAUAAUAAUUAUUUUGGUUUUUUUUUUUCAUUUUUCUUUUUUCUAACACAUAUAAAGUAAAAAAAGAAAAAAUUAUUAUUAAAAUAAAUUACAAAAUUUAUUUAUAAAUUAUAUUUAUUUUCAAUAGAAUUAAAUUAAAAAAAUUAAAGAGAUAGGACGAAACCGGAAAUUCUCAUAUUUGUUUCAUUCGAAUCUUUUUAGGGAUAGAGUAACAAUUCUGUUGUCGCCUCGCGUAUCCGGUGGUCCACGUUGCUGCUAUAUGGAUGGACACGUGAUUCUCAACACACAAGGGGUUCUUGAUUUAGUGGUUGCACCUGCAAAAGGCAUCCGGACAGGGUGUCCGGACGCACCCUCCGAUGGUAUUGUUAGCCAUGGUUAUUUUAAUUGACCAUCCAGACGAUUUAUAUCCGGAUGGCUCAUGCUGAUCAUCCAGAUGUGUUGUGGAGACCAUCCGGAUGUCUACGCUCUGCCUGCGUCGUUUGCUCUUCCUUGGAUAGGGCUUGGCUUUCCUUGAGGUGGUCCGGAUAGGAUAACUGCACCAUGCAUACCUUUAGGGGAAUCCGGAUGAUGAUGGUCCGGAUGAUAAUAUGUGCCACGCGUCACCAUGAACUACGUGCCACGUGUUUCUCAAGGGGAGGGGUCCCUACAUUGCCCCCCUUUUUAACUUGCCUAUUUUGCCCGAAAAAAUGGGCGGGUUAAAAAUAACUGGCUUUUGAAAUUUGAAGAGGUCCCUUCGUUUGACUAGGCCACGUGGCGAGUGGCGGUGCGGAAGCCAAAAAAGGCAUUUAUGACGAGCCGCCGACCCUGUGUAUCCCCAGACAAUAUGUCGUUUCAAUGAUAUCAUGGCUGUUGGUUUGCCUUUCCGAGGGGCUGUCCUGCUAUAAAUAGGGCACUGUACCUCUUUUUGCAAUUUUUCCUACUGCAUUCUCUUGAGAGCCUUUCUUCUUACUGCUUUUUCUGCGCCCUUUGCUUCUCUGAGACAAACUUCGAAAGCUCUUUUGCACCGGUGUUUUUGUAUCGCGACUUUGUCUGUUUGCUGCUGGUGAUUUUGUAUCGAGGUAGUAACCGUUCUUCUUCUUCGGAGCUUUAUUUGGUACGUACGUCUUUGCUACUGUCACUCCUUUGGUUGCGUUUGCUGGUUCUUUAAUCUUGGUUUUUGGCUUGCUUGGGCAUUGUUUUGGACAGGUCGCUUGCAAUUGUUGUUGAAUGUUGGUAUUUUGCUGAUGUUCGGGGGUGUUUUGAGGGGUUUUUCUGACUGCUUUGGGUUAGGGUUUGUGUAUUUUCUAACUGCUUGGUUUGAACCGUUGCAUUGCUUUUGUAUGUAGGUUGUGGUUUAGCUUUGUGGUACGAAAUGGCUCCAAAAAAGACUGUUUCAUCUGUCCGGGUUAGCGAAGCUAGCGAAAAGGCGAUAGACAAAUUAAAUGCGAAGGAGUUCCGGGAGCGAUUCCGCAUCCCCCAUGACGUAUUGAUAGACUUGGUGAACGAGGAGGCGGCUAUGCCUACUGAGAAAGGUGGAAAAAACGUUAUCCUCUUCACAAAGGAACAAUUCAACGCGGGGCUCCGGUUCCCUCUGCCGGCGUUGUUCAAGGAAUUCCUCCACUUCUCUCAGAUUCCCCCCAUCUUUAUUCAUCCCAACCUUGUCCGGGUGCUGAUGGGAUGCAGCAUCAUCAACAUGCUGUACAGCCUCGACCUGACGCUACUGGAAGUGUUCUUUGUCUAUUCCCUGAAGAAAGCAAAGACUGAUAUCUUCAGUGUGUCCGCGCACCUGCCCUCCCUUCAAAUGGUAACAGAGCUGUCAGAUUCAACAAAGGGAGGGGCGAGGGGGCUGGUGGCAGUCCGGGGUGGAUGGGCGGGGCUAUCGCAGCAUCCGUCGAGGCCUUUUUCUCCAAAUUAUACCUUAAAAAUUCCGGGUAAUCUUGUUUUGCGAUUUUUUUGUCCGGAUUUUGCUUUGCUGACUUUUUGAUUUUUCCGGACGGAAUUCUCACCUUUUGUUGCUGUUAAUGCAGGUCUGGAAUUGAGGGGCCACCUUGUGGAUUGGGUGGAAAAGGCGUCCUUUGCCUGCGUCUGCAAAUUAUUCGAAAUAGAUCCCAAGGAGAGGGCCUACAAAACAUUGCUCUCCGCGCAGAAUUUGAUAGAGGUCGUCCGGGAGCCCCAGGAAUAUGUUAUCAAUAUUCUUCCUAGGAAACUGGCAAAGGAUGAGAUAGUGCAUGGGGAGCAUUAUACAGUGAAGGAGCUCCCCCUCUAUCAGGAAGCUAAAGAGGCUGACGCUGAAAGGCGGCGAAAGCUCCUGGAGGAUAGAGAUCAGAAAAAAUCUGAAGGCACUAUCCGGAAGGCUCCCGGACAGAAGGGGGGGCCGGACCCUCCUUCAAAGAAAAUUCCAGGCAAGAGGGGGAAGCUUGUGAAGAAGCAUGGGAAGGAUGUGAAGGAACCCACUCCUCCCAAGGAGUUUCCUUCUCCACAAACUACCUAUGAGGGGGAAGUAAUGAUAGAGGAGCCAGUAAAUGCUGCUCCGCACUCUAUCUCAAGCGGCCCCGGACGCAUGUCGGGGUUAAAUCAUUCGGGUCCUUCCUUAGUCGCGGCUGCGCGUCUGGCUAACGUGGCUGAGGAAGCUGCAUCUAUCAACCAUCCGGGCAACCUUAAUCCGGAUGCUGAUGCAGCUGAAACGACCCCGUUGGAGGAAGCGGGGGCAGAAAGCCAAAGUCAGCCUUCCGACGACCCGGAUCGCCUGGCCAUAGUCCUGGUGAAAGGGCCUCCUCUCAAGAAGCCGCGUUUGACGCGCGAUCUACAGUCCGGACUGUUUGAGCGGCUUCAAGAGCGGCAGCAAGAGAUUGAAAUUAGCUGCGCUUCUGCCCAUGACGCUCAUCCGGAUGGAGGCGAGGUGGAGAUGGCUACUGAGACCUCAGCCGCCCCGGCAAUAAUUCCGGAUGAGGAUGCAUCCGGACCUAUGCGUCCGAACGAAGAUAUGGGGGUUCCGAUUCCGGGACAAGAGUUACCUUCUGCUUCCUCCUCUGAGGAGGAAUCUGCUGACGAUGCCGCUCCUACUAGCCCUUUCAGCUACGCGGAGUUGGAAGUUAAGUUAAAGCAGAUUACUCCUGACUGGAAAGCCAUCAAGCCCUCUGCUAAGAUGUUUGAUAUGAUAGAAACGGUACACCGUUGUCUUGUGUUUUUGCUUUUUGACUUUUUGUUGCACUGGUGUGUUUGUUGUAGUAUAAUUUAUGUUUCUGCUUUUCUUGUUUGCGUGUCAGCUGGUGAGGGGCCUCCGCAGCAUGUCUCAACAACACGAUCUUUUUACUCAGUUGCUGCAGACUGCAGACUAUAUGAGGACCUUCUCCUCUCGGCGCCAAGAGAUUGAAAAUCAGCUGCGUCUGAGAAUGGAGGAGGCUGAGGCCAAUUUAUCCACCAUGCGAGAGGAAAAUGAAGCCCUCCGAGCGGAGCUGGCUGAGGCGAAGAGUCGCGAAGAAUCAACUGCGGGUCGCCUAUAUGAGGUGGAGGGUGAGGCAGCCCGGCUGAGGGAUGAAGUGAGUCAACUCCGGACCGAGGUAUCGAAUGAAAAGAAACAGAAGGAAGACUUGCAGCUGCGCCUGGAUGUGCAAAAAGAGGAACUUGAACGGGAGUUUGCUGUGGAAAGGGAGGAACUUGCAGCGGACUACCAGCAGCAAGUGGAUGAUACGUUUAUCUUUGGGUAUCGCUGCUGCAUGAAGAAGAACGGCAUUAAGCGAGAUACCCCUUCAAUUCCUCCGGGUGAAGAAAAGAAGCUAUAUGAGAAGCCCGCUCCCUGAUAGUUAUCUCUUUUUGCAAUUUUUCUGCUGUAAUUUUUCCUUCUGUCUUUUUGUGGUCCGGAGAUCUCUUUGUAAUUACAUUUAUUUAUAUCAAUAAAAAUAUAUUUCUUUCUCAUUUGCACUUGUGUAUACUUUUUACUGAUAGUACUGCUUUAAAUUGGACACAUUCCAUGGUCUGAGUAACGGAGUGCCAUCUAGCUUUUGUAAAUGAUAGGCUCCAUUUUCGUUUGCCUUAGACACUAUGUAGGGUCCUUCCCAAUUGGCUUGGAACUUUCCCGCGCCUACUUCAGCAGUAUUUUCAAAAACUUUUCUAAGUACUAGCGUACCAUUUUUGAAGUUUCGGGGCUUGACUUUUCGAUUGUAAUGCGCUGAUGCCCUUUGUUGAUAAUCUGCCAUCCGGAUGGACGCGCUUUCUCUGACUUCGUCAGCCCAGUCCAAAUUUCUUCCUAGUUCCGUGUUGGCGUCUUUUUGCUUUGCUGCAUCAGUCCGGAUAGUAGGAAGACCUAUUUCAGUGGGAAUGACUGCAUCCAUUCCAUAUGUGAGGGCAAAAGGAGUAUUUCCUGUUGGUCGUCCGGAUGUGGUUCGAUAGGCCCACAGGACGCCGGGUAGUUCCUCCACCCACUUCCCUUUGGCUUGCUCCAGCCUUUUCUUUAAGGCAUUGAUUAGAGUUUUGUUUGUGGCUUCCGCCUGGCCAUUGCUUUGAGGAUAACGUGGCGUGGAGUAUGAAUUCCGGAUAUUCAAUUCCGAACAGAAAUUCCUGAAUGCAAUGCUGUCAAAUUGUGGACCAUUGUCAGCUAUGAUGAUUUGGGGAAUUCCAAAGCGGCAAACAAUGUUCUUCCAUACGAAUUUGGUGACAUCUUUAUCUUUGAUGCUUGCAUAUGCUUCAACUUCUACCCAUUUACUGAAGUAAUCAGUGGCGACAAGGAGGAAUUUCUUCUGGGCAGGUGCUGCUGGGAGGGGUCCCACAAUGUCCAUGCCCCAUUGCGCGAAAGGCCAUGGGCCUGAGACCGAUUUUAAUGCGGCUGAUGGCAUGCGUGGAAUGGGAGCGUAUCUUUGACAUUUAUCGCACUUUUGGACAUAUGCUGCCGCGUUUUUCUUCAUUGUUGGCUAAUAGUACCCUUGUGAAUGAGCUCUAUGUGCUAGGGAUCGUCCUCCCGUAUGAUUUCCGCAUAUUCCUUCAUGUAAUUCAGCUAGUACAUACUGGGCCUCUGAAUGCCCAAGACAGCGAAGAUAAGGUCCUGUGAAGGAUCGCUUGUACAGGUGCCCCCCGAUCAGGGUGAAACGGGCAGCUUGCACCCGGAUUUUGUGCGCUUGUUUAGGAUCUUCAGGUAAAGUGCCUGUCCGGAGAUAUUCUACAAUAUCAUGCGUCCAUUCUUGAUGAUCCGUUUGGUUUGCCUCAAUGGUGUUGCAAGUAGAAUCUUCUGUGACAGAGGGAUUGGCUUGCACAUGUAUGGGCAGUAGAAUGGCUUCUUUGAUAGGGAGGGAGGCAGCUAUGCCGGCCAAAGCGUCAGCGCGCCUAUUGUCAGCUCGCCUAAUUUUUUCGAUUGUCCACUCGGUGAAUUGCUGUAAGGUGCUUCUUACUUUGGCCAAGUAUCGCGCCAUGCGUGAGUCCUUAGCCUCAUAUUCUUUCUGGACAUGCCUUACCACUAGCUGCGAGUCGCUGUAGAUCCGAAGUUUGGAGACGGAUAGCGCAAGGGCGAGGUCCAAUCCGGACAGGAUGGCCUCGUAUUCUGCUUCAUUGUUAGACGCGGAGAAUCCCAGCCGGAUGGCUUGCUCCAGGUGUUCCCCAGUUGGGGACUGUAGUAAGAGCCCAACUCCAGAGCCCGAUGAGCGUGAGGCUCCGUCAACUCGUAGUGUCCACCACUCCUGUUCACUUGACUCGUGGUGCUGAUUGGGUCUUCGUGAAUAUUCGAGCACGAAGUCGGCCAUUACUUGGCCUUUUUUGGAUAAUCUGGGUUGGAAUUCGAUUCCAAAUUCGCUCAAUUCGAUGGCCCAUUGUAGCAUUCGCCCCGUUAAAUCUGGUUUGUGCAGAAUGCUACGAAGGGGUUGGUCGGUUAGUACAAUCACUGGGUGGGCUUGAAAAUAGGGGCAGAGCUUUUGGGCAGCACUUCGAAGAGCUAAGGCUGUUAGCUCCAUUUUUGAAUACCUGGUUUCUACAUCUGCCAAUGCCCUGCUGACAUAGUAGACAGGUCUCUGCUCCUUUGGUGAAGGGCAGCGGAAUAGGACGGCGCUGAUUGCCCAUUCUGAGACAGCCAGAUACAUGUAUAGCUUUUCCUUUGGGAUGAGGCUGCUUAAGAUGGGUGGAUGCACAAGAUAAUGUUUAAUUUUUUCCAACGCGUUUUGGCAAUUGUCCGUCCACCCAUGCGUUCCAGCUUUUCGUAUUGCCAAGAAGAAGGGUCGCAACUCAUCAGUGAAGCGGGCUAUGAAACGCCCUAACUCAACGAGCUUGCCUGUGAGGCGUUGUAACUCCUUUUUGUUCCUGGGAGGGGGUGUCUCCAUGACUGCUUUGACUUGAUCCGGGCUGACUUCUAUGCCUCUUUGGCUGACCAUAAAUCCCAGAAAUUUGCCAGCACUCACGCCAAAGGCACAUUUGGAAGGAUUUAACUUCAUGCCAUACGUCCGUAAGAGGUGAAAAACUUCUUGCAAAUGAAGGAUAUGCUGUUCUCGAGUUUUGCUUUUAACCACGAUAUCGUCAAUAUAUACCUCUACUGAGUGGCCUAUCAGAGGUUUGAAGAUUUUAGUCAUCAAUCUUUGAUAAGUGGCGCCAGCAUUUUUGAGUCCAAAUGGCAUGACUUUGUAGCAAUAGAGGUCGUGUGGUGUUAUGAAUGCUGUCUUUUCUUCGUCAUCGGGAGUCAUGGGAAUCUGGUGAUAUCCGGAGAAGGCAUCCAAGAAAGAGAGCAUCCCUUGCCCUGAAGUGGAAUCCACAAUUUGAUCUAUUCGUGGUAAUGGAAAACUGUCUUUUGGACAUGCGUUAUUGAGAUUGGUGUAAUCAACACAGACUCGCCAUUUGCCCUCUUUUUUUGGUACCACUACUACAUUUGCCAACCAAUCCGGAUAAGAUACCUCUCUGAUGAAUCCGGCUUCCAACAAUUUGUUAAUUUCAUCUUGGAUAACUCUUUGUCUAUCCGGAUGAAAGCGUCUAAUCUUCUGUCGAAUGGGUCUGGCUGCUGGAAAGACGUUAAGCUUGUGAGAGGCAAUAGAGGGAUGAAUUCCUUUCAUAUCCGAAUGUGUCCAUGCGAAGAUGUCAUGGUUGCUUCGAAGGAUAUUUUGUAUGCUCUGAGUUUCUUCUUGCGUCAUGAGGGAACUGAUAUUCGUGAGGUGAUCAUUCUCUUCUGAGAUUUGGAUUGUUUGUAAGGGAUCCGCUGCCGGGGGAUCUUUGUCCGCCGGACCCAAUAAUUGCUAUUGGUCGUGUGCAAUGCUAGGCUCAGGGGGAGAUGCAUCCUCCUGGUUAGCGACUGCCUCACGUGCUAUUUGAUAGCACUGACGAGCGGCUAACUGGCUGCCAUACAAGUCAGUUUGCCCUUCGUCGGUGAGGAAACUCACCAUUUGAUGAUAUGUGGACGGGAUGGCUUUCAUGUAGUGAAGCCAUGUGCGUCCCAAGAUGACAUUGAAGGGUGAUAACUCUUGUACCACUGAGAAUUGCACGUUGAGAGUGACUGUGCCAACUUUGACCGGCAGUAUAAUGUCUCCUAAGGACGUGGUUGAUGAUCCGUUGAAUCCGAAUAAGAUUCGUCCGGGGUUUUCGAGACCCGCGAGACUAUGUCCCAUAUGGCCAAUGACUGAUGCUUGUACCAGAUCGGCUGAACUGCCUGGGUCAACCAAGAUACGCCUUACAUCGAAAUCUCCUAUUUCUAGGGAGAGGAUGAGGGCGUCGCGAUGUGGCUGUAGCGUCCGGGUGGGAUCUACUGGUGGGAAAAUGAUUGUCCCAUCUAUGGGGCGAGGGCCCUCUCCAGUAAGACCCGGCCGGAUGGAAUUAAUGCGUUCGUGUAUUGACGCGGCCCGCAGCAAUUUCUGCCUUUUACGCCUGGAAUCGUAUUCUUCGUCAGACGGGCCCCCAUUGAUAUAGUUUAUGACAGCCUUGGGGGCGACUGGGGCCCUCGGGGCCCCAGAGUUAUGACGCUGAGAUACGUCCCUUCCUCCAGUAUCUGAGCGGAGGUACUGUUUUAAAUGUCCUGCUUUGAUGAGCCUUUCAACUAGAUACUGGAGGGAUCGACAUGUCUCUGUUGUAUGACCAUGGUCUUUGUGGAAGGCGCAUUUCUUGCUGCGGUCUCUUAUGGAUGGGUCCGUUUCGAGGGGUCUAGGCCACCUGAAGUCGGACAACCCUUGGAUCAUUGGGAGAAGUUUUUCGUAUGAUAUGGAUAGGGGUGUGACGGGCGGCCUAUCCGGACGACUCGGCCCGUCCUGUCUCCGGUCAACUGGUUUUGGACGGUCCGGAGGUUUGGCAUGUCUGUCCGCGUUAUCUCUAGAAGCCCGUCCGGCAACCAAAACUUGCUGAGUGGCUGCACGCACGUCAUCUUCGAGCAUUGAAUAUUUGUUAGCACGUCUGAACAAAUCGUCCAUCGUUGUAGGAGGCUUUUUUGCCAGUGAUUCAAAAAAUGGAGUGCCUGGACAAAUGCUUCUCUUGAAGAUUUGUAGGACAGCAUCCAUGCUGCAAACCUCUAUUUGGAGUACGGCUUGGCCAAAUCGUUUCACAAAUUCCCUUAAAGAUUCGUUGUCUUUCAUUUUUAUAUUCUGGAGGGUGCUGAUAUUCUGCUUGUGUCGAGCAGAGCACAGAUACUGUCCCACGAAUGCUUCAGAGAGAUCCCUGAAAUUGUCAAUAGAGUUAGGAGGUAGGCGAUGAAACCAUGAGAGGGCCUGCCCUUGAAGGCUGGCGGGGAAUACUUUGCAUAGCAAUGCAUCGUUGCCAAUAUCGAGCGUCAUGAGCUGUCGAUAGUGCAUGAUGUGAUCGAAGGGAUCAUUGGUCCCAUCGUAUGUGGAAAACUUUGGUACGAGGAAUCCCCUUGGGGGCUCGUAAUGGGUGAUAUGAGAGCAAAAGGGCGUGGAGAGCAUGUCAUCCAGCCUUUUGCUGAUGGAGCCAAUAGGUGGUUCGUUUGGGAGGUUUCUCCCAGCUGGUCGUUCCGCUAGGUGUGAGUGAACGUUCCGCAUCGCCGGGAUGACCAAGGGGUCACGAUGCGGAGGUACGUUCUGCACCAUGGGAGCGACCAUAGGAUCGGGGCGUGGUGCCCGGGUUGUGGCUACUAGUGGCUUUGAUCUCCCAAGCUCUUGUGGGCCUAGUCUUGCGCGCAUAGAACUUGACAACUGUGAUUUUCUAUCGCGUUGUCUUUUUGCUGAAAAAUGAGUGGAAUCUGAGCUUUCCUCACGGGGAGCUCGAGGCAUGGGUGUGCGUGGCUCAUGGGGCCUUGCGUUGUAUGCUCCUGGGACAGCUCCUGUUGACCCAGGAUAUAUUGAUUCUGGUUCUGGCCUAGAGUUUGCCACCUGGCCCCUUGAACGCUGACGACGAGGAGGGCCUGACGUUGAGGCUUGAAUGCGUAACACCGCGUUUUCUUCCCUUAACCUCUCCGUCUCCUGGAGGAGAGCUCUUAGUUGUUUUUCGCUCGCCAACUGUCUUUUUUCGAUGGCCUGACGCCAUUCGUGAUUAUCUUCCUCCUUUCUUCCAGAUGAUCGACUUUGGGAAGGUGUGGCCAUCUUUGCUAGUGACUGAAUCAGAAUGAAAAGUAAAAGUCUUCCCACAGACGGCGCCAAUGUUGUCGCCUCGCGUAUCCGGUGGUCCACGUUGCUGCUAUAUGGAUGGACACGUGAUUCUCAACACACAAGGGGUUCUUGAUUCAGUGGUUGCACCUGCAAAAGGCAUCCGGACAGGGUGUCCGGACGCACCCUCCGAUGGUAUUGUUAGCCAUGGUGAGAGAGAUAUAUAUAAAUCAGUUGGCCUUUUACUAGGUAUCAAGAGGUUACAAGGGGAUCCCCCUCUUCUUCGUGCGAAGGUAUAUAUAUAUAGCUUCAGGGGUACUGUUCCUCUCAUUAAUGGUGAGGAGAUAUUUUAUGUUGUGAUGAUGACAAUAGGUGUUAGUAGGAGCAUUAUCGCCCUACGAACGACCGUCAGAAAUCAUGGUAGGUGAUGCGGCUGUCAGAGAUCGUGGGCAGUGAUUAUGUAGAAUGAUCGUGGGAAGUGACUUGCUGUCACUUCCCCUUGUCUUCUCACUCUGCAGGUGAUGGGAUGUGGGUCAUGGCUGCUUGUUGUGAUUGCGUGUAAGACUCGCUUUAUUUUAAUUGACCAUCCAGACGAUUUAUAUCCGGAUGGCUCAUGCUAAUCAUCCGGAUGUGUUGUGGAGACCAUCCGGAUGUCUACGCUCUGCCUGCGUCGUUUGCUCUUCCUUGGAUAGGGCUUGGCUUUCCUUGAGGUGGUCCGGAUAGGAUAACUGCACCAUGCAUACCUUUAGGGGAAUCCGGAUGAUGAUGGUCCGGAUGAUAAUAUGUGCCACGCGUCACCAUGAACUGCGUGCCACGUGUUUCUCAAGGGGAGGGGUCCCUACAAAUUCGAAUCCACCUCGCUAUCAUUCCUGGAUGUUUGAGCAAUGGGUCUGGUCGAGCAGCCCGACCUGUGGACACUGGGAUCCUGGAGCACAGCGCUGUCCUUCUAGUUAAUAAGUUGGAAUCAUGGUUCGACUUGGUUUCUGUUCACGUCGUAGCCAUUUGCGAUUUGCUCAGUAACAAUGGUGACUUAAUCAUGGGCCGUGGGCUGCUUUCAAGACUUGGGCUUUUCAAUUGGAUUCGGCCCAAUUGGGUUUGGACUCAGGUGAUGAAUGAGCCGGCCCAAUCCGGAGAAUGUUGAAUUUAAAGUUUGGACCAUAUUAUCUGUUGGAAGUUCUGAUUUCUUAAAAUUUUUAUGUUUUUGAAGGUUUAAGGAGUGAGGACUUGAGUGUGAAUUCAUCGCAGAGCAUAGUUUGGUGGAAUGGCUGUGUACAUUCGCCUGAUUCUUUGUAAUAUUAUGUAAAAGAAAAAAAAAAAAUUUGAGAUUAAAGAAAAACACAUGACCAAGCUGAGUCGCAGAAAAGAAAAAAGAAUCAAGGCUUUUUAAGGCAGAAGACGGUGAUCUCCUCAGUUUCCAGUUUCCAGUUUCCGCCAUCCACAGCCAAAUCUCAUGGAUCCCCAUCAACACCAACCCAUUGGACAAGCAGACGAAACCUCGCCCCCUCCCUCCAACACCGCUGCCACUUCAUGCCGCUGCUGCGGCGGCCCCACCACAUGCCCACCUCCACCGGCAUGGUCCGACAUCUCUCCGCCACCCUCCUACCGCCCCAUCCGCGCCCCCGCCAUCAACCUUCCUCCUUCCAACUCUCAACAAGCUAUCAUCCUAGCCCCCGUUCCUCAAGCCCAGAAGACCCCCGUUGUCUCUCCGCCCUAUCUUUUCCAAAUCCCCGUCAAGCGAAUCCAGACCCCAGACGACAUUCGCCAUUUCCAUGACUCCGAUUCCGGCAAGAACUUCUUAGGUUUCGUCGUUUCCCUUAGCGAAUCCAUUCGCUCCCACAAAAUUUCCGACCCUUGCCACCAAUCACCAAUCCUCAAUUCUAUUCUCUCCAUCCUUCAAUCUCUAAUCGACUGGGUCGACGAAAUACCUCCCGUUCAACAAUCUUCCCGUUACGGUAAUCUCUCUUUUAGGGUUUGGCAAAGUCGGUUGUUCGAUAAUAGCGAGCAACUGAUGCUCCAAUUCCUCCCCGAUGAUCUGCGGUCAGCUACCGUCGAACUCGUCCCUUACUUUGCCGAUAGUUUUGGGAAUUCGAGUCGAAUCGAUUAUGGAACCGGUCAUGAGACCAAUUUUGCUGCGUGGCUUUAUUGUUUGGCUAGAUUAGGGUUGCUCAAGGAAGAGGAUUACCAGGCUCUUGUUUCUAGGGUUUUUGUGAAGUACCUUGAAUUGAUGAGGAAAUUGCAAUUCGUCUAUUGCCUUGAACCUGCGGGAUCCCAUGGAGUUUGGGGUCUGGACGACUAUCAUUUUCUGCCAUUUAUAUUUGGGUCGUCGCAGCUGAUCGAUCACAAGUAUAUGAAACCCAAGUCAAUUCAUAAUCAGGAUAUUCUGGACAACUUCUCCAAGGAGUAUAUGUAUAUUUCUUGCAUUGCAUUUGUGAAGCAGGUGAAGAAAGGCCUAUUUGCAGAGCAUUCCCCAUUGUUAGAUGAUAUCAGUGGUGUACCUAAUUGGAACAAAGUGAAUAGUGGGAUGCUCAAAAUGUAUAAAGCUGAGGUGUUGGAGAAGGUUCCAAUUAUGCAGCAUUUCCUAUUUGGGUGGCUCAUCAAAUGGUAUGAUCACUGUUAAUGAGUAAUUAGCCCUGUAUGUGAUUCAUGCAUUUUUAGUUCAUUAUAAGUCAUCCACACUUUGCAUCAUGUUUAAUUGGGAAUCUUAAAAUUAUUACGAGUUUUUAUGGUGUUUUAUGAGCAUAAUGGUUAUAUUUAUAUCGUCUAUAUCAGUAGCCUAUAUGGAUAUUUGGUGCUAAACCUGAUAUUUUUGGUCCCUGUAUAUUCAUCUAUUAUUUCAAUGACAAUGUUGGUUGAGGAACAACUCUAGUGUUGAUACCUUGAUCCAUGGGUUUUGUCAGGCUGAGACUUUCAUUAGCUAUUUGAUCCUCACCACCACUGAUUGCUAUACUGAUUUUUUUUUUACCUAUGAUUUCUGUCAUCAUUUUAUUUAAUGCAUAGAACCCUACUUGUUAGCUAUAUGAUGUAGAAGUGAUGCACUGAGUCAAUGUUCAUGAUGAAAUAGAACCAAAGAGAUUGGCAUUAUGUUGGGUUGGUCCAUUUUUUUGGAUUCAUUAACCAAGUUACUACAUAUGUUCCUUUGAUAUUUAUUAUUUGAGUAAUGGCCAUAAACACACACAUAUGUGUGUGUGUGUGUGCAUGUGUAUAUAUGUAUGUACAAACUACAAUAAAUAUCAGCCUUUUCAUAAAAAUUUUGCUUGAGUUUUCCUUCUCUCUGCACUUUUAACAUGUGUUAAUGUUUCAACAGUCUGCUUUAGUCCUCAUUCUAAGCUUGUUAAUGUGCCUUUACUUCAAACAUCUUUUCCCACCUUCUGAGUCAUUUCUUUUAAGUCAUGUAUCUCAUCUUAUAGAAAUUCAAGUGUAAUCUAAUGUCUUGAGCCAUUUUAAUUAUUUUAGUUUGAUUUGAUUUAAAAAAAAAUUUUAAUGAUCAAAACUUUCAAAUUAUAAUGCAUUUGGCUAGUGAAUAUUACUUAUAAGCCCAAUGUCUCUAGACAAAUAUAUCUGGGUUUUUAAUACAUCUCAUGAGUUCCAUUUGGUAUUCUAACCCUUUUAGCUAAGUGGUUGCAUUUCUACAUGGGAGGUCUGAGAAUCUCUGAAAGCUAAAACUAAAAUAAAGUGAUUUAGUUAGUUAGUGCUUAUAUUCUGACUACUGGUUGUGUAAUAAGGGAUUUUUUUUGUGGCCAUUUCGGAUAAUGGCAUAAUUUCCUAUGUUUCUGAGCUUUUCAAAAUCUCACCUAUCAACAACUUUCAUAUGAAACUCUGAAUGAAGUUUUUUUUUUAUAAUCAUUAAUGGUAUAUUUUGGUAAUUGAAUAGCUGAUACUACUUAUGGGACAGGCAGCACAGUGGAAUCCUGGUCAAACCCCCUCCAAAAACCCCAGAAAGGGAUGUCUUUAGAACUGUAAUAGAAAAGAGAAGACAUUUUGAAGCUAUUAUAACCAUAUUAUUGCAUGUUACUUCAAUCCAUUGGGAGAUUUGAAGAACAGGUGUUCCAAUACUGAAACUGGUGCUUGAUGAGCAUGACGGAAUCAGUUCUAGGAUGGAUAAAACUGCAGGCUCACACACAGAAACACACCUGUGCACACAGUGAACAUGUGCACAUGUGCAAACACACAUUUGGUUGGUCUCCCCCAGUGGGUGUACUUCUGUAUGAUGAGAUCAAUGAGGACAUAUUGUGUCUUUGUUCCGGAUCCUGACCAUCUUAGUCCCAUACAAUUUGGUCCAAGUUGGCUUACAAUUACCCAAAGCCACAUAAGAACCACUUUGUGGCUUGCAUGAUAUUUGUGACAAUGAUUAGUAAAGGCAUCUUCUUUAUGGGGUCUUUGGGUUCAUCUUGGAGUCCUCCAUUUUGACUUGAUGUGUCAUCUAUAGCUACUUCAAGUAGGGAAUUGCCUACAUAGAGAUAUACAUUACUAAUUCGAUUAAAGUCUACAUUGCUCUCAACAUAGUGAAUCUAUUUCAUUCAGGAUAUGGCUUUGUCAGAACUGAUCAUCUUGCAAUUAUGCGUAUUGUUCAAACUUUUAUUUUUGGAUCUUUAGAACCUUGUUCAUGUAACUUUUGAUUUGUCUUCUAAUUUUUUCAUUUCUUGGAUUAUGACUUGCAAAGUGUCUGAUUGUUGUUUAAUUUUUAAGCCAUGCAUCUGGCAUAUUUUUUUCAAUGUCAUGAAUGUUUGAAAAUCCUGGCUUACAUAUGCAUAUAGGUUUUAGCACAUCAAGUGCUACCCUGAUUGGUCAUGGGUAAAUACAGGUAAUUGUGAUUCAUAGAAAAGGAUGAUAUGAUUCUUAAAACAUUGUCCAUUUUCUGUUGUUCAAGAAGAUUGAUAAAUUCUUUGUUAUUUAUAUUUUCCCCAGGGACUAAUUUGGUGUAUCUGCUCUGUUGAAACAUUUUCUGUGGAACAAAGAGAGUUCAUUUCCCACUAUGCUUUACAGAGAUGUAAGAAUGAAAAAUUAUUAAACCGGAAUCAUCUGUACUUCUUGGAUAGUAUAUAGAGUUUGAGUUCUCUGUUUCUUUAUGAUGUAUUUGCUUUCGGCUAACACAGAUCUAUUUCUGCAUUUUUUUUGUUUAUGAUAUUUGACAUCUUAAUGGAAAUCAGGCAGUUUUCUUUUUUUAAUAGCCAAGUAUUGAAACUGCAGAAUUUUUACAUUUGAUAUUGAUGUAAUAUAAAAUCCUAUGGAAAGACAGUAAAUUUUUCAAGUUUCCCCUGAAGCUUUGGUUUGGUUUUAAGACAAAUGUAUUUAUAAGCUUAGAAAGCAAUAAUUAAAAUGUGAUGCAGCUGCACAUUCUCAUCUGUUGAUAUGCAAAUAAUGUGAAAGCAAGUAAUUGCAAGUUUAUGUUGUACACCAUGUUUUGAUUUUGAGACUGAUGUAUUGGGCACAAAACAUUACUUAAUACUAGCUAAACUGCCUGUGGUAAUGAAGGAGAAUUGCCGAACAAGUUUCAAGUGUGACAAGCAGUGUCAUAACCUCAACUUGCAAUCUUGUCUGAUGUUUCUUACCUUAGUUGAUUUUCUUGUUUUAUUGGCCAUCUACCAGUUGGAGUCUAUGGUUUCCAAACUCCUCUUCAUUCAUUUAAUUCUUUGAGACUAAUGGAUUCACCUUCUCUAUUCUUAUUUUCAAUGGCAAAGAUACUCUUCUUUGUUUACUAUUCUACAAAAAAUUAGACAUUGUAUUUCAUCUUGUAUCAGUACCUAAUUUGAAAUGACUGACUUCCUUUACUCUGCAAAUUUUAGAUUAUUAUGCCAAGUGAAUUUCAGGCUCAAAACUUCCACAAGGUUGGUUUUAGGAUUUUGAGUUUGACUUCCAACUAGAUUCUUGCUAGUUUUGGCCUUUGGAAUUCCAUUUGUUAGUAGUUUGUGUCAAUAUAAACUAUAUGACUCCUCUUGGUUACUUAAAACCUCCAAUUCAGUUAGCCAACAUGCAUUAUUAUAGAACCCAGCUUUUGUUGUGGUACCCAGUUUUAGUGCAGAGGAUGGCUUGAACUUGAAUUUUUGUACUGGAAUGGAGGUUUUCUGUGAAUAUAAACAAGUUGUGCUCCAUUGGAUUGCUGUGUUCUCUGAAUGAAUUUGGAUCUCUGCCAGCUCCAAUGAAAUCUUGUCUCCUAGUCAACACUGGUAAUAGACCUUGUAGUUGUUCUGAUGAUUUAUUAUUUUGUUUGCAGAAUGUGAUAAAUGAAGAGACCUAAGGGUUCCUAGUUAGGUUAUAGGAUGAAGCAUUUAGUUUGUAGUUUAACAAUUGAAAAUUCUUGAAGCUUUGGAUCCAUGUCAUAACUCAUGUCAAUUAAAACACCCAUAGAUAUGUCAAGAAGAUAAUGAAAACAAAGGCAAGUAGGAAAUUGUUCACAUACCUGAAAAGCCACCUAUAAUACACAUUCAUUGCCCUGCUGCAUAGUUAGUUUCUCUAUCAAAACCCCACCCAGUCCUAUUUAUGGUGUCUUUUGUUUUUGUUUAAGCAGUUACUAAAAAUGCUGGUUCUUUUCUAUGUUUUUUCGCAUAAUGUUUUUACUUCAUCUGUUAACCCCUAGCUUGCCAACAAGGGUCGUUCUUUAUCACUACAACUACUAGUCCUAGAUGAGUCUGUUGCUGCUGUUGGUUUUUUCAUUUUAAAAGCUGCUGGCAUUUUCGGGUUUCAUUAUAGGGUAUCUUUGCAUAUAGUUAUUGAAUAUAGGAAGCUAUUUUAGGUACAUUAUAGUUUUAAUGCUUCAUAUUGGAUUGGUUUAUGCGUUGGUGUCAUUUCACCUUAACCUCUCUUACUUGGUUGCAAAGAAAACUGGAGGAAAAUAAUAGCAAAUGAAACAUUGAUUUUUAUGCUUUUUAUUUUUACAAUUUUUUAAUGUUCUUUUAGUUUCCAUGUGAUGGAAAAAUUCACCACACAUGAAUUAGAUUGUUAUGUUAGGAUACCAAAUGGAGGUUUAUGGUCUCUUUUGUCCCAAUUAAUGCAGAAUGUAGGAUUUGAAGUUUCAUAUCUUAUCUUUUGUUUUGUUUUCUUUGCAAUCAAAUGGAUCAUGUAGCGUGAUUGCCUUUUUUUUUUUUUUGCAAGAUUUAAAAAUGAAAACAUAUUAGCUAACAGAUUAUGGUAACUGAGCUACUAGAAUCUUUUGUAUUUGUUGCUCACUUGUUUCAAGCUGGAUUCAAUUUUGGGAAAUAACUGAUUGUGUUUACUUCUUACUGAUAAAAUUUAGGCAAAUGAUUGUAUUUAGGUUCUGAUGUUGUAAAUGGAUUGUAAGGUUCAAAUAAGAAAGAUUAUAAGAUCAAAUUGAGCCGUCUCAAAAUUAAAAAAUAGUCAAACAAGUGGAAUUUAAUUGUAUAAAUAUAUUCUUAGCAUGUGCAAGCUAACAAGGGUAAUUCCUUUGAUUCUCAAGGGACUGACUUUGGCCUCAGGACUUCUUAUAAAGACACAAUUGCUAAGUGGUUUCUUAUAACUCCUAAAAUGCUCGAAAAGGUUUUCCCUUUUGGUUCCUAAAAUCAAGAUGUGGGCUGAUUAGUUAAAGGACUAUUUUUUAUUUUUUUUUAUGUAAGUUGCUGAUUAAUUAAAGGACUUUGUUCUUUUGAGUAAUUCAUGGCCCAUAAAAUUGUUGUAUGUGUUGCAUAUGGAUGCUGAAAUUGUUUUUUCAUGCUUUUUUCUCUAAAAAACUAAAAAAAAAAAAUCCCUUUUUGGUGUUCUUUUAAAACCAAGUUUUGGUAUUUGAAUUUUGAAAUUUAUGGUUUAAAAAUUUGGAUAUGUUCUCUCCUUCUUCUAAGAUUGCAUGUUGAUUCUGAUCACCUAUGAUUUAAUAGAGGACACAGGGUCCUAUGUAGUUGGGGUGGUAGGCGGUUUAAAACUAAAUUCAAGGCAAUAGAGAUUUUUGGGCCUUUGUAGCAGUGAAGAAUACAGAGGCUGAAAUCACUUGCAUUCAAAUUUUGAAGCGAUUCUUGUUCUCUAUUAGGAAGUUUUGAGCAUUUAGAAUGCUUUCAACCAUUUUAUUAUUAUCAUUAAUGGUGCGAGGGAAUUAGGAAGUUUUGAGCAGCUAGAAUGCUUUCUACCAUUUUUUUUUGGGAAGUUUUUAAUAAAUAAAUGUAAUUGCCACGAAAUUGAGAUGAGCGCUUUUUACCUUUGUCAUCAUUUGACAGGGAAAAAAAUAAAAAGCCCACUUGUACCUGUCACCUUAUAUUUGGUGGUGUGAAAAUGAAAAUCAGUUGGAUGGCAUACCAAAUGGUGUGCUUGAGCUUUACUCAAUUCCCACCAACAAGUGGGUUAACCUUUUUCCAUGUAGGUUUGUUGGCAGCAUUAUUUUUUGGGAAAACAUUUGCAUGGUGCACCAGUAACAGCCACAGUUUUUACGCAUGCGGAACUUGCUCCUGGAUUUUGCCUUUUUACAUCAUUUACUUAACGGAGGAGAUAUUUCUACUUCUCUUUGUCGUUACUUUCUCCCACAAUGUUGAACUAGUUGCUCCCCUUCGUUUUAAUGCCUUCUUCACAUCUCACUGCUUCGUGGAAGUUAUCUCAAGAUUGUAAUUCCACCAUAUAUAUAUAUAUAUAUAUGGCAUCGAUUUCAGUCAUAGUUGAGAUCAACUCGAAGUCCUAUGUUAUAUCUAUGCUCUUUCAGGUUCACAGGGAAGUGCUUUUAGAUAUGGUUUCCCAUUAAAUUUCAUUUGAUUUUAGAACGUGGGUUCCUUUGUUCCUGGGUCUGCCAUCAAUCCAAGCUCUUGGUAUUGGUGGCCUCACACAUAAGUCAAUCGGUGAAAGUAAUAUUUGAUAAGGUUGGUCGAGUCUUGAUGUUCCUUAUGUAACAAUAAUCGUCAUUUAAAGGAAAAUUCUUUAUAAGCAUUUUUAUUAUCAAAAAUAUUUUUGAAAUGGUAAUGAAGAAUGGGUAUCCUGAUUUAGCCCUCAUGGAACCCGGGAUAGGACUGCAUUCUAAUUUUUUUCACUAGGAGGAAAUUUCGUUUUUAUAUAUUGUUAUUUUCUAGUGGUAGUUCUAUUUCUGCUCAAUUAGUGUAUAGCUUUCAACAAUCAAUAUUCGUUUCCAUUUUAAGGUUUUUAAAGAUGAAAUCAUAAGGCGUGAUGGAGAAGAGAAGUGGAUGCAGGUGGAACGAGGCCCAAUAUGCCACUACCGCCCAAGCUGCAGGCCAAGAGUUUUGGUACGUGAUGUCAAAACAGAACAGAUGUGAUCUCAAAAAAAAAAAAAUGCACUAUAUGUAAAAUCAAGGAUAUUUUGUCCAUCGGGGUGGGUGGGUAUAUUAACGUAGCGAAGCUCUUUGCUGUUUCACGUAAACAGCUCCCUCUUUUUAUUCAAACUUUAGAAGCAGCUUAUUUAAAUGAGUUGGUCUCCUGAUCUAAUCAUUUUGAGCUUUGUAGUUGUUGAGACUAUUGAAAAAUAUUUGAAAGUAUAUGGUAAAUAAUUUAAAUGCAGGUGGGGGAAACAUAUAUGAUGUAAAAUUUUGUCAAAUAUCCAGCAUCCAUUGGAGUUGCAUUUGAAUAGGAAUGUAGGAUUUGGGGGAUAAUAAAGACGACCCCGUCCCCACUCCCCCACUCCCACUCCUACUCUCACAUACAUAGUUUGCGUCUCCCGCAAGUGAAUUGGAAAAAGGACGAAUCCAUGUCCCACUUUUUUACUAUUUUACCUGGAAAAGUGUCAUUCCCUCUGUUCCAAACGACCCCACGCCCCACCGGUCACCGGUGCUCACCACUCACCACAACCACCUUUUUUUUCCUUUUUCUUUUUAACUCAACUCCAAUGUUAACCAUUUCGUAAAUUUAGAGAGUGAUGUAGCUGCUGAACCUCUUAAAUUAAAUCUUAAUGAACAACGGCUUUACCACCACUCAUCCACAUCUAAAGUCUUGGUUAAAGCUCCAUCUUCUAGUAAAAAUCCAUGUUCAAAGUCAGAUCAAAAUAGCGUUGGAAGUUGGAACCAUCAACUACAGUCUCAUCCUCUCUAUUAAAGACUGGUCAAUAACCAGCAAAACCAGAGUCUGAGUUCAAAUCGGUUUUAGGAGAUUCGGCUCUGACACCGAUAUUACCCUUUUUACCCUUACUCCUCCUAACCUACCACUCCUGUCGGUGCCUUCCUCCUUGGGACCCUAUUUGGAACUUGCAACCAUCUCUCACUGCCUCCCUGUUCCCAUUUCUCCUUCUCAACACCCAUCUUUCAUUGAAACGUGUAAAAGUAUAUUUCCAAUGCUGUUAUUAAAAUCUCUUACUACUAACACCAAUUUCUCACAUUUUCAGUAUCACGAUAAGAAGUAAGAACCACCCGUUUCUUAUUUUGCUCCAAACUAUAUAUAUAUAUACACACACGACCUUUUUCCCUCAUACGUUUUGUGGCUUUACUUUAUUUUAUCCUUGGGCGCUGUGGUUUAUGGCACGCCUGCACUGAGGCUAUGAGCUGGAGUGUAAGUGUAGUUUUAUAGCCUUCUUUCCCCCUUAUCCUUUUCUCUAUCUCUUUCUCUCUUAUCUAUGUCCUUCUUUGAUUCCUCCAUAUAUCCAAAGAGGAAAAAAGGGACAAAUUUUGGAUGAAAAUCUCACAUCUUGGGAGUAUAUGUAAUCCUUAUUUUCUCAUUCUUUUUCCUAGAUUUUAGUCCAGCUUGCCCACAUUAUCAAUGGAGUUGUUGAAACAGUUUUCCUUUAAAAUAAAUAAUAAAUGCAGUGUCUUCGGGGGUUUUCGUUUAUUUUCCCCCUCAUCUUCUUCUUCGUUUCUUCUGUAAGAUAAAUGCAAUGCUUCUGUGAACACUUCCACUGGAAAAUGGUUUUCAAGCGCAGUUUUCUCAUCCGGGUGAAUGCUUUUGAUCGAUGAAACUGGUGGAUAGCUUUCUUUCUGUGCUUUCAGUAUUGAUUUAUUGUCCGGCUUUGCUAUCAUCCUGAUAUGGGUUUUCCGUUAGUUUCUUUUAUUCUUCCACAAAGUUUAAAUCUUUGCUUUGUUAUUAUUAUCAGAAGAAAUGCUUUUCCCCCCUCCUAUUCUUGUGCAAGCUUCGUUGAAAUAUUUAUGGAUAUAUGUUUUUUGGCCUAUUUACUCGUUUAACCCAUCGUUUUCCCUUAUUUGUGGAUCAUGACUUCUUGAUAUUUGCUCUCGGUUUACAUGGAUUCAUAGUCUAUUUUAGGCGGGAUCAUUUGUAUUUACAGUGAAAUUGUUUUCCCCUCUGUGUUCUUCAUUUUUGAAGGAAGAAUAGAUGGAAGAGGAAAGUGAUAUUCGGCGCUGGGACGAGCUAAUACCCGAUGCUUUGGGUCUAAUCUUUAGAAAUCUUUCACUCCGGGAAAUACUGACUGUGAUUCCCAGGGUCUGCAAAUCAUGGGACGAAGCAGUGAAAGGGCCUUAUUGCUGGCAAGAGAUAGACAUUGGAGAAUGGAGUGACCAAUGGCCGGAGCACCUUGAUCGCAUGCUUGAAAUACUAAUCAGAAGAAGCUGCGGUUCCCUCCGCAAGCUCUGCGUUUUCGGUCUCCAAAACGACAGGCUUCUCUCUUUCAUUGCAGAACAGUGAGUAGAAUUGCACUCUCCAUGUUUGAAAGCGUUGAUGCCUUGCUUUUAAUCCUUAGCUUAGGAAGAACUUUUGGAAAACCAUUAGUCCAAUUUUGAUCCCAUUUUGGUACGCUUACACCAAUUUACUGGUUCAGAUAACAAUUUCUUGAACCAAUUAGCCUAAUUUGAUGCUUUAUUGGAGAGCAUUCCCAAUUGGAGGAUUUAGGCAGAAAUUAGAUAAAUCCUUUAGUCCAUAUUUAAAAAUUCACUGGAUCAGAAGAAUUCCAAGUCGAUCCACUGUCCAAUUUUUUUGCUUUCAUAGUUGGGUUGCUUGUUUGAUCCACACUUUGGUGAUUUCGCAUGUUAUUGUCUUUGUCUUUUGGUUUUGUAAGUGCUGGUUCUCUUCAGACCCUGCAACUGAUAAGAAGCGAAAUAAGUGAUUCUCUAGUGGAAGAGAUUGCUGGAAGGUUUUCAACACUCACUUUCUUGGAUGUGAGUUGCUGCAAUAAAAUGGGCAGCCGAGCUCUUGAGGCCAUUGGAAAGAACUGCAAAUCGCUUGUGGGGCUGUGCCGGAACAUGCACCCACUAACUACUGCAGGCAAGCUCUCGCAGGAUGAGGAGGCUCACGCCAUUGCCACCACAAUGCCCAAGCUCAAGCACCUUGAGAUGGCUUACCAUCUUCUCAGCACAAAAAGUGUUCUUGAGAUCCUCUCGUGCUGUCCCGAGCUUGAGCUUUUGGAUUUGAGAGGGUGUUGGCAUGUGGAACUUAACGUGAAGUUCCUCAAAGAGAAGUUCCCAAAAUUGAGGGUCUUGGGGCCUGUUGUUGUGGACUACUGUCGGUAUUAUGAAAUGAAUGAAUGUGACGAUUACUCGGACUAUGAUGAGAGUUCAGAUGGAACAUGGGAUGAUGAGGGCGGGCUGGAAGAGCUAGAGGUGCGAUUCUAUGAAGGAUUUGGCGAGCAUCCAGAGUAUGGUUGGCCUACAUCUCCUUAACUCUACUGUCUAGUACUUGGUUAUCUGAUGCUUCUAUUUCUCUUUACUUCCAUAUCCUAUGUUUUAAUGGAAAUGCAGUGUGGUGUUUGUUUCUCUGUCAUUAUUAAGCUCAUAGAGCUAAAUCUAAAACAAGCUUAAACUCACCCAGAAUAGAAUAUCAUGCAUAGAAAUUGAGCCUGGAAGCUAACAACCAUAAAACUAACUCUUCAGUUUAAUUCUUUUCAUGGCCAAGCACAAAUUUCUGAUUAUUACCCUGCGGACUAAAAGGGUCCAGAAUUGCCCAUCUUAUUUUGAAUUUGAAGGGAGAGGUUGGCCCUACUAAUAUUUCUAUAGGAUGGAUAACAGGUAAUCACUGCCCAUCGGGUUCCCAAGUGCUCAAUAUUCUUCUUCAAUUCUCAUCAAACGUCACUCAGAAGAGACAUUCACCAUAUUAUAGCAUAUGGGUCUCAACUCUAGAUAGUCUGCCAACUAGCAGAGUCAACAUAGAAGGCAAAUUCAUCCCCAUCUGACUGGGGUUAAAGAAUUCUCUUACGGCAUCUUUCAGAAAAAUGCUAAUUGACACACUAGGAAUAUAUGGAUGAUAAAAUCGAAGUAGUGCAUUCUGAGUCCAAGCAAUGCCUGAAAAAAUAUUGAACAGUUAUGGGUGGCUGGUUGAGACAGAGUACUUGAUGGGUUGGCUUGCCGUGCAGGUUAAUAAAAAUAUAUGCAGAGUCCUCAAUGUGCGCGCAUAAACUCGGGAGGCGCAGGCAGAGAUAGUGAGGGGCGCUUAUUUUGUGUGCGCCUAAUGCUCCUAGGAAUGUCUAUCAAACAUGUUCGUUUGUACAUUUGUUUGUGUUUAUAUUAUAUGUUUGUUGUUUGCUAAUCAUGAACUUAGGAGGAAGGGAUUCCAACUUUAUAUUACCUAGUUCACAGUCACAUGAUCACAUGUGAUUCAUGUCUUUGGAUCUUGUACCCCACCAUUUCAAAAUUUCUUGAUAUCCGCGUUUGACCAAACAGUUGGACAAGCCACUCUCAAAGUAUGUGUUGCACGUGUUGGAGGGAAAUUUUUGAAUCUAUUCUGAAGCAUGACAGUAAUACCAAGACUUCUUUAGAUGGAAAAAUAUACUUGCAAUGACCCAUAAGCUAUGGGCUUCCAAAAGUAUAGCUGAGAUUAGAUAAUGUUAGAAACAGGCUUAAGGUUGAAUUCAAUCAUCCGCCUAUGCUAUGCAUAUCCGAAUCGAGUCACCUUAAAGAUACCAGAAUUUUAUUGAAAUAUUGGCUUUUCCCAAGAUGCAGAUGAAAACCUUGUCUCUUAAUCAUCAUUGCAAUGGAUGGAAUUCAGUUCAUCUUUUUCCUCUCUUUUCCUGAAUCAGGCUCUGGCCAUGGACCCACCACCAACUGCAGCCCCUGUUUGUAUGUACCUUACGGUGGUUGUCGCUUUUUGUAAGGGUUUUUCAUUUUUGAAUGGGAGUAAUUGAGGACGUGUAAUGGCCCUACCCAGACGUGUAUUGAGAAGUUUGAUGAUAUCGAACAGCGGUCCCUCGUCCCUCCUUUCCAUCCCCGGAUACCCGUGCAUUAACAUGAUAAAUCGAAGGAGAGGCAUGCACAGACAGAUGAAGAGUACCCCAUUAACUGUGGGACGACCUUUUUGGAGAGACAUUGAGCGAGCUUUACAUCAUGGAAGCAACCACAUUCACCAAUGGGUUGCUGAUGCCCACAUAUUUCUAUAUGACAGCUAAUAUUACAAACACAUUCUUGGAAUUAAUAUUACAAACUGCAAAAAUAUCCAGGAUAUGAGUACUUAUUUCCCUACCAAAGGGUCGAUUUUGAUCAUUUGGUACUGUGGUCCCCCUCCUCCAUAUUGGAAGAUUCUCCCCCUUUUAGUUCCUACUCUUCAAUUUCAUUCUCCGUCACCAUAAGAAAAUCAUUGGUGUUCAAAUAGUGCUCCAGGUCAACCAAGGCAAAGGAAGUAAAUAAAUGGAGGAAAAACAUAUGGAACUGGAAGUCUCAAAAGAAAGAGCGGAUGAUGAAAGGGCUCCUGAUAUCAAAUUGGAGUCAUCUGUCGUGGCUAUAAUUAUCUGUGCUCCCAGAAGGCUUCAGUUUCAGCCUUUCAGGUCAACAAUCAAGAGGGGCUUGUUGGCAACUGGGAGUUGGUAUUUGAUGCUAAUUAGCAAUUAAUUACAAGCCAUGUGCAUGCAUCUGCAUAGCCUGUGCGAAACAUUUAUGGUACAAGGACAGCAUGGCUUCAUCAAUAUUCUCACAACUGUUUUUGCAUUACCCCUUGGAGGUGUUUUAGAUAAUCUCAAUCUUAUAGGAGGUGAUGAAGGAAAUUGGGAUCGUACCAAGAUUAAUUGUUUUACGUCUCUAUUGUAUGAAGCUGGUUUUUAUCUUGAAUUGGCGUGGUGUAUAAAAAUUAGAAAUUUUUUAACCAUCUUAUGAAAAAGUAGUCAUUAUUAUGUGAAAUGUAUUAUUUCAAUGAAAUUAGUAGUAUUUAAGAAGAUAUAUCCCAACCUCGUUCUUGUUAUUAAGAAAACUAGUGUAAACUUUCAAAAUCUUCAUGAAUAUGUGAUUGACAAGAACCUUCAAAACAAAAGACGUAAUAUUUGUUAAGUGGUUGAAAAAUAAAUUUGUUGAAUUUAUCAAACUAAUGAAAGAUUCAAAUUAAAAUUUGAUGGUUUAAGGAUAGAUGAUAAAAGUAACCCAGAACAAGUUAUUAGAGAAUAUAAUGAAAUCAUAAAAAUAAUAAGUAGGCAAAAGAUGAUGUUGGUUUGUUAAGAACAAUGAGUUUUUAAAUCUAGGAUUGAAGGCGAUCAAAAAACAAUAAUAGAUUGUUAUAAUAAAAAGAUUAAUAUUUCUAAUUUUAUUAUAUUAUUAAUAUAGGACAUUUAAAAGUUAAUUCAAGAUUUAAAUAUUUACAAUUAUUAUUGUAUUUAUAAGGAAAUAAAUAGAACAAGAGAUUUGUAGUAUUUCAAUUAAAGUUUUGAGACAACGGAAUGCUUUAAAUUAUGAUAUGUUCUCUUAAAAUUUUGAUUUAUGAAUUAAUUUUUGCAUAUUGAUUUAGAUCCUAAUAAUAUUUUGAAUAAAAUUAUUGAUCUAUCAAUACAAUUAGUUUGAUUAUUGAAAUACUUUCUAAUUAUUUUAUGUAUAAAUUACUCCACACUUAUAAAAUCAAAUGUACGAUAUAUUUAAGAAAUAUAUAACUUUAAAUUAUCUCUUUCAUAUUUGUUUUGUUGUGUUAUAGAUGUUUUUAUUGCUUUUACAUAACUUAUUAAGGUAAGUCAUCAUUGAUGACUAAUAUUUUUCCGUUAAUUUUAACUAUUUCUCUAUGAUAAUAUUUUUUCAACUGUAUAAAGGAGAUGUAUUAAUGACAUGUUUUAUGACUUGUUAUUUUGAUAAAAUUCUUGUCUUAUUAAUUGCACAACAUUGAUAACAAACAAUGUUAAUAUUAUAUCAGGUGAUAGAAACUUGAUUAAAGGCUCUAGAAAAGUUUAUAUUAUGUUAUUAGUAGUAUUUGAUUAUAUGUGAAUGACACUUUAUACUAUGCUAGAUUCAGAAGAAUCUUAUAAGACCAACCCGGUCCCCCAGAGUAAACAAUGAUACAUUAAUUCAUUGUAAAGUCAUAUGAACAUACAUUAUAAAAAACUAGAAGUUUUUAUUUAGUGAUUAAUCUACUUAUAUACUUGAAAGAUAGAAUAACAUGUUGUGCAGAUUAUCAUUUUAAUGAGACAAAUUUCUAAUCUUUAAGGAGAGAAGAGCCAGUUCUAGAUAUGGUGUGAAAUUAUUUGGAAUGUAUUGACUUUGACUUAUCUUGAUCCUCAUACUAAUAAAUUUAAACUGGAAGUUCAAAAGAUUAUUUAUUUGCAAGAACUUGUAAAUCAACUACCAAAUGCUUUAAUUGAUGCAAAUAAAGUGACAAAAUCAUUUUUACUGACUUAGAAUAUUCUAGUAUGAAUUGGUGUCCCUAGAAGACAAUUAAAUAAUGUGUUGAUGUCCGUGAAAGACAAUUAAAUAAUGAGUUGAUGUCCCUGAAAAACAAUUAAAUAAUAAGUCUAAGGCGCGCUUGAAGCAUGGUAGACCCUAAAGAGAUAAACAUAUUCCCUAGAAAAGGAAAACACAAGGAAAUAUACAUGAAAGGUGACACUCUUGAAGAGUUGCAUAUAAAAUGGGUUAUUAAAAUGACUGAUCAGUCUCAAGUAGUCCUUGAAGAGACAUAGUUUAAAUAAGUAGCCCUAGGAGAGACAUAUGUUUUACAAUUAGCUCCUAAAAAGGUACAAGUACCUAAUAAUGAUGAAAUCUCAAUUAUCUACUUGUAUAUGGAGAAAAAUGGGAUUGAAAUACUUUUUGUCAUUAACAAUAUAUUUUCUUUCCAAGUGACUAUUGGUAUUAUAAGAAAUGAUGAGGAUCCCAAAUUAGAAACUAUGGAUGAAUGACAACAUAGAAAAUAUUGGUCAAAAUGGAAAGAAUAUAUCAUAACAAAAUUAAACACAUUAGAAAAAUGUGAAGUAUUUGGACCUGUAGUCCAAACACUUGAAAUAGUCAAACUUGUUAGAUAUAAAGGAAUAUUUAUAAGAAAAUAUAAUAAGAAAAAUGAAAUAAUGAGAUAUAAAGCGUGACUCAUAGUUCAAGGUUUCUUGUAAAGACCUAAUAUUGACUAUGAGGAAACAUAUUCUCCUAUAAUGGAGACAACUAUAUUUAGAUAUCUAAUUUGUUUAGCAGUCUCAAAAGGACUGAAUUUGCGUCUCAUGGAUGUUGUUACUGCAUAUUUACAUGGACAUUUAGAUAAUGACAUAUAUAUGAAAAUCCCUGGAAGAUUUCAAAUGCUUGAAAAAACUAAUUCAAAACAUUAUAGCAUAUAAUCAAUUAAGCUACAAAGAUCAUUGUAUCGAUUAAGUAAUCCAAAGACAAGUGGUACAAUCACUUCAAUGAAUAUUUGAAACAGAAAGUAUAUAUGUAAUACCUCAUUUGCCUAUGCAUAUUCAUUAUGUUGAAUAUUUAUAAUUGUUAUAGUAUAUGUGGAAUAUUUGAAUUUUGUUGGAACUCUUAAAGAGCUUACAAGAAUAGUUGACUAUUUGAAAAGUAAAUUUGAAAUGAAAGAUUUUGGAAAACAAUAUUUUUGUCUUAGUCUACAGAUUGAGUACUUUUCAAAUAAAAUGUUAGUUUAUUAGUCAACAUAUACAAAGAAAGUCUUGAAUCACUUUCAUAUGGAUAAAUCACAUCCAUUAAUUUCUUUGAUGAUAGUUCAUUCACUUGAAGUGAAAAAAACCUCUUUUGUCCUAAAGAAGAUAAUGAAAAACUACUUGGUCCAAAAGUACCAUAUCUCAGUAUUAUUGGUGCAUUGAUAUAUCUUGCAAAUUAUAUAUGACUAGAUAUUGUAUUCCUUGUUAACUUGCGAGAUAUAAUUUUACAUCAACUCAGAGACAUUGAAAUAGUUUCAAACAUAUACCACAAUGACAUGGGUUUAUUUUAUUUGAAAGGAUCAGAAUCUCAAUUGUUUGUAUAUGUAAAUGUUUACUAUCUUUCAAAUCCCCAUAAAACUCAAUCUCAAAUGAAGUAUGCAUUUAUCUAUGGUGGUACGAUAAUAUCGUAGAGAUCAAUCAAGCAAAUAAUGGAAACAUGUGGACUACCCUCCAUAAGAGGUAAUGCUACCAAGUUAAUAAUGUUGCAUACAUUGCACAAAUUAAAGAAUGAUAUAUUAAGGGUGAUAGAAUCAAGCAUAUAUCGCGGCCCAAGUCUUUUACUUUAAUUAAAUCUAAUAGAGUGAUGAAAUUGUUAUUCAACAAGUAAGAUCAAGUAACAAUUUAGUAAAUCUAUUCACAAAGGCGUUGUCAACUGCAAUCAAGGAGGAAAAAUUUGAAUAACAAUUUGUGAAUAGAUUUACUAAAUCUAUUCACAAAUCUAUUCGCGUGUCGACGAGGAGCGAAACGACAUUUGGAGGAGAUAAGUCGGCGGGGCGAUUUUUCGCUAAAAAUCACCAAAAAAUCGGCGAUAUAUCGCCGAUAUAUCAAAGAUAUAUUCAAGGGUGGUGCAAUUAAAGAAACGAUGGGACGCUUAAUCAGCAAAUUCUUCAUUUAUGAGAGUGUCGCAUCCGCAAAAGCAAAGUCUCAUCACUUCAAGAAUAUGAUUAUUGGUGCACAAUAAGCAAGUAAUUACUAAUUUAUCAAAUGUUAUAUUGUGUUAUACUUUUAGUAAGUACAGUAUUUUGUGACAUGUUUUACAUAUGAAGUGCAGGAAUGGGAAUCGAACCUCCAUUUCCAUAUGAAAUAAAGAACAAAUACUUGGAAAUGGAGUACAAAGAAAUGUAAGCUUAUGUGAACUAACAAAGGGAAAAAUGGAAGACAUAUGGGUGCACAAUAAUGUUAGAUGGAUGGACAGGGCCCAUUAUUAAUUUCAUGGUUUAUUCUAAAGGGACCACAAUGUUCCUUAAGUCAGUCGAUGCAUCGAACUAUAUCAAAGACCACAAGUAUAUAUAUGAGCUUUUGAAGACUAUUAUCAAAGAAGUCGGUAAGGAAAAUGUGGUCCAAAUUAUCACAGAUAAUGGGUCGGCAUUCAUGAAAGCAGGGAAACAAUUGAUGAAGAAGUAUAACUUAUAUUGGACUCCGUGUGCGGCGCACUGCAUCAACUUAAUAUUUGAAGACAUCGGUAAAAGACCUAGUGUUAUCGAGGUGAUAAACAAUGCUCGCAAGAUAACUAACUUCAUUUACAAUCAUGGUUGGUUACUAGCACAAAUGAGAAAGUAUUGUGGUGGAGACAUUGUUCGAUCAAGAGCUACAAGGUUUGCUACCAAUUAUAUUGCUCUUGACAGUCUUCUCAAAAAAAUGGUUGAUUUGAAAAAAUUGUUUAUGAGUGAUGAAUGGGCACAACACAAACUUAUUCGAACAAAACUUGGACGAGAAUUGGAGCAAUUAUUGUUUGACCAUAUGUAUUGGGACAGAUUGACAAAUAUAGUUUCAUUAUAUGAGACAUUAUACGUGGUGCUUCGACUUGUGGAUUCUGAAGUUGUUCUCACAAUGUCAUUUGUGUACGAGCUUAUGCACGUGAUGAAAGAGAACCUUAUUCGUCAAGGAGCUGGAGAUUGGAUGUUCAAAAUAAUACAAGAUCGUUGGGAGAAAACACUAAAACAUUCACUUCAUGCAGCAGGUACUUAAGUACUAUAUAUAUUUAUAAGUUUUUAUUUUGUAUUUAAGUUUCUUUAAAAAAAAAAUAUUAACUCUACUAAAUUUUAUUGUAGCAUACUUCUUGAAUCCAAGAUUUCAAUAUAGGCAUGGAGUUGGUAGUGAUCCGGAACUACUUCAAGCUGUCCAUGAUGUUUUUGCAAAAUUAGAUCCAACUACUGAAUCGCUUGGUCAAUUUGGAAAUGAGGUGAAUAAAAAAUUGUUAUUUUUGUCAAUAAAACAAUAAUUUCAUUCAUCAAUUUAUUUGAACGUUUACUAACAAAUUAAAUGUUGAAUACAUAGCUUGUACUUUUUCGAGAUGCAAAAAGAGGAUUCAGUGAUUGAGCGGCAAUUGCAUCAAGGUCAACCAUGGUGCCCGGUGAGUCUUUAUAGGAAAAAAUUGAUUAUUAUUAUUAUAAAUUCACCACAUAAGUAUUUAUAUGAUUAUCAAAUUCGUUGCAGCUGAAUGGUGGUUUAUGUAUGGGAAUCAAACACCUACAUUGAGAAAGUUAGCCAUCAAAGUUCUCUCACAAACUGCGUCAUCUUCUGCAUGUGAGAGAAAUUGGAGCACGUUUGCUCUCAUCCACACAAAGCAACGAAAUCGUUUGACUUACCCUCAAUUGGAGCAAUUAGUUUUUUGUUAGUAUAAUAUGAGGCUAAAGUUACACGAUAUAGAGGCAGAAAAUGAUCGAGUUGCUGAAAAAGAUUACCUUGAUCUUCUUGACAUUUCAGCUGAGGUGGCUGAAAAAGAAGAUAAUCAGUUGUUCCAGUGGGUUAGGCCUAUACACUUGGAUGACGAAGUUGGAAAUCCUUAUCCACGAAUUGCCGUUCAUGCUCGAGAAUUUGGAGUUAAUGUUGAACGUGUGUUGUCCGAAGAAGUUCACUCUGAAAGUUUUAGCAAAGAUACUGAUAAUUCACUUCAUGCGACAUUGCAUUCCCACCAAGAGAUUGACUCCACAAGUGCUGGCCAUAGUAGUAGACCUAGUGCUGUAGGGACUUCUGCUUCUGGUUACGAUGGUUCAAGAGGUGGAACUGAUGAUGGAGGUGAUAAUGUGGGAUGAGAUAUUGAUGAACGUCGACAUAGUCAAUAUCCAAUCAGUCAAUUUACUUGUGAAAAUGAUUUCACACACUGCACAUAGGAUGAAGACCAUGGCUCUAGAAGAGCUGGUCCAGACAUUGGAGCUAUUAGGAAGCCUUAUAGAGGAAGAGAACGAAUGAAGGAACCAUAUAACGAGGAGUUACUUUCAGGAAGUUUUGAAUCUAUGAGUAUAGGGACUCAAUUUAGUGACUCCUCGAAUGAGGCUAACGUCUACCCUCCUCAUGUGAUGAGUUAUGGUCAACCUUCAAGUUCAACAGAUGAAGAGUAUGGUAUGUCACGUUAUUCCCCUUCUAGACAAAUACCAUACCAAAUUCCAUAUCAGAUGGAAUAAGGAUUUAGCGUUAAUACUUGGGUGAACUUUGAGUAUCCUAUUCAUGUAGAGGUAGUAGGCAGGACUCAAGAGAUAUAUGCAUGACAUGUUAGAAUUUAUAACCAAUAUUAUCGAGGCUUAUUGAGUUGGUACCAAUAUUGUCUCCAACAGCAAGUCGGGGUUCCUUCAUCUAUCAAUCCCAUUGAACCGCAUCGAUCCUCAUUUUGGUACUAAAAGGACAUUGCAAUGUAAUGUGUACAAAUUAUUGUUAUUUAAUGAAAUGAAGUAUUUUAUGUGACUUUAUAAUGAGAACAAUUACGAAAUUAACAUUUCUUAUAGAUCGACAUGAUAUAAUUACAUCUAAUAUCGCAAAUUAUAUCAUAUGUAUAUCAAAUUUUUCAAUAAAACAACUUUAAAAUGUCUAUUAUACUUCUAAUUAUAUUAUUAUGAGGUUUUUCUUGCAUUUCCAUGAGUUUUUAACAAUUUUAAGCCUACCGAUAUUUUUUUCCAGAAUAUCUGCCGAUAUAUCUCCGAUAUAUCCGUAAAAUCGAAGUACCGAUAUAUCCGUGAUUACCGAUAUUUUCAUCCUUGACUACAAUACUCAAUAAGCUCAUUAGAAUACGUUGGCUCAAAUAUCUCCAUGUUGUGCUACUAGAGAAAAUAUAAUCAUGUCAACAUGAGAAGGAACUAAUUGAUAAGAAUAUCACUACGCUGUACAAUUUUUUCUUUCAUCUAGGUUUUACUGAUAAGGUUUUUAACGAGGUAGUUGUAGCAAUCCAAAAGAAUAUUGUACUAUUUUUCCUUCAUUAGAGUUCUUUUUAGUAAGGUUUUAAUGAUGCAUAUUCUUAUGAUUAUCCAAGGGAAAGCGUUAUAAAAUAUGAGAUUUUAUUGGAUUAUAGAAACUUGUGGAUGAUCAUUUAUAUUGAUAUAUAUCUUUUUGUAACUCUUUUUAAAAGGGAGAUACCUUUAAUGAAAAUUCAUUCCAUUGGCUUCCUACAUUUUAUUAUACUUUUAUUUGAAUAUUUUUGUUUGUUCUUUUGUAUUUUUUUCUUCUUAUUCUUUUAUUUUAUAAUGAGAUAUUAUUUUUCUAAUUUUUAGCUUCUUUUGGCCUACCCGUAAUAUUUUUAUUUUGUGUUGGAUUUUGGGUUGACUUUUGGUUCCCAAAUCAAAUUUUUUUUGGUUGGGUUGAAAUUUUCCAAUCCAAUCUUAUAAUUGUCCGGAUUGAAGCAAGAUUGAAUAGAACUCAAACUUGGGCUGGGUGAAGGACCCACUAUACUUGCAAUUGGAUCAGCUAAGCCAAGUCCAAUCCAAUGGCGGUAACCAAAGCCUGAAUUGCGUCCAACGGCAUCUAAGACACCAGCAAGUGCCAUACCAACUCUUACAGAUUCCAGCUCGGAUAAAAUCAUGAAAAAGAGCAAGCAGACCUCUACAACACCUUUAUCUAUGAUUCUAUGUAGAGGUAGCAUCAUCCAAAAUAGGAAUACCAGGAGACAUUAGGCAUUACUUUCUAUCUCCAGGUUCAAGAUGCUUCAUUCUAAUGAAGCCCAUAAGAAUGCUUAAUCUGCUCUCUGAAGACUAGAAUGCAUGCUGAUGGUUUUAUGGACCUUUUGGACCGGGCUCCCUCUUGUUUCUAAGCGAGAGUUUGGGCCUCAGCAGUUGAGCCCGCAGCCCCGCCUCUCUUGCUUAGGUCUGAAAAUCAAAUGCUAAUGACAAAUAUGCAAUGAUAAUUUUUUUUCCAGGAAAAGCUCCAUUUUGUAUUUUUAUUAUUAUUAUUAUUUAAAAGUUUCUUCCAUUUAAUAAAUAAUUAUAUAUGUUUAAUUUUUAUAGUUGUUGAUUUUAAAAAAUGGAAAAAAUUAACACUUUGAUUUUUUUACAUUCAAUUAUUUUUUAUUACCAACGCAAAAGCAAAUAGAAAAUUUAAGAAAAUUGGGGACGACAGUUGAUUUUAAAGUACAAUUCUAAUAUAAUUAAUUUAGAAAAAUUUUGACGUGACAUUAUUUAAAAUCAUAAAUUUAAAAAUUCUCACUUAGGUGGAUUUUUUUGGGUACUUAUAAAAAAAGCAUCACUGCUUGAAUAGUACAUGUAUAUAAUUUUGGUCUUAUUAUUUAUAUCGAUCUCAUUAAUUUGUACUUUUAUAUAUUGAUUCCAUUUAAUCGUGUAUUUAUUUAAUGACCUAAAUUUCAUUAUAAUACCACUUCUUAACCUUAAUAUUUUCCAAAAAUAUAGCUUAAGAAUUUGUAAACAUAGGCACAUGUAACCUUAUCAGUUAUAAGAAGGGCACUGGAGGCUUCCUCUUUCAAGAAAAUAGUGAGCUGCGGUUCAUUCAACUUUGAUGGGAAGAUACUGUGAGCCUGAGACAUGAAUAUCACGAACUUAGAAGUUUCAUUCAAACCCAAUCACGUACGGGUGCUGACCGUAGGACGUAAGGCAGGUUUGACAUGCUGGGUCCAAGUGUGUGAGCCAAAGCAUUGAGCAUAAAACAAGAGAAUAUGCCGAAGCGUGAAGGAACACGUGUCGUGAAAGAAAAAUGAAAACAAAUGAGGUUCGGUUGGUGGGAGAGGGGAAGAGAUGUGCAUGAAGCGGAAGAGGGUAGGUGGGGGUGACCCGGUCUCCUCCUCUCUGCUGAGUGCUGCUGAGUGCUGAGUUGAUCGUCAAGGGGUAAUGGGCCUAUUCGUAAUUUCGCUCACUCUCGUCGCCCCCGCUUUUGGUCGUCUUUCAAAUGACUUUCUUUCCCCACAAACUGGCUUGGCUCCUUGCUUGGCUCCACUCCAUUCUACAGGUGAUCUAGCUAACUUUUUGGGGCUUCUCAGAAAUGGGAACGGGCAUUCGCCACAUCCCCCCAUCCAUCAUCCAUCUUGUCUACACGCAGUUUUCUCUCAUCAACAAACCUGAAAUCUGGUGGUGGGCUUGAAAAUUUGGUAUAUAUCCGGGAGAGUGGGUUCCGGUCAUUACUUCCAUCUACAAAUUAAAGCACAAACAACCCUUUCUUCAAUACAAUCAUAAUCGGUUGAAUGGACUCCAUUCCUGGCAACCCUAUGGAGGAAUAUCAGAUUAUCAUUGCCGAACGUAUAUAACCUACCCAAUAAGUAUUUAGUAUUCUGCUUAUAAACAGUAAACAAUUUAAGACUUCCUGUUUUCUUUAGAUAUACCAACCCCUGAAGUUGGAAGAGUUUUUUUAACUCACCUAGGAUGUGAUAUUUCGUUAGUCUGGUUUCUAGAUAAUAAAGACAAGAGAGGAGGGCAAUUUAUGUUUCUUUCAUUCUUUGUUUGUACCGGAAUCCAAUAUUCAUGAAUAUUGGUACUACAUGGAUCACUACCUAAUUUACACUAAUACCCAGUAUAGAAAUAAAAUUUAAUAAUUUUUUUUUUCAAUCUAAUCAAAUAUUAGAAUGGAAACCUCAUUUCUAUUAAAUUUUAAACAUUUAUAUAUAUAUAUAUAUAUAAGUGAAAUGAUUUUUAAAAGGUUUUAACUUUUAAGUAACUAUAAAAAAAUUGUUAGAGGUUCCAAAUAUUAAGUUUAAGGUUUUUAAGCACUUUAUAGUGCAAAGUCUAAAAACUAGUUGAGUCAGUUGAGUAUGAUGGAUCGAGAGGUAUUUACACAUCCUCUUUCUUUUCGUAAUAAAAAUAUUGUCGGUUGAGGCAGAACCUCAACUAAUUAAGAAUUGGUCGAGUCCCUAUCAAGGUUUGAUUGAAGUUAUAACCCCCAACAAUAACUUAUCAAAGUAUUAAAUGUUCAAUAACUACCGGACCAAUCAACCCUCAAAUUUGCUUUAUCAAUUUGGGUUUUCAAACCCUACUGUUUUAAACUUCUUUAUUUUAGAGUAUAAGAGUUAUAAAUUUUUUAUGAACAUCAUUUAGCUCUUCGGGAAGGGGGGGUGUUUUGAGUGCACUUUGUUUUCAAAUACAUAUUCAUUAGUGUACCUCAAUCCUAGUUUAUUUUAUAUUAUUUAAAUAAAAAAAUUUACAUUAGGAUUUUAUGAGAAUAUUUCUUAUAAUUUUUUUGUAAAUCUUUAAAAGGGAAAAAUUUAACUGUAAGGAUUAUCAAGUGUGAAGUAUUGUUGGAAAGAUUGUUAAGAGUAGAGUAUUUCUUGAGGAUUGUAAAGAGUGUUUAGUUCAAUUGUAAUGGUUUGAGCUUUAGAAGCUUUGACUUAAAGAAAGUCUUAGUUAAUUAGGAGUUUGAGAAGAGUGGAUAUAGAUCGGGUUGUAUUAAAUCACUAUAAAAACUAGUGUUUGCAUCCCCCAUUUCUUGCUUUUUAUUUUAUUUUUCAUUGUAUUUAUUAUAUAAUUGCAUAUAUUUUUUAUUUGUAUUUAUAUAAUUUAAAUUUAUAAAAAUUGAUCAUCACCUUAUUCACCCUCCCCAUUAGGUUGAGUCUCUUAGGUCGAUAUAACUAAAAUCUUAAUAAUGUUUUAGAGUUUUCAGUAGAAUAUAAUAAGUAUAAAGGACACGAAAGACACAUAAUUAGUUUAAAAUUUAUGAAAUAUAUAUGGAUAAAAACACUCUUGACUUGACUCUCCAAAGAAAGAAAAAUUAAAAUAAAUUUACUUGAAAAUAUAAAAUAACUUACAACAUAUUUAUAAGAGAUAAAACAAAAAAAAGGGAUACAAAUCUUGAAUAUUCAAAUUUUUAUAAAAAUGAAGAAAUGUUGCCCAUGUUUUCUUUUUCUAUAACUCAAGAAAAGUUGAAAGAAAACUUUAAAAAAAAAAAAAAAUCUUGAAAAAUCAAUUCCCAUGGAUCUCCAAUGGUUAUAUAAUAACUAACCCAUUACAGGAUAAGAUAAAAAUGGUGUUUUUGAAGGUUAUAAUUCAUUAAAAUGAAUUUAAAAUUUUUUAGAAUUUUGUUUUCUUAUGUGUUUUUUUUUAUGCAUGUUUUUGCUAUAAAAGUCUAUCCCCUUUUCAAGUGGGAAUGGAUUAAGAAUGUUUUGAAUAUUAUUACAUAGUUGUUAAAUAUUCUUAGCAUCAAUUAUAUUCCAACUUUUAGAUUUUGGACUUAAUUAUACAUCAUUUAUCAUUUAGGUUCAUUAUAUGCUAUUGAAAGCCUUAAAGGAUCAUCAUCCCCAUUAUCAUACGAUAAGAUGGCAAAUAUAUAUAUAUAUAAAAACCAUUCCAUCCAUCUUAUAUUUUAUCUAAAGGGUUUUGUCAACCAUAAUCCUUCAAGUCAAACAAAAAGGCAUUACACAUUUCUUUUAUUAUUAAGGCAAUACAAUAUAGCCCCAUUAGGAAUUUUUUUAAUUUUUAUUUUUGCCCUUUUAUUCUUUAUUUAAAUAAUUUAAAUUGAAAAUGAUAAUUCACAUGUUUAUAAAUUUCCACUAGUAUUAUGAGUUGGUUACCUUUCCCAAGGUUUUGCAAUUUUUUGCACAAAUGAUAAUUGUGAUUUAUUGCAACAAUACCCUAUUAUUUUCGGAGCAAACAUUUAUGAUUUUGUUUCUAAAAAAUAUUUUUGUUACUUUCUUAUUUAAAGAAUCAUAUGAGAAAGAGUCGAGGAGAGUGCUAGCGUAAAUUCUUGGUACAACACCCAAAAAAAAAAAGAGAAAAAUUUAAAUAUUCUACUCAUUUGAGAAAGAAAAUAUCUACUCAAUAUUACUCCUAAAAUGCUAGGUGGGUGACAAAAACACUUCAUCAAUUUACCAAUCAUAAUUAGGCACAACCACUAAUCACCAUACUUGGAGGGAUGCUAGGGGACACAUUACCACAUUCCUUGAUAGCCCCAAUACCCUACAAGACCUAUUUUUUUUUUUUUUCCUUUUUACGUACCUAUAUCUAUCUCACACUCUGGAUAGUGAUAUGUAAACUAGGAAGAAACUACAAGUUCCACUAUUGGAUUUUAUUGUAUCAACUUGAGAAACCACUUAUAGAGCUUACCAAGAUCAUAAUUAAUUAGAAGCUUAUCAAAAUAUUAUAUAUUCGAUACUAGGCAUUGUGACCUAAUUCUUGCUCUUAUGACUCAACACAAUCCAAUAACAAACUCAUCACCUCACCUCAAAAAUGUUCAAUUAUUCACUCUUUCAUGAGGAGAGAGUUGACCAUAUCCCUAUCACAACAAUCAAUACAAGUUUUAUAGGCCUAUAUAAAAUAAAGAAACCCAUAUUUAUAAAAGGAAAAUUCCUAUACAAUAUUUUCUAUCUAAAAUAAGUUUCAUAAAAAUAGCAAAAAAGUUAAACAUUCGAGACACUUUCCAAUAAAUAUCACCCGACUCACCCCAGUUAAAAUCUUUCUACACUUGAAUUUCAUAGCGACCACGGAAAAAAAGAAGACAUUAUUUAAAAUUAGAAUUUAGAAAAGGAGGAGUGUUGAUAAAUGGUAUUUUAUAUUGGAAUACAAGGGGUUGUAGUUGAAUACGAAUGUAUUUAGUAUUUACAAUAAGGAAAUGGAGACUGGAGAGAAUGGAAAGGGGGGAGUAGGUUGGGCUCGGCUGAGUGGAGUGGCUGAGAGCUGAUGGCUGAUGGCUAAUUGGCUAUAGUCAUAAUCAAAUUUAGUAGGUAAAAAAGCCGCAAAGCAGGGCAGAGGAAAUGAAUCAGCUUGACAAUGGACCCUACCAAAAAUUAGGUAGCUGAAAUACCAAAACUGCCCCUUUCCCCAACUACCACCACCAGCCACCGCCUGUCCCUGCCCCGCCAUCACUCUACCCUUAGUCUCCUCUUUCUAACCUUAUAAAUUCUCUCCCCAUUUCUCUCCCUUCCUUUCAUUGCUCACUGUCGUCUCUCGCCCUCUUUCUCUGCCAGUCUUCCUUUUCAAAUCCAAAAGCAAUAAAAAGGAGAGAUAGAAAAAGAAAAAGAGAAUGGCUCUCGCGGGCACUUCCAUUAUUCCCACCAAUUCCAACUCCUUCCUUCAAACCCAAGCUCUUCCAUCUUCGACCUCCAAAUCCCACCAACCCUAUCUUCUCACCAACCCCACCAAAUCCGCAUCUUUCCGACCCAUCUCUGCCGUUCAUUCCGCUGAUCCCUCCAAGAAUCCCGUCGUCUCCGAUAAGUCCCCGAAGGCCCCCGCCGCCGCUGCCUCCUCUGCAGCCACCACUGCCUCUACCACUAAAGUCUCUGGUGCUGUUCCUGGCAAAUGGAGCAUAGAAAGCUGGAAAUCCAAGAAGGCUUUGCAGCUCCCAGAAUAUCCGGAUCCGGAGGAUCUGGAGUCGGUUCUUCGUACCCUGGAAGCGUUCCCUCCCAUUGUGUUCGCCGGAGAAGCCAGGAGCUUGGAGGAACGCCUUGCGGAAGCCGCCAUGGGAAAUGCUUUUCUCUUGCAGGGUGGUGAUUGUGCCGAGAGUUUUAAGGAGUUCAAUGCCAACAACAUUCGUGACACCUUCAGAAUUCUUCUUCAAAUGGGCGCUGUUUUGAUGUUCGGAGGGCAAGUUCCCGUAAUCAAGGUCAGAUCUCUGUUGUUGUUUGUUGUUGUUGUUGGUUUUUUUUUUUUUUUUUUGGGAUGAUUUGGGAUUGUGCGUGUGAAGUUGGUUUUGAAUUGGGGUUGAUGGUUGUUUAGGUCGGAAGAAUGGCGGGUCAGUUUGCGAAGCCGAGGUCAGAAUCGUUCGAGGAGAAGAAUGGCGUGAAGCUGCCGAGUUACAGAGGUGAUAAUGUGAAUGGAGAUGCGUUCGAUGUCAAAUCGAGGACUCCGGACCCUCAGAGGAUGAUCAGAGCUUAUUGCCAAGCUGCAGCUACCCUCAAUCUCUUGAGGGCUUUCGCCACCGGAGGGUAUGCUUCUAUGCAGAGGGUGACCCAGUGGAAUUUGGAUUUCACAGAGCACAGUGAGCAGGGAGAUAGGUAUAUUUCAUUAAACCUCUUUUAGAUUUAGGUUGUUCUUCUUCUAAGUCAAUUUCAGAUUGGGAAGUGGAAACACCCUUUUGAUUUUGUUUUUUGGAAAUUCUUUUGAAAAUAAUUAAAAAGAAUCCUCUAAUAGGCAUUGAUGAUCGGUUGUUUUGGCGUAUUUUGCGAUAAUUGACCUUCCAAUUGUAGUUUGCCAAUUAGUGUAUGGAACAGAUGAUGAUGUUGAACUCCAUAAGCCAGUUCCAUCAAUAUCAUUAUUGUAUCUACUCUUCCAAAUAGUCCAAAAUAGAUCUCUUUUACAUAUAUAAAACCCCUUCCCCCCGUUUCUGUUUUGAUAUUCUGUAUAAAUAUCCACUAAGUAGAAGUCCUGUCUUAGAUGACUUUGUCUGGGACAAGCUUCAACUCGAACCAGAUUGCAUUUUCGUCUAGCUAAACUAUAUUAGGUAAUAAAUUUCUCGUUGCUCUCCUUGCCAUGACAUACCAGGUAUCGGGAACUAGCACACCGUGUUGAUGAAGCCCUUGGUUUCAUGGCUGCUGCUGGGCUCACAGUUGACCAUCCUAUUAUGACAACAACUGAGUUCUGGACAUCCCAUGAGUGCUUGCUCUUGCCUUUCGAGCAGUCGCUUACUAGGGAGGAUUCAACUUCUGGUCUUUACUAUGACUGCUCUGCACACAUGCUUUGGGUUGGAGAACGCACCCGACAGCUGGAUGGUGCCCAUGUUGAGUUCUUAAGAGGAGUUGCUAAUCCCCUGGGCAUUAAGGUAUCUACUUUUAAUACCAUUUUUAUUCAAUAAAAUUAAUGCAUAAUUAACAAGAUUGACUCAAACAAGUCGAUGCAACCCCAUUUCUAAGAAACUCAAGGGUUAUGCAACUGCAUCUAGGCCACUAUGGUUUGGAUUUUGGCCUGAACUGUUUUUUGUGGUGUUUCUUGGUAAGGUUGUUUCAUCACCCAAAUUUUACUCGGUGCUCUUUUAAGUAGAUCAAUUCUAAUUGUUCUAGUUUAAAUUGAAGUUGAUACUUGAUUAAUGCUUCCCUUCUGUUGCUGUGUAAUUUUGACUUUCAGCUGUUUGGAUAUGCAUUAUGUUGUAGUUGAUCAUGUAUGACUUUCUCAUGAGAUUUGUUUAUGGAUUUUGAAGUAAAAUUUGGUGGCUAACAGAAGAUGUCUCUUGUGCUGCAGGUGAGCGAUAAGAUGGACCCAAAUGAGUUGGUUAAGCUGAUUGAGAUUUUGAAUCCUCAGAACAAAGCGGGUAGGAUAACGGUAAUCACAAGAAUGGGAGCUGAGAACAUGAGAGUGAAGCUUCCACACCUAAUUCGGGCAAUUCGCAGGGCAGGGCAAAUUGUCACAUGGGUCAGUGAUCCUAUGCAUGGAAACACCAUCAAGGCUCCCUGUGGUCUCAAAACUCGCCCCUUCGAUGCCAUCAGGGUAUGAUAAACUUCAUCUUUCUUGUUCUUAUCACUCUACAUAAAUUUUGUCGCCAGGCAGUCAUAGUUGAGCAGAAACUACUCAUUAGAGUUCAAUGCUCAUGCUACCAAGGGUUUUAUGAACCAUGCAUAGAAAUUAGAUCUCUAUUUUUUCUUCAAAUAUGUUUGAAGAGGCAAUCUCAUCCUUUUUGAAUGUGUUAAUCCUUUUUAGAGGAUUUUAUCACCUAAAAUGUUUUGAAAAGAGUUGCAACUAGAGAAACUUAUUUUAAAUAUGAUAAAAAGAUAUUGAAUUCAAAUGCUAUAAACAAUAAAAUAGUAUUAUUUUGAAUCUAUGUGGCAUCCAAAUCCCAGGAAAAUUUUUGUUUAUACCUACAUUUUGGGUAUGCAUUAAUGAUAAAUCUAUAAAUAUAUUUAUUUUCUUCAUUAGCUUUAUUGUGGACUAGUAUGAAUAUUCUUCUGCCACAAUUGGCAUUCCUGAUCCUUUGAUAAAUGGGUUAUAGCCUAAUAAACGUCUAAUACAUGUUUGCUUUUAAUGGAGUGGCUAGAUUUCUGUUCAUGAGUUCAAUUUACAGAGUGAUUCAACCAUUUUUUUUAAACUAUUUUUAUCUUUAAAAACAUUGAUAUUUGCACAAGUUUUUUACCUUUUCAUUUGAUUGGUCCACCAAAGAUGGGUAUUGUGCAUUGAGCAUCGGAAAAUAUAUUUUGUCUCCCGCAAUGGACUCAAAUGGGGACAAACGUAGAGGUGUGGUAGGUGGGAAAGCAACACCAUAUAAGAAAUUCCUUAAUCGUGUAAUUAAUAAUUCAAGUAAGAAAUUUCUUUGGUAGGUAGGCAAUUAUUUUUCCUUAUCCAUAGUUGUGGUUGGACUGUGCCACCCACUUCAAUAUAGAAUUUGUCUAUGGCUAUGCUCACCCAAUGCCUGUUAGGUUGCUGGAAGAACUGAGAGAGAGAUUUAUAGAUCCUUAUGCUGGGCUAAGGGAGGAGAAGCUAUUGUAAAACUUGAAUUUGCUUUUCAUUUAAUGUUAAUGAUAAUUAUUAUCAUCAAUGUUAUAAUAACAUCAUAUUUUGUUGGAGCAGGCCGAAGUAAGAGCAUUCUUUGACGUGCAUGAGCAAGAAGGAAGCCACCCGGGAGGAGUUCAUCUAGAGAUGACAGGCCAAAAUGUGACAGAGUGUAUUGGUGGGUCACGAACUGUGACAUUUGAUGAUUUGAGCUCACGCUACCACACCCAUUGUGACCCUAGGCUCAAUGCUUCUCAGUCUCUUGAGCUCGCUUUCAUUAUUGCAGAGCGCCUUAGGAAGAGAAGGAUUGGAUCCCAGCUGUCUCUGAACACCAUGGGGCUGUAAAAUGAUGUUAAGGGCAUCCAAGUAUAUUGGUGUUUUUUUACCGCGGAAUUAGUAGUGCCUUUACUAAUAUAUUUAAUUUUGUUAUUUUCAUGUUUUAAUUUAUGAAGUGUUGUAUGUGUAUACUGGAUGGGAACCAUGGUUUGACUAUGAAGGGUCAGAGGAAUAAAGCAAAAAUAUUAGUAAUGCCUUGAAAAGAAAUUGUGUUCGGUUACUUCAUUUAUCAUAGUAUUUUUGUCCAGGAGAAACCUUAUUUUGGUAGUCAGCAGCACACCAUCUUCAUCUAGAAUGCGUGCUGGUUUGUUCAAAGUUAUCAGGGUUAUCUAUGUUUUCAACAUCCAUCUAGGCUUUAGACCUGAGUAGGGUCCAAAUUGUUAAACUUUGUGCUAAAUUAGCCAACACCCUCCCCUAUCCCCAGGGGUUUUACUGCCUUGGUUUUGCACUUUGGCUCUUGAACAAGGCGGCACACGAUCAAUCAAAAGUUCUAACAUUUCCUGGGAAACAAAAUCAGAGCAGGGAAAAAGGGAACUUGUCUUGAGGUUGGUUGAAAGUGGUUGCUAGGGUCCCCUUCCAUCUGUAAAAUGACCGGGAAUGACCAAUUUUCUGGUGCUGAACCUGAACAAGCCGGCUUCCUAUUUGGCAAGAAUUGAUUCAGCUUAGAAACACCUCUCUCUUGCUCAAUUCUGGUUGCAGAUUAAAAACACAAAUCAUCAAAUUUGUAAUGCAAUAUUAUCUUCAAACCUUGACGAUAAUGAAUGCCUGAAGCAUUAGGGACGCACAACUUGUCUGGCUUUUGGAUGUUUGGUUUUUGGAACCAACUGUUUGGCAUUAAGUAAUACAUUACUAAAAAAACAUAUUCCUUUAGCGCUUUCAUUUUUUCAUGUAUUUCCUUUGCGUUUCUUUUGGUAGGUACUUUCAAUCCUUAACCUUCAUUUCCUAUCAAAGAAAAAAUCCAUUCAUCUCUCAUAUGAUUCCUUUGGAUUUUUUGAAAAUUCCUUAAAUCAACAUUUUUUUUAGAAAAAUGUUUUUACAUAUAAAAUUUUCAUGGAGGUCGAAGCUUAAGAAGAUACUGGCAGACAAGAAAGUUUACCGCUGCCAAGGUGAGAUGUAAUUGUCAGAUGGCAAACUUUGUCUGCAUGUGGCAAAAGCCCAGCACCAGAAAUAAUACCAUCUAUUUAAUUUUUGGGUGAAAAAAUCCGUCAAUUCAAUCGACAAUCUGGGACCUCCAAUAUUUCAGCAUCCGUGCUUGUCAGUUGAACUGCUCUAAUGAUGAUAAUAAUAAUAUUUAUAUCACUAAUUAGAAUGAUAGCUACUAUUUCUAACGUGACAAUGUGCGGAGACGGAAAGACGGAGUCAUAAAUGUUUCAUUCAUCUGUUACAAAUCAACAAUAUAAUAAUAGCACUGCGUUACAUGCGUUCCAAGAGUCACAGUGCAUUCAUGCACUUAUUCACCUUGUCCCCUUUUCCGGAAAAACAAAUAGAUUAAUAAUUCUUUAAGUCACAAAUAGAAUUAUUGCCUUAUUAUUAAGGUUCACAGCUACAUCCAAUUGAAAGAAUUUUGGUAAAAGUUAUGUGUUCAGAACAGGCACCAACAUCCGCAACACGAAACCCAACCCCUAAACGAGCAAUCAAAGGUGUGAUCAGCAGAAGCCGUCGUAAUUAUUCAGCUCUCCCCAUACUGUCUCCUCAACUUCUUCCCAUGAUUUUGCCACCUUCAGCUCCUUCCAUAAACUAAAAAUUGCCCCCAACACAUUCUCUUCAUGCAAAAUACAGUAGCACCUGCAGAUAGGGGAAACCAUUAGAAAAAAAUAUAUAUAUAUUCUAUAGGUGUAAGGCACCAAUGCUACAAUCACAAAACUUCUACUAGAAAGACCACCACGAUGCUGAUAUGGGAAAGAAACAUAGAGAGAGCAGAGUGAUGACAAUAAUGAAACCAAAAUGCCAUAAAGAAGAUAAAUGUGUGUGCUUUGUGUUUCUGGCCAAGUUGCUUAGUAGAAUUCACAAGCAACCUUGAACCAGCAACAAACUCAGUCCAUCCAUUUCAUGUUUUAGUGCUUCUUUGACAUGUGCAUCUAAAUAACAAAUGGACCUUGAUGAAAAUAACAGGGAAAAUUUUGAAGUAGCUUGAGGAAAAAAAUCUGGUUUCCCCUAAUUAUCAAAGCAUAAUUCUAGAACUAUAAUGUUUGGUUAUUGGAAAAAAAAAAAAAUAACUGCAGUCUUAUGGACAGUAGAUAUUUCAUUUUUAGUGCUGAUAAAGAAAAUAAGGUCAGUAUUGCAAUAAAUUUCGAAAGAAAAUCAACCAACAAUAUUGUGGAUAACUAAAUUGGGAAAGACAGAAUAUGUAGACAUAAAGAGAUGUCGAUUUUCACCAACUUACAUGGCAUGGUACGAUAGUCGCCUGAACUUAUCAUCAUGCUCUAAUCCAUUCUGCGAUGUUCUUCUCACUAAAGGAAGUUUAUAGCUUUCUAGAAACUGCUUAAGCAGACAAGGGUCUCCUCUAAAGACAUCAAGGUGUAUGGGGAUCAAGUCCCAAAUAGGGUCACCUGAAAAAGAAAUAUAGGAAUCAGAUUUCACAUUAGGGUGAUAAAGAUGACCUAAUGCAUCACUAACUACAAUUAGAACAUAUAAGAUGUAUAUGUCAUGACUGAUGCUAAAAGUCAAGAAGAUAGUAUUACAAACUAUAGAUAUUAUCAAAGAGAAUGAUAUACAUUGUGAAUCAAAAUCCUACAAGAUCAAACUUUUAGGAAAAUUGGUAGUUCAACAUGGUAUCUAGAGUUGUAACUUGGUUGAGUUUGUUGGGUUCAUGGCUAACUUGAACCUAAUCUAAAUUAAAAAACAGACUUAACCCAACCCAACCUCUAACUCGAGAUACUAAACCCAAAUCCAACCUAACCUCAUUUCUCUAAGCUCAGGUUGAGUUCAAGUUGAUCAGGUUGAUCAGUUACAUAAUUCCAAAUUCAUCUAUAAUGUUUUUUUUUUUUUUAAAUUUUGUACAUUUAUAUGAAAAUUUAAAGAGUAAAGAGAACAAAAUUUCAAGAUAGUAACAAAAAAUAUAUCUUAAAAAAAAAAAGGAAAACGAAUAUAAUAUAAUAUAAAUUGAUAUUUUUUCUUAAAAAUCUCAAAAGAAAAUGAAUAUUAUUACAUAGGAUAAUAUAUAUUAUAAAUUUUAUAAAAACAUUAAAUCAGAUUUAGGUUAGGCUCGAGUUGUCCAAACCUUGGCUCGAGCACAACCCAAAUUGAGUUCAGAUUGAAAAAACUUAAUCCCAGUCCAAGUUAAGUAUUGGAAAAAGACGCAAGAAGGCUUGGCAAAUGGCGCCGUUAUGUAUUUUUUGAUUAGUUUGGAAGGAGAGAAAUAGGUUAGCGUUUGGGGAUGAGGACCUUUUGCUUCAAAGGUUAAAAUAUUCUUUUGUAUGUAAUCUUUGGUUUUGGGUCAAGGGUUCCCUAGCAGAGAGUCAUUCUUCUCUUGUAAGUUUUGUAGACUGGAUAGGCUCCUAGUUAGGAAAGGUGGCGUGUAUACUCCCUGUAUACUUAGAGGACACCGGUUUUUGGUGUUCCCUCUUUUCGUUUAAUAUACUUCUUUUACUUAUCAAAAAAAAAAAAAGUAUUGGAAAUGACUUUCCAAGUCCAUCCAAACAAUGGGUUGGGUUCGGGUUGAGUCAAGCCCAUCCACCUGAGUUGUAUCCCUAAUGGUAUCAUAGCAUUGUAUGGCGGGAGGUCAUGUGUUCAAGCCUCACUGCAUAAUAUUUAUUUCCCUAAUUUAUUGAGCCCACAUUUAAGCCCAAAGAGGUUGAUUGUCAUUGUUUGCCUACAAGCCUAUGUGUCUCUCUAUAUAUGGGGGUGCCACACAUAUGGGCGAGUAUUAAAAUCCAAAUCCUACAAGCUUAAGAUUUUAGGAAAAUUGGUAGUACAACAAAUAUCACAAACUACAUUUUAGACCAUAUAAGAUGUUUAUGUCAUGACUGAUGCUAGAAUUUAAGAAGACAACAUAGUGCAUUUUUCUGUAUGCAAUAUAAAAGAAAUCAAAACAAUAGUAAUAUGAAUUAUAGUAUCAGAGUGUUCUUAGAUGCAGAGUGAAAGGCUGGUGAGGUUCUGAAUCUUCACCAAACAGAGAAUUUUUACAGUAAUUUAUAAUGAAAGCAUUUUUGCUGGUAUCAACUGAACAGAAACAAUAUUGGGAUUAAACUAGGUCAUGUUGAAGAAACAGCAAACUGAGGGUCUGGUUCAAAUAAUGGAUUGCGCUUUUUGUUUAAUUUUCAACUGCAAAAAUGAUGAACAGAUCAUCUCCAGUCAAUUGCCACUCAAACCUGAAUUUCUUCACACAUGGUCCCAAAAAGCAUCUAAACAUUUUCAGUUUGCAAACAGGCACCUAAAUCUAACUGCAAACAGUUUAAUACACACCCAUAGAAGUAACAUGGCCAUGGAAAAUGGAGAUUAUAUCAAGUGUCUAAACAGUGAGGGUUUGAACAUGAAGUUUUAUGGAAAAGAAGAUUAAAAAAACAGGUGUUCUUAUUCAGGCUGAUAAAUUAACAAUUAUGCCUCAAAUCAAAUUUGCCUAGUUUUAAUUUUAGGAGCAUUGCCUAUGGGAACAGUAAUUGAUUUUGACAGAAUAAAUUUCCAACCUUAUUCAUUUGAUCAGUAACUUUGAUAGAGAAAACUCAGCAAAAAUCCCUAUAUGGACGAUGGGAAACUGAUUGGUGAUCUCUAUCUAAGAGAAUUAACAAAUAACAAUUUCCAAUUCAUUCUACCAAAAAGGAUCCAUAGAUUUUAACAGAAGUAAAUAAAAUCAACUAAAGAAGGAAAAACUAACAUCUCUAACCAAGCAAAAAGAACCUCAAAUGCAUAAAAUAACGUAUGCAAUACAUGGGAUUUAAAAUCUAAUUUACAAUAAACAAAAUUAUAAGCAAAUGCCCAAGUUUAAGAGAGUAUUUGUUUUUUUAACUUUUUACUGAAAGUAAUUUGCUUCUAGACUUUAAGUUGUUUGUUUUUCUACUAUUUCAUAACUUACUAUAAAUUUUUGGUUGAAUAGAAAAAGUAACAUGUUAGUUUUUCUUUACUUUUUAAUGCUUAAUAAAAAUAAAAUAUUACAAAAACAAACAACCUAAUACUUAACACUAUCAAACACUAUUUAGUUUUAAAUUCUAUUUAGAAUUAAGUAAAAAAAACCAAACACCACCUAAAGCUUUUUCAAAAUUGGUUGUUUAAAAACAAUUGAUUUAGAAUAUAAAACCAUUAGACACCAAACAUGCUGAAAAGGUUUCCUUCAUGAUAUAAGACUUUCAACUAGCUCAAUGCUUUCAAAGACAAACAGUAGCCAUAAAUUUUUUUUAUAUAACUGUAGCAUGGAAAACUAACUGAAUCACUGAAAAGUAGUCACCUAUAGACAGAUCACUGAAAUCAAGAAUGUGGCCAGGACGCCACGAUACUUCCUCUGUGCAGCCAUCUGCAGAACCAUUGCCUGUCAGACAAGAAUCUGUGGCAGGUGUGGUCAAGCAAGAACUAAUCCUACAUGGUUCCAUGUGAAUAUUGUCAUCCAUGAUAUCUGAGUGUAUCCAGCAGCAAGGUUUAUUAACUUUGUCUUGGCCAUUUUCAUCCUAAAGUAAAAUAAAAGUCAAACACAAAUAUAAAGAUGUUAAAAAGAGAUUAUGGCAAGGAAUUUUUUUUACAGUAAGUACAAAAAUGACAAUCGUAAUAACAACAACAAUAACAUUGAUAAUAAGAGAGGCGAGAGGUACCUGGAAUAUAUUGAGCAACUUUGCAAAAUCAUUUGGGAGGUAUUCGUCAACUUUUUCCAUCAGGCUGCUAGGAAUUGGAUCUCCCCUAUAAAUUGCAACUGAGGAUUAAUCAGAAGCACACAGAUUCCUUUUAUGUCAUAUUAAAACAAGCAUGAGCAAAGCACAUUCAAUAAACAGCAAGGCCAAGAUCAUAGCCACUAAUAAAUGUAAAGAACAGAACCCUCAUUGAAAAGAUCAAAUUCAGUCACAGAAGACAAAUCACAGAUAGAUGAAUUAGCAGGGAUUUAUGGAUCAGUGCAACAAAUAACAUGCAUGCAUUAAUAUAUAAGCACAAGCAUACAAAAGAGCACAACAAAGAUCAGACAAUCCAUUAGCCUUAUAUUAGAAAAAAGGAAACAUGAUAUUUGCAUCUGUAAGCCACAGCUUUCUUACCAAAAGAAGAGAAAAAUAAAUGAAGGAAGAAAUUAUUUGGUUGCAACACAAUCUCUCAUCAAAUAAGCAUUUUUGAAUAUUCAUCAUAACAAUUUUUACAGUAAUAUGACAAAGAGCUAAAUGGAGUGUCCUGAUAUCUAACAAGCAAGGCGAAAGGAUCCACCAUUACCAACAAAAAUAAUAACAACAAACAAUAAAAAAAAUCAAAGAACCCUACAAAAAGAUGUCUCAAAAUUUAUUAAAUUGUUUCCCAUCAAUGUGACCCACUACACAAAAAGCAAAUAAAAAACAACCUAAUUUCUAUCAUGUAUGCUGCAUGUACCCUUUUAAGAAAGGUGAUCUCUACACAUUUCAGCAGAGUAAAUUCACCCAGAAUCAGCUCAAGCAAUUUAACCACAUGAUUUGAAACACUAUUUAUAUAAUGGGCUUAUGUUUUGAACAUGCUUUAAGAAAUGUGAUUCACCAUAUGAUGGGCCAAGAACAUUUUUCUAAUUUCUGGUAAGUUAGAAAACCAUACAAGCUGUAAUGUGUACAAGUCAGGUCUUUUAUCCCCAUACAUGGCAGGCAUAUCUGAUCCCUAAAAAGGAGGGGACCACUGUCCCACAGGUUACAUUAGGAAGCUAUGUGUAGCCAAAUCUUCUUUAUUUGGGAGGUUUACAUCAUCAAUUUUUAUCUUUUAUUCUUCAUUUUUUAUUUGGUAUGACCAAAGUUUUUAAAGGCAAAAGUGUGAGCUGAGGCGUUUUUGCACCCAUGAAGAGAGACAUAAAAGCCUUGAAGUGUUGAGACAUAAGCCUGAACCUUAAUUUUCAUAAAAAUAAUUUUCUAUAGCAUAUUUUCAUACAAUAUCUUCUCUCCAACUUUUAAAUGAUUCAUAUUGAAAAAAAAUUAUCAUAAUUGAUUUUUUUUUUCUAAUUGAAAAAUCAUAAUUAAUUAGAUUGCAUAAUUUUUUUCUCCACAUAAUUAAAUCAGUAAAUAAAUAAUAAUCUAAAUAAAAACAGUCAAAAUAAAUAAAUAAAAUUUUAAGUUAAAAAAAGGGUGAGUGUGGUGUAGAAGAGCAUUACUAGAGUUUUAAAUUUUAGCCAAAAAAGGGGGGACCACUGUCCCACAGGUUACGUUGAUAAACUAUGUGUGCCAAAUCUUCUUAAAAUCAUUAUUUUUAUUUUUUAUUCUUCAUUUUUAUUUGGUGAGAGCUACCAUAAUUUCUUUUCCAUAGCAUUCUAAAAAGUUGUACUAAUAACAAUCUAACGCACUUUUUGAUUGAAAACAAAUAAUCAAAUGAGGCCAGCCCUUGAGGCCAAGUUUAAGUUGCAAGGGGUUGGGAAGGUUAUUGGUUGAAUUCUAUGAAAUAGAAAAACAAAGAAAAAAACCCUACUUAUAAAAACUAAUAAUAAAAAAAAAAUGGAAUUACUUCUGAAAUACUUAAUCUACCAUUUGGAAUCACCAUCUGGUGAAACAGGCCUUUUUCCAUCAACAAACUGUACAAACUAGAUUUUAUGUUGGUUAGUUAGCUUGUUUCCAUUAGUAGCAUGUAAAACAUAAUAUAUCUAAAGAGGUAAGGACAUAAAUGUCUCAGAAUUAUACCACAAAGAUGACCAAAGAGUUUGCCUGCCAAAGAGGUAACUGCCACAGUUAGUAACCACAUACGAGUGCCAUAAUAAACUGAUUCUGUAGAUUUAAGCCAUGUAAAAUCCAAUUUUCUCUUGAGGCCUAGCUUAAGUGGCAAGGGGCUGGGGUAGGAAAAACAGAGACUCCACAUUCAUUACCAUAUAAUAGCAACAUAUAAAGAAAUGAACAAAUAAAACAAAUGAGAAAAAGAAAGGAAAACCAAAAGCAAAAAAGGAAACAAAAAGAAAAAGAAAAAAUCCAUUUUGGCUAUAGGCAAUAAUUAACAAUAGGGCUAUCCUUAUGUAGGUUGGGUCAUGUUGAUGGCCAACCCAUGCCCAUCCUAAAUUAAGAAUAUUCAACCGAAACUCAACCACUUACUUGAGGUACUUAAGCCAAGCCCAACUCAACCCAACCCCUAACUUGAGGUACUUAACCCAAGCCCAAUCCAACUAAUUUCUCUAAACCUGGAUUGAGUUGUUAGGCUCAAAUUAAUCGAGUUAGACUUAGGUUAUUUUCUUUCAUUAAUUUUUUUUAUUAUAUAGGAUAUUAUAAAUUAGAAAUAUUAUAAAAAUAUUAAAUUAGGUUCGGAUUUGGCUCAAGUUGCCAACCUGGACUCGAGCCUAACCCAAAUUCAGUUCAAGUAGAAAAACUUAACCCAAGUCCAAUCCAAGAAUAAAAAAUGAUCUCUAAGCCCUUCCAAAGGUUAGAUGUGCUUAGGUUGGGUUGUACCAAUCCAUUCAGUUGCACCCCUAAUUAAUAAUGACACAAUACAGGUGUUGUUUUCCCACAUAAGGUGACACACUUGACAUGUUAGUCUCAAAUAUGAACACAAUAACAGUGCAGUAAUCCAAAGGGUACAUGGUGUCAAACAUGACAAAAGCCAAACCAUAUGCUUUAUGUAUCUGCAUCAAUAGUUGCUCAACAGGUAAAGGUCAAUUUUAAGUACUUCUCUGAAGGAUAGGACAUACCACUUAGUUAAGCGGCUGGAGACAUCCUUUCUCUUCCUGGCUAGAGUUCUAAUGAAAAUCUCCCAUUCAGCUGGAAUGCCAAUUUUAUCAGAAAUUUCAUCCAUAAAACCAUUAUCAAGGGACAAGUGUAUUGAAUCGUUCAAAGAUGGAUGGGGCAAGAUAUGAAGAUUAUGCAGCUGCUCUCCCAAAAAAGAAGCUAAAUUUAGAACAUCAUCCCUUGGAAGUGUAUCUCUUCUGCAAAAAGAAGAGAACAGUCAACAUUGAUAAUAAAACUAAAUUACUCUUAUUCCUAGCUCUUUUAGAUUUCAGUUAUGAUAUACACAAUGUACCAAAUUAAAAACCAAAAUACUAAAAAUAUUGAUUAAAAUAAAAGUUUCAGAUUUCAUUAAAAAGAAUGUAAGAAACAUUUAAAAGAAUUUUACAAAAAAAAUAAAAAUAUAGUAAGAAACAAAAAAUCUCACUAGCUAUUUUUCAGUCAUUUUCAUAUUUUUUUAUAGGAAAAAAGAAUCAUAAAAAAUUUCAAGAGCCAUGAGAGAGAGAGGGAAAGUAGCUAGUGAUACCCUUAUUGUCAUUCUUUAAACAAAGUAAUUUUAAACAUUAGUCACAAGUAUACACAAUGUAUCAAAUUAAAAACCAAAAUACUAAAAAUAUUGGUAAAAAAAAAAAAGAAUUUCAAAAAAUAGCACAUGAAAUAAAAAUAUAGUAAGAAAAUAAAAAAUCUUAGUAGCUAUUAUUCAAUAAUUUUUUGUAGGAAAAAAGAAUGAAAAAGAAUCUUAAAAAAUUUUCAAAGAAUUCAAUAAUUUUUUCUACUAAAUUUUUUUGAAGAACUAAAUAUAAAAUAAGUGAAAGACACAAAACCUUGUAUGUAAAAAUAAUUUGUCAUAUAUGAACAUCUAAGGACCAAAUCAUCACUUAAACCUCAAAUAAAAUACAAGUGGUUAACAAGAGCUUGAUUGUUAUUAUCCAUAAUUUAAAGUAUCCUAUUAAACCAUGUUAUCUCUUAUGAUUUAAACUAAACACAUACUCUUAAUGUGAACAAUUAGAUAAGACAUAAUUUUAUGAAAAAAUAAAUAGCAUAUAAUUUAAUAAUAAUAAUAUAGUUUAAUUGUAAAUUAGGUUGUUAUUUACUUUAAUUUCAAAAUAAAAAAUUCAAAACCUUCCAAAAUCCAACCCAAAGAUAAUUCAACAUUAAGAACUUAUUUAAUAAAAUAGCAAAUAAAUUUUUUUUAAAUAACAAAAAAUAAAUUAAGAUAAUAGUUGCAUGAGAAGAAAAAAGAUGAAAACAAAAUUAAAAAUUAAUUUUUUAAAUUUUAUUGAAAUCCUAAUAUAUCAUUACCACUAAAGGAUAAGUAUUUUUCCAAUAACAUUUAAUUAAAAACAUUUUGUGCUUUUGAAAAUUCAGUUUGUAGAGGUGGAGAGGAGGAGGGGCAGCGGGUUGCAAAGUUUUAAUUUUUAAAAGAUUGUUAUUUAUGUAAGCAUUUUUUUUUUUCAUUAGGGAAAUUUUAAGAGGGGGCAUUAGCUCCAACAUUGUUGAGGAAUCUUGAGACUUUGGUGUUUCUAUCUUUUUCCUUUUCCUCUUCUUUUUCUACUUUUGGGUGUUUGCUGGUAUUCUUCACAGAUGAUGCUGUCUUCUGGUAUUCUUUUAAUAUCAGCAUCUUGCCCAAUAAGAAAAUGUAUUUGCCACUUCUAAUGUAUCAGAAAGGCAAAAAGUUCAGCUUCUAGCAUUUGAACUGAAACAAGAAACAAUAAGGCUAAGAGAACUUACAAACGAGCAAAAAUCUUUCCUUUGCAUCGUUUUGUUAUGAUAUAAGGCCAUAUCCCUGCGCAUUCAGCCGAACUAAUAGAUUCAUAUGUUGAUGCUCCUGCUUUUUUAUAUUCAAAAUCUUUCUUGCUCCAUACACCAAAAGAGAAACCAUCCUCCAUACACUUUGCAGGAACCAAAUUGCACUUAGCAAUCACAUCAGGCACUCCUUUACCAUCCCAAGGCACAAUUGUAUAAGAUCCAUUAUCAAGAAAGAGAAUCCCGCUAGCCAAGACAUCAGGAAUAUGAUCUUUCAAAGGGGAGUUGACUUUACAUAGUAGACUGUAAAAUUCAAGCUGUAAACAUGCAAUACGACAAUCUGUAAGACAUAUGCUCAGAGAGAGAGAGAGAGAGAGAGAGAGAAAGAGGAAAAGGAUGAUACCUCAGCACCUAAACUGUGAAUUGAUGCCUCUAGCCCUCCUUCAACAAAGAGCUUAACUACAGAGUCAGAAAUGAGAUAGACCUGCUCAGAAAGACAUGAAGAAGUUAUCACCAGUUCAUUCCUACACACACCCACACAUGUAUCACCAGUUCAUUAGAGAUAAACUUCACCUUUCAAGGUAUGAAAUUAUUUCUCGCUUUUAUGGACCGUACCCACCAUAAAGUUAUAUCAUGUCAUACCCUUUCUACUAUGCAUUGAAACUUUUUCUUUGACUUAGAUCACUCAAGGACAUAGUAAAAGAGCUCAGAAAAUACAAUCAAGUAAUGGGGGGUCAAUCAGGACAGAACCUUAUUCCCAGGUUUGGAUUUCACCCAUUAUGUGGUUUCAGCAUAUACAAGUAUGCCUCUGUAUUAGACAGUUCUACUAUCCUCCUAUAUAACUUGAAGCAUCAUAUGGGACAAGUUUUAAUUACUCAGGUGCAGCACCUCUAAGAAUUUGUCAACAGGUAAUGGUAUCCUAAGUUCUAAGUAGGAAUUUAGGAUGGAAGCAGGUAAUGAAGUCUCUGUUUGUGACUCUUUCUCAUAAUAAGUUUCCAUGUGUAUGUUGUGUCAAGCAUUUAAUUAGAAGUAGAUUCCCUAUAACAUAGGUCUAGCUCAUUUUCCAAAAAUUCUAGGAUGCACCUCGAUACUUAAUUAGGUCCUAUGAUAAACAUUAAUCUAUGAUGGUGCUUCAUGUUCACUGCUUCCUUCCCAACCAAACUCAGGAAUACCUUUUUCUUCCCUCCCCAACCCCCAUAUGCACUGGCAGUAGGCAUUUGCACUUUGCAGCUUGCUUUCUUCAGACCAAUGAUAUUGUAGAUCAUGUCUCAGUUGUUAAUUUAUUUUUAUUUUUCUAUUCAUUGUUUCAAACAGAAUACUACCAAUGAAACCCCAACCAGAUAUAAUGGUUCUCCUCACUCCCAAAUCAAUUCUUUGCAUAUGGUGCCCAUUUCUUCUGACCUGGCUGGGACAGGUAGUGCUCCUUUUCUGCACAAAUACAAUGACUUUUUAAAAGCUGAAACUCCAAAAUGUCCACUAUAGUCAAUUGUCUUGCAGCAGCAACUAUUUCUUGUUCAUUUUUGAAAGGUCCCCAAUUACCACCUCACCCUCUUAGGAUGCUGAGUUUGUUUCAUUUCUUCCAUCUAUCAUGAAUUUUUUGUUCUUUGGUCAAUCAAAUUGGAUUGAGCAAAACAACUUGCUGUGGAAGAGCCAGCUUCUUGUCAUGCUGAAAUCAUAGAUCUACAUGAUUUUCUUUUUUUCUAAAAUGCUAACCUACUCCUACCAUCUCCCUUUGUUGAUGAUAUCUGUUGGCUCCCAGAAGCCUCAAAUCACCUGAAAUAUUCCUUGUUACAUGUUUGAUUAAUUGCUUCUCUCAACAAUCAACAGGUUCCUACUGGUAUCAGUCCUUUCUUGGAUUAUAAGAUUGACUGCUUCAGUGAUUAUUAAAAAUGUUGAAUUAGGUCAACAAUUAACGAAUCUUCAGUCAAACACUGGUCAGUAGUUAGUAGCAAUAUUUCUCUCAUUCCCUCUCCGAGUGAAAAGGAUUAGUUUAAUGAUCAGCAAAUUUUGGACAUAAUUAAUUAUACAUUACACUUCCAAACAUGCAUCGCAGGACCCUAUCCAACUGAAUGCUGACAAAAGCCUCAACAAAUAAGCAUUUCUUGUUGAGAAAAACAGAAAAACAUCAUAUUAUAAAUUGUAUUAUGAGAUUUUUAAUCAAAUUCUAUAAUCUCUUUAGACUUUCCCACUGAACAACCAAUAAAGCAUUAAGUUCUUUUUCUUUUUGUUUGGGGAUUCGAUUCCUUUCCCUCCCCAACAGAAAGAAAAAAGAAACUCCUAACUAUAAGUUUUCCAAUAAGUAUGCAAUAAUCGAUUAAUCGAUUUGUAUAAAUAAGUGGACCAAUCUAGAAAUCUUCGUAUCCUUAGGUUAAAAUCGAAAAUGUUGAGCAACUAUUUAUUCAAAAAAAUGAACUAAAAAAGAAGAAGUAAAACCAUAGGUUCAAGCUAUCAAUAGAACCUCCAGUUAACUUAUGAACCUUCAAUUACUGAAACUAGUUAAAAUACAGAAAGUUCACUUACAGGAUUGCUUCCAGUGCCAACAGGAAGCCUCUCAUCAUCUGUGGGAGGAGGCAAACCAUGGAAGGUGCAAAUUUGUGCUGUGCGCUCUAGCCACUUGCCUGCAUUUAGGGCAAGACAUGCUCCCUAGGACAUUUCAAGACAUGAAAUAUAAAAAUUAGAGAUGAAAUCCAAAAAUAAAAUAUGGCUGGCACUUCAAAUUCUACAUAAAUAUAAAAACCCGUGAGAGUAAAUCCAGUGCAGCCACUAGUAAACCAACAGGCAGACUCACCAACAGUUUCACACCUGGCACAAGCAGUAGUCAUGUUGUGUAUUAACUGGUGCCAAGGUGGAUGGGUGCUGAUUGGGGUUAGAAUAAAAAGAAGUCCUCCAUGGAAGAUCUCAUCGGCAGAGAAUCUGCCUAGUUACUCCCUUAAAUAACCAACCUACUCAUUCUUUAAGAAUAGUUUCACUUUUUCCCAAAAAUAUUUUUAGUGUACUCACAAAGGCAACUCACAUAUACCACAAUGUCUUUGAUAGAUCACCAAAGCCUACAAGGCAGACCUUAGCCUUCUCAUUUAAUGAACCACCAAUAGACAAGCAUUAAAAAGAGGCUGAGAAGAAAAGACAAUACCUUCCAUAUAAGCUCUCUCAUUCCUGGUUUUCCAACCCAAAGCUUGCAUAACCAUUCUCUCAUUUCUCGUUGUCCUAUGCAAUUGCUUGAGCUCCACAGAGAACUGUAGUGGUCUUUCUCUUGAUCCAAAAACACGGACAAGAAAUUUAUAUCAUAAUAAAAAUCUUGAUUCCACAAAUCAUAACUUUUACAGGCACCAUUUCUUGCACUUUGGUUAUCUGGAUCCUUCCCGGGUUGGUAAGUUCUAACUCUCUUCUCCUUCCUAGUCAGAUCUGGAUGGUUCAAGCCAUCUUUAUCACAGAAUGCAUCUAUUUUGCCAUUCUCAAAACUUCCUUUGUCCAAAGCAAGCAUUCCAGCACGGCAAACUCCUUUAUGAUGAUAACCUGGAGCCAUAUCAAGGCAUACAAAUUCAAAGUUUUUGGAAUUUACAAAAUUCUGUGUGACAGCAAUAGUGGUUUCCAAAUUUAACACACAGUGCCACCAUCCACUUGGAACAUAUAUUGUUUCUCCAGGUAAUUGGGUACACUCGAUUGGCUUGUCUUCAUCAGCAAGAAGUGGAUAAAAGUCCAGCCACCACUGUUAACAAAAAUGGCAUACAAAACAACUUGAACAAGUGUUAUUAGAAGUACAAAAUAAAUCAUCGAUGUUAUGCAUCUGGAUGUCUACAUCAGAUACCUGCAAUGAUGUUGGAGUCUCAAUAUUGACAUCACCAUCUUCUUCAUUUACAUGUACUGUAACACCCGUAGGCACUCUUCCUGGAGGAUACAAUGCCCACCUAUUCAAACAUGAUUAGGACGUUACCUUAAUCAAUCCAUAUAGAGAGACAACAAAGAAACAAAGACAAAGAACUCUUCCAUACUAGAUGGUCACAAGUCAAAACAGGCACUACUGGAAAAACAUAAUUCACAAUGGAAUAAUGAUAAAGGCAAUGCCAAAAUUGAUAUUUAAAAGGAAGUUAUUUAAAAACACCUAUUUAAUUUCUUGUAGAAAUUCCUAAAUUGACCUCAACACAGUUGCAGAGAUGAGAAAAACCAGGAAUAAAUGUUUUUUAACUUUUGACCAAACAAUUGGUCACAUGAAUGUGGACAGCCACAAGUGCAUGAUAGAUGCAUGCAAAAACUUACUUUUUUUUUUUUCUCUUUUGAUCAAUUUCACCAAUGUAUGGUUUCACAUGUUAAUAUUGAACACACUAAGACUUCAGAAUAAUUGAGCAUAUAUUAAACAGGAUUGAAAAAACAAACCUAUCCAACGACAGGUUGAUCAAUCUAAACCUACUUGAGAAGCAGCCCACUCAAUCUCUUCAUUUUUUAAUCUCUUAAGCAGCUAUGUUAGAAGCAAAUGUGAAGGAAAAAUCCAGGUUUUCUACAAGCACAUACCUACAUGCUUAGAAUUUUGUUUCCCCUUAAAAGUUUAUAAGAAACAAAUUAGUUCUCAUGAUUAAAGAAGUUAGUAUUGAUGACAAAACCAUUUUCCCAUGACAAUUGUCUAUUCAAUUCUAUAGAAAAAGAUGUGAUCACUAUCCUCACAGUGUUAGAAAGGAAGAUAAAAACAUAAAACAAAACACCAUAGCUAGGGAAUUUGGACCUUAAAAUGUAAAACCGGUUGUGAAAUUUAGAUACACAGUUUAUCUAGUAGCAAUAGGCAUAGGCUGAAACAAAUUAUAGAGACUACAGAGCAAUGCAUAGAGACAUAUUUGUUUUCAUGUUAUCAAGCAUCAAGUUUCUCUUUUACAGUCACCUCUUACGCCCACAAAGAAGAGUAUUCCAAGCACUGGUAAGAGCUGGAUCAACAUGCCAAGAAGCACCAGACCUUUCUGGCCCAAUAAUGAGCCAUCUAAAAGGUGGUCUCUGAUCUCUAUCUAAGACAUCAAAAAAGUCUUCUUGAAAUAGAUGAGGCACGCUGUAAUCUUUCAACAAGCCUGGUGCAACUUCACCAAACUGCAAAAAUAGCAAGCUGGUUUAUUUUGAAAUUUUUUUAUUCAAGACUGCAUUAUAUGAGUAUUACUACUAACAUAGGAUCACCUUGUCAUCAAAAAUAUACAGGGGAUCCUCAUCAUGCUGAACUUUCAUGUAUGAGACAUAAUCUUUGAAUUUCAUUGUGAUCUUCCGUGAACUCCUUUGGGAUAUCUUAAAUGCUGUAUCUCCAUAAUUCAUCAAUAGCUGAUCAGUUGUCCAGGUACUUCUCGCUGGCCAAGUAUCAGCUAAUCCAGCAAGCAAAACCUAGAGUAGGGUUCAUCAAUAAAGCAGUGAACAAAACGAACAAGAAACUGGUAGUAAUUCACAGUUUUUCCACCCAAAAAUGUUCAAAAUAAAACAAGUAAAUCUAUUUGAGAUAAGAAAGAACAUGGAAAUAGUAAAACAACAAGACUUAAAAACAAUAAGAAACAGAAGCCAGUAUAUAAAAUAUGAUGGAACUGAAUAUGUGCAUGACCAGUUUAACACAUACACAUGAGGUUCUCUCCAAAUACAAAUAAAAUCUUCAUGUCCAUGAUAUGCAUUUUGAGAAAGUGAGCAGACUAAUAAAGGAAAAAGAGAGGGUAGAAAUCCACGAUUAUAACAUAUUAUUUUCACCAUUUCUUUCAAUCUAGUUCUUUGGAUUCAAAUAUGAAUCAGAGCUACUUUACCGGUUUUUUCCCAUCAUAUUCAUGACAGAACGCUUCUAAAGAGAGAUCUUUCCUUCUUUCUGCUUUCCCAUUAUCAAAAGUGAACCCAUCCAAUGUGGUGUGGCACCGAUAUAAUCUUCUGUACAGGAAUAAAGAGUUGAAUCCUGCAAAAUGUUAAACACACCAAGGCAUUCUUCUAAUCAAGAAAACACUGCAGAUAAUAAUAAUAGUAAAAAGAAGAAGAAGAAACUAAAACAGUCUCGCAAAGAAAAUUUCUGAAUAUCGACUGGAAAAGAGAGCCAGUGAAGGGAAAAGUUAUUAAAUGACAGUUAAGAACCCAUAGCAAGAGACUUUUUACCAUCAAAAUGCAAAGGCUUUUCGCAAGGUUCUAUAUAUCCAUUUGGCAUAUGCUCCCUGCAAUAGAAAAGGGACCUUUUCUUUAACAACACAAAAUAGGAAGUCAAAAGAAACUUAACUCAUAUACAACUGAUGGGAAACCAAUAUGAGAAGUACUCAAUAAGAACCCAAUUCCCAAUUAGAAUCAGAGAGUAAAAGCUCUCUAAAACAAACGUAGAAUGAUUAGUAAUACAUACUGAAGCAGUGCCGUUUUCUUCCAGGAGCCUUUGUACUGAAGGUGAUCCUUUACAUUAUUAAGGCAUAGACUCAUCCAUAGAGGCUCUUCAUUGCACAAUAUGUACAUCACACUGCAUAUUUUAGAGAAUCAAAUUUAAAGAAUAACAACAAAAAUAAUAAUCUCCCAUGCUAACUUCCAAGAAAUUCAAAUUAAAGAAACGUGUAUGCAAUGGGGCACCACAAAUAAAUUUUAUAUGAAGAGUGAUAACACAAUGAAACCGCCAAUUUUCUGCACAACCACUCACAGAACAAAUCCUAUUUUCAGAUUGGAGACAAAAAAAACAUAUUUUGUGAUCGGGUCAACAGCAAUGAAUUUAAAGACAAAGCCUACAUAUAAACAUUGGGCGAAAUAAUCAGAAAACCAGGGAUAUGAGGAGGGACCUGCUAACACAAGCGAGUCGUGAAACAUCUCGGGCGCCGAAACUUGCCAAAAUAGCAAGUAUGAUUUCAUCGGGAAGGAGACGUAGGUCUCCGAGAGCGUCCGCUCUGCGAUCUUUGAGCCCUCGUGUGUGGGUUUCAGAAAUUUCCGUCAUUGCUGAAAGAAUUCAAGCAGAUAUCUCUGUGUCUCAAUUCUCAACGCGAAUUGUGUUCGGGUAUAACCACCGCCCCUUCCGACCGCGUACAACUUAAGCAGAGCACCGCAGGGGUAUCAACCGUCUUUUCUUAUGCGCGUAACACCGCGUGGGGGAAGUGCAAGUUUUCGCAGCCAGUGCCGCCUCAUUUCUCAGAACAAACGCUUACAUCUCUGUCUCGCCGGGCUGCAAGAUUUUGAACUUUUGAUUUUUUUGUUUAUAUUAAACUUUAAGUUGUCUUCAUUUCUCAUUUGUUUUCCCUUGUUUGGAAAUUUGGAUCAUUUUUUUUAGGUUAUUAAUAAUGGAUUAAUACAAAAAUUUAUAUGGUAUUUUUUUGUUUUUGAAUUGUAAAUCUCAAUUUUCCAAAUUUUUGCAGAAUGUUUUGUAGUCUUUUCUCUCUUUUUUCCCUAUUUAUAAUUUUUCUUGGAUGUAUAUUUGUCUAGAAUGGCUGCUAACUUACCAGGUUUAUCCUUCUCAAUGCUACUUUCUUUAAAUUAAAGAAUUGAACAAAAGGCGAAUUCCAAAUUUCAUUUUUUUUUUAAUGCCAAGAAAAUGAAUGUGACAAAAUGGCAAUACCCAUAUGAAUGAUAUUUUGAAUUUCCUGGUCUACACUAUUUUGAACACAUCAUUAGGAAUAGGGACAAUACACUACAAGGUUUGAAGUUUGAACAUGUCAUUACGAAGUAAAGUCUGGCUGACCAUUUUCAUCUAGCCCACACCUAUCUUUUUUAACUUAUUCUUUCCAUCCUCUGCUUAUAUUUCUACUUCAUACUAUUUUAUCCUAUUUUUUCUUCUUCUUUUCCCAUAAUAUUUCAUCCCAUUUUUUCCAAUGCUCAUCUUUCUACAUCCUACUAUUUUAUUCCUGCAUCAUCGUAUGAUAAAUAAUUAUUGACUACUAAUAUAUUUCUGCCUUCGAAGAGCCAUAUUCGACCCCAUUUUCAGGUUAUCUAGUGAAUUCAGACAAACAAGAGAUGAUAAUUCAAUAAAACACCCGAGACAAAGUGAGCCACAUGUCACAUACUUAGUCUUUUUUCCUAAGCUCGUGCGGCACUUAGACAAGUCAAAACGUUUGAUCUUGCUAAGUCAACCUUACUCCCAAUGCUUAACUUGCUAGGCUAAAAUGCUCACGACUCAGAAGCUUUGGAAGACAUAGUAGGCGACUCUUGAAGAAUAUAAGCUUUUAUUGCUCAAAGGAAGUUUUACAAGUGCUUUAGGGACUCACUUGCUUGGUUGGUUAUGUUUUUGAGUGGUCUUGGGGUGAUGUUUUGGCCAAAUGAGACUUUCACCUAUUUAUACCCACCAAUAAAACUCUCUGGAACCUUGGAGAGUUCCUUACAACUCAAGAAUAAUUUAAAACUUUCUACAUAAUUAUAUAUACAAACCUAUGUACAAAAAUAUACAAGAGAUUCCUAGAAUUCUCUAGAAAGUCUUGUACUCCACUCCUUCCUCCAUAGUGUAAAGAUGUGUGAACAUUUCUAGGCAUCUCUAGAACCUUCCACACUCUUUCUAUUAAUGACUUAAUGUAGAUGGCUCCAAAAGCUUCCUAGGCUCUAUAUAAGCCCAUGGGAAGGGUCAUUUGAAACAUCUUGUGACAUAGAGCUUCGUAGCUUAUAACUGACAGGAAACAUAGUGGAAAAAAGGCUCCUUACCAUGGAUGAUGGAAAUUAUUUCUGCCUUAGAGUAGUCAUUCUUUGCAGAGCUAUCCUUAAAACAGAAAAAGUUUAAACCAUCCUUAAAACUGCCAAAUUUUGUACGGUAAGGAGUGUGGUUAUAACUUAUAACCAUACUCUCUUAACAUGCAAACUUAUGCUGCUAAGUGUCCUAGUGCAUAAAAAACAACCAACCAGGAUUGGAGCAAACUCCAGGACUAGUUCCUCCACAGAAUGACUCGGGAGAGUCAGCAAGACAUGCCACCAGAGACAGUCCAUGCUGAGCCAUGCAGUACAAAUUUUGUGUAAGAUAUAAAAAAGUACUUAAAUUCCAAAACAAGAACAUUGAGCUCUAUUGCUUCCAUUCCCAACAACUUAAUUUUCUGUUUGAAAACUAUCCCAUUAACACACUUUAAGUUCCGCCAAAUUUUUAUGUUGUGUUUUGAAAAUAUGAGGUCUCAAACUGUUUGGAUAAGCAUGAAGUGUUGGCAUGCAAGCACCUCUACCUACCAUGGAAAAUGCAGGUUGAAGUGCAGAACUACCACCUAGAGAUCAAGGACAAAUGGAAUUUUAAUAUUUGAAGCAGUCAUGUAAUUUGAAAAACUUCCCAUAAUUAUAAGUGAACAAUCAGCAAUCCUCUUGAUGAAUCUAAUGAACUAACAGGGUCUAAAGAAGCACCUUCUGCAGAAGUCAUGGAAUACUAAAACAAAUGGAGAACCAUAUCAAAAAACUCAGUGACAAUCAACUUUAACCAAAAUUCAACUUUCUUAGGGAGCAUGGGCCUAAGCAGCAACAGAUGGCUUAGACGCAGCAGAAAGCCUGGACCUUCUCUUGGCUAAACUCUCGCUGCGGCGUUCUCUCUGCUCCUUCAAUCUGGUAGCAAGGAGUUUCUGGUACUCAGCUGCUUCAGACUUGGCCUUAGCAAUUCUCUUCUUCUUCUCUGCAAUCCUGGCUCGCUUCCUCUGCAAGGUCAAAGGAGUAACCAACCUCUGUAUCUUGGGAGCUUUACUGCACUUUUUGCCUGCAAAUUAAACAAGCACCCCAAGGCUUUAAUAAUAGAAUAAAAGAUGCAGUUAGCCAUUUUACCAAUUCUUUUUUUGGAUAACCAUUUUAUAACCAAUAAAGGCAGAAUAAAGAAAGCCAAUUGAGCCAUCUGAAAUAACCAGUAGUCUGAAGUUAUCAAAAUUAAAACAGUGUCCCAUAGUCAUGAUCAAUGGUGAAGCCAAACUCCUCUACUGUAACACAACCACCAUCUUAGCCCCAUGACCUCAUAGAAAUUGUGACAAAACACCAGGACUUUUUCAUGUAUUUGGAAAUUGUGAUAAAACAUCAAGAAUACUCUUUUAAAAUAGCAUCCCACUUUUUUAAUGUAGGCUACUUCAGUACUUAAACAUAUUGAAAGACAUAAAAUUAAAAAACCUACCAGAUUUGGUUGUGAAUGAUCUGCGGUAUGUGUUGACAUACUUUCGGACAUCAUCAUCCUUUGAGAGGUUGAAGAGUUUGCGAAUCUUUGAUGCCCUCUUUGGACCUCUCAUUCUUGGUUUUUCAGUGUCUGUCAGCCCAGGAAGAUCACUCUCACCCUUCUUCACAAUAACCAAGUUCAGAACAGAAAGGUCCUGGCUGACAAUGCACCCACGUACAGCCUUCCUCCUCCUCUCUCCAUUACGCCUACCAUAUCCUCGAAAGCAAGGGGUUCCUGCUUAAGCAAAACUAGAACAGUUUUCAUCCAUCAUCUAUGACAAGGCAACAAAACAUGGUCCUAGCAAAACAUGCUUCUAACUGGCCGUGAUCCAUCUUAAACUUGAAGGAAUGGUGGUCAGUGCACCAACACUAAUAUACCACCAAAAACCCACCUCUAUGGAGCAAGAGACUAACACGACCAGGAGUUAACACUCCCUGCUUCAUUGGGAACCCUUGCUUGUCACAGCCUCCCAUGAUUUUGAAUACAUAGCCAUUAAAUUCCUGUCACACAAACAAACAAACAAAAAUAAAUGUUAUAUAAAUCUAGUCUGAUAGUAGAAUUUUGGCAUUGCAUAACAAUGGUAAAUGCUUACCUCUCCGAGGGCAUCUCCACUGACCUCCUGCGAGAUCCUCUUGUCAAAAAAUGCCCGACUACACAAAAGGUGGACAAACAUUUUUUGAUAAGCAAAUAAGGCAAACAUAUUAAAAAGAACCAAGAAGGCGGAGCAACACUGCAAAAGGCCGAUAGGACUAAUCAACUAGUAAAAUAGAGAUAUUAAAACCUUUUUCUGACAAUUUUGGAAGUAAGAUGAUAUUUAAUGGACACUAUAUUUGUUGUUAAUAUUAGUCAGCCAUAGUUGAAAUGCAUGUAAGAAUUUGUGCAUGACAAAGGGGGUAGUUACAAUCAUCCCAGGUAGUUGCUGCUAGAAAAAGUAAAAUCUGAAGCUGCCAUAAAACAAACUCAGAAAAUUACAAUGAAAACAACAGUAAAUUUUCCAAAUGUAAUUAACUAUGCCAGGUACCUACCAUCAAGAACAGGGCAGGCCAUAGAAGACAAAUGGCAUCCAUCUCACACAUGACCAUGCCCAUUGAUGAAAAAUGGUGCCCAUCUCACACAUGAUUAUAAAAAAUUGGAAGAGUAAAAUUUCAGGGGAAGAAAAAUGGCAUCCAUUUUACACAUGAUUAUGAAAAACUGGAAGAGUGACUUUUCAGGAGAAACCAAGGAUAACUAUUUUAGAGUGAUUGAUAGUGAUAACUCCCAUUUUCAUCAAUAGCCCCUAUUCACAACCACCUGUUUUUACCAGCAAGCACUAUAUAAAAAUGCAACUGAGCCAUUUAAAUACAACAACUUUCUUUAUGUUUUUACAUGUAUGUGUGAAAACAUGUUCCACUUGUAUGACAUCAGAGAGAAGUCAGAUUUGUGAACAAUCUAUGACUAUAAGCUAUUACAACAAAGCUUCUUAAGCUAGCAGAUUCCGCGAAUACUGAGAUGGGCGACAUUCCACAUGAAUAACACACAUUUUCUUCCCUUUUUCCAUUUAUAUUUUUGAUGCACAAAAUGUGUUAGUGGUUGUUUCAUAAAUAAUACUAGCACUGCAAAUCUCAGAAGAUGGCAUCUUCAUCAAAGAACUUUAGAUUUUCACAAACCAUAUAUAUAAACAAACCCAAAAUGAGCAGAGAAUCCCCAUCCUAGCAAACCAAUCAAAUCCUAUCCUAAGUCCAUAUACAAAAACAAAAAAAACAAAAAAAGAAAGAAAGAAAGAAAGAAAGAAAGAAAAGCAACAAAACCAAGAAUGAUUCAAUCACAUAUUUUAAUCCAUAUAUGAGAACACUGAAUCAAGUAAGCACUUACAGUUUCUGGUCAUCGUCAAUCUCAAGCUUCUUCUGGCAUCCUGUGGUCGGAUUCGCGAUAUUGAACUGCAAAACACACACAGAAUAUCAAAUUAGGGUUUUGAAACAUUGAAGAAUGGCCGGAGAUCAUGAAUUGCAAAUUGGUUUUCGUGGAUCGAACCUUCAUCCUGGAUCAGAGAGGAGGCUGGCGGCUCUGGCGAAAGAGAUGAGAGAAGCCCUGCCGCUAGGGUUUUGUAGUCACUGCCUACUUAUGUUGAUAGAGGACGCCGUGGGUGUCGACCUUACACGUGGACAGAUUUUCCUUUUGGUAACGGGAACGAUCCCCUGCUAUGCGUUCGAAUCAUAUUAGCCGUCCGAUUAAGGCUUUUGAUCAGUUGAUCUAAGGUGCUAAAAUUGGUUCCUCAUAUGCACUACCAUUUUUUUUAUAUAUAUAUAUAAAUAUAAAAUAAAAUAUUUGUAUAUCAUGUUUUUCUUAUAAAAAUGAAUAAAAGAAGCUAGAAAAAAAAUGAUAUUUUUCAUAUAUACAAUCCACGGACCAUAGGCGUUAAAAGAGGACUAGGCUUCAUGAGUUGGGCCCAACACAGACCCAUCCACGAAGCCUGGGUUGUAGGGCCUAUACAUGGUCCAAACCACUCCACGCUGGAUUGUAGGCCCAUUCAAUCAAGCCUACGACUUCUCUUUAUUAUCAAAAUCACUUUCAAGCCCCACCAUGACACACCUCUACGGAAAAUAAUCAACCCUACUAUUAAGAAAAAUGAGUCACUUAUGGCUUUUUAACUUUUCAUGAUUUAAAUAUUUCAUAAACUUCAAUUAGUUUUCCUUUUAAAAAUAAAAAUAAGAAGUGGUCAUGAUCAUUCCAAAUCGGGAUGAAGUAAGCUGAAAACCAAUCAAACCUAAAAAUAAAUUCAUCCUUUGGGCUAAUCCCACCCCCACCUAACCAACUAAAGCAUUGGCAGAUCCAGCCACAGGGAUAUGAUUCAUAUGAAAGUGGGUAGAUUCAAAGGUUUAUAAUUCCUGAGAACGAACGCAAGCAUCAAUUAUUGAUUCUAGUGGUAAUACGACCGUGGCACUGAAUUUAUAAUUUAGUCGAGGAUAUCAAUGCUUGUCUCUUUAUCGGUGGGGCGACCAUUACUUUGCAUGCCUCCCACUUUUCUGAGUCUGUCUUUCUGAUUAUUAUGUUCAGAAAAAUGCUAAGAAAAGAUUAAAAAGGAUAAAGGCGAGUGUGACUAGAGAGUCCAAUGCCUCUGCCUCAUCUCAUCCACUUUGAGUGCUAAAUCUCUGUGCAGUGAGUAGCAGCAACAAAGAAUUGGAGAUGGAGAGUUCCCAAGGAAGCCAGAACGAGGCAACGCAGCGUCAAAGAAGGAAGUCUCUGAAGGCAAUGUUUCUGGUACUUGUGAACUGUGUCUUGAUGACAAUUGGCCAAGUAGGUGGCCCCUUGCUUCUAAGGAUCUACUAUUUGCAUGGGGGAAAGAGGAAAUGGCUCAAUGCUUGGCUGCUCACCUCUGGGUUCCCCAUCUUGAUCCUCCCAAUGGCCUUUUCUUACUUGCGAGCUCAGGCCAAAGGGCAAGCCACCGUAUUACUGGUUACGCCUAGGCUUGUUGCUGCCAGUGCCUUCCUGGGAAUUCUACUUGGGCUUGAUGGUUACCUCUAUUCGUUUGGUUUAUCUUACCUCCCCAUAUCGGUUUCUUCCCUUCUUGGUUCAACUCAGCUGGCCUUCACUGCAAUUUUCGCUUUUAUUGUGGUGAAGCAUAAGUUCACACAUUACUCGGUAAAUGCAGUGGUGUUAAUGACCUUCGGAUCAAUCGUUCUUGGGCUUCACAUGAAUGGAGAUCGCCCGAGUGGGGUGUCUGAUGGGAAGUAUUUGCUGGGUUUUUUAAUGACCCUCGGCGCUGCUGCCCUUCAUGGGUUCAUUAUGCCAGCACUGGAGUAUACUCACUUGAAGGCCGGUAUGCCCAUCACCUUUGAUCUUGUCAUGCAGAUUCAGUUCCUUAUCUCCAUGUUUGCCACUCUGUUUUGCACCAUCCCCAUGGUCAUCAACAAGGACUUUCAGGUACUUGAAAUCACCUGUAUUUAAAUCCCUCACUGGCCGUCUCGAGCACAAUAUAUGACACACAACCUUCCAAAACUCUACAUCAACUCAGGGGGAGGUCCAUUAAGUAAUACCAAUGAUCUUCCAGAAGCUCCACAGUUGGAAAUCCAUUGAAUCUAAAGAAAAUAUUUCUUUAGAAUGUUUACUCAUCUCAACUAUGCCCAAUCCCCAAAAUUCUGCAGCUUCUAUUGUCGUGUAACUUAUAAAACAUACCUGUUGGUGUUGUUUUCACAUGAGGAAACCAUCCUGGUCAAAAAUCACUUCCCAGACCAUCUGCGUGGAGAAUUUAGAAGUUGCUUCCAAAUGAAUUUGAAAAUGAACUGAUUUUCCAUAGAUUUUGUGUAGGCUGUUUCAAAAGAAGCAGCAGAAUAUGGUCUUGGAGAGACUAAGUAUUACAUGGUGAGUAUUGGCAGCAGUAGCAAUGCAGUUGCUGAUCAUAGGAAGUAUUGGAGUGAUCUUCUGCUCCACGUCCCUCCUGGGAGGUCUUGUGUCAUCUCUUCUAGUUCCUGUCCAGCAGGUUUUUGCUGUACUUUUCUUGCACGAGAGAUUCAAUGCUGAUAAGGGCAUGGCUUUAGCCAUGUGCCUGUGGGGUUUUGCCUCCUACUUCUAUGGAGAAUACAGAUCAACCUACAAGAAAAUUCCAUCAAAACAAGAGUCAGAGGUAGAAAUCAUCUGAAUUUAUAACAUUUCAUGUGAUUCAAAUCAAUUCAACACCGAAUUCAUUUGUCCAUGCUUCUUUUACAAUUUACAUAUAUCACACUGUUGAUUAAUCUUUUUUCCAGUUAUGUGAUAAUUGAUGUAGCACCGCGCAGGCAUUUCAGGGUGUCAAAGUUUCCUCCUGUUCAAUAACUAGAAAAACCCUUUUACAUGCCUCAUAAAGCCAUUCAGAUAUUUCAAGGGAAAAAACAAACAAACAAGAGAGCUAGAACUCUGCUUUUUGAACGAGGGGGUCCAACUUUAUAUAUAUAUAUAUAGGUAAAUAAGAGUUUGUAUUAGAAAUGCCUAGAAGUAGCGAAAAAGGUAUACAGAAAGUAUACAAACAUCGUCAUAGGAGCUAUGAAAAAAGAAAGACAAAAAACCUUCUAUCUAGAUAAAAAAAAAAACCACUUUAUAAAAUCAAUCAUGAACAAAGAAUAAUCUUCUAAAUACACUAAAACCUAAUUCACAAAAGUAUACAAAAAAAAAAAUGUUUUAAAACUUGGUUGAACCAUUCAAUGUCAUUGAACACUCUUUCAUUUCUUUUCUUCCAUAAGGUCCACAUUAAGCAAAAGGGGGCAGCCCUCUAAGCCUUCUCCCUUCUUUUAUUCACAAAAGCUUUAUGUCAACCAAUCAAAUUCCUUUUAAUUGGGAAGUACAAGACUCAUUGUACACUAAAUAGAGAGAAAAACAAGCUUCAUAGCACUGUAACCUUUUUACAAAAUAGGAUUAGGUGAUAACCGAUUUCCUCUUUUUUUUUUACACAAGUAACACAUAUUCGACGUAUUCCUCUUCUCAAGGGCAUUGUCCAACUUGAGAAGUACUUUUUCUGCUUCUUGAUGUUACAUUCGUGAUAAUUAGAAUCCCACUUGUCGUAAGUGGAAAAAUGAGUAAGAAAAUUAUCCUAAAAUGACUAGGUAGAAGUGGCUAAAACCAAAAAGACGAACACAACAUCUCAAUUGGCAACCAAGCUAGCCAUGCCUAUGGCUUACAUGUACAACUUUACAGGCAUUGGCCCUUGGCUAGGUAGCUAUUUAGCCAUUACGAGGGAACCAAUUAGCAACUAACUAGGGUAGAUUCUUGAGCCUAAUGCCUUGUACUGACUAGGCAUGGCAGCUAAGUCUGACACGCUAGGCCGACCACUUCAGCCCAACGAGAUAACCGUCAUAAUUAGAUAGGAUGGUUAUGACUAACUCCCAAUGUUUGCCACCUAUCUGAAUAAAUGAGUAGAUUCUAUAACAUCCCGCACUUCCCACAAUAAUGUCACUGUGUCUGAUAUGAUUAUCCCUUUAUAUAUGAUAUACACCAUACAAUCAUGUUAGAUUAAUUUCAUUAAUCUCUAUUAAGGUUUUGACUAAAUAUACAUAAUUGUCAUUGAUUUGAAAUUUUAUUAAAUAUUUAUCAUAGUUUGAGUGAAAAGGAAAGUGGGUAAAAAUAAUAAAUGAAAAUGAUAGAAAAAAUAUUUUAUAAAAUUUUAAAUUAAUAAAAAUUAUGUAUAUUUAGUCAAAACCUUAAUAGAGACAAAUGAAAUUAAAUCGAAUUAUGUUAGAAAUGCCACCAAUCUUAUAUGAACAAUCCAAGUACUCUUCCUAAACUAUCCACCUAAGAUGCCAAAUAAGAGACAAAAAUAGGAAAGAAGGUAACUUUGAUAUAUCCUUUAAGAAUUCCCUAGUUUUCCAUUCUCUCUUUUCUGCUCCCUAAAAACUAAUUUGAACAUUGGGAAAGAAUUUUCAAGACCCCCUUGGAUCUUCCUUGCUUUGUAGGUCAUUCUUUAGUGCUUUAAGAAAUUGCCCAAGUUUGGAUUUGCUCAAUUAGCUCGUGUUAAAACUUUCCCGAUCAUUAUUUUGCCAACAAGUACCUCCGCUUAUUCAAUCCCCUCUCCUCCACUAGAUCUUUCAAAGUCAUUCAUGAGUGAUGACCUCUUCCCAUUCUUUUCCCUUUCAUACACUUCUUUUAUAAAGUGACACUCCAUCCUCUUUGUUAAUGCCCUAUUUUAUAAAAUUCAAAUUAUAAUGUAUUACAUGUGUAAUAUAUAUCAUGCUAACUUCAUGUACUCAUCAACUAUAAGAUAUCACAUGUCUUGCUACAUAAUAAUACAUGUUCAAUACCACUUUUCAUUAACAUAACAUGUUAAACAUUUCACUCUUGAUCUCAAUGUGUUGAUAGAUCUAUGUUUUGCUUAUAUAGCUUCUAUGUCAUAAUAUUAUGUUCACUAAUUAUAAAGGCUUAUCUUCAAAUAUGUUAUUAGGUAAUCUAGAUGUUUGUGAGAUACCAAUACAUGCUCAUGAAAAAUGCCAAGGGAUUUCUCAUAUUAUACUUUUUGGUGAAUGUGAUACUAAGAGAGUUGAUUGUACCAUCCCUUACCAAAGAGAUACUUAUGGCUAGAUGAGCCAUAUCUCAUGGAUGGUGUCACCCUUAACACCUCAUCUUGCUGUUAAUACGUUUACUCGAAUUUGAAGCAUUGUUAGAAGGUUCAAAAUAGACUUGAUGCAUCUAAAGGGUAGAAAUAUUUUUCCACCAUUUAGCAUUUUGAGACCAGUUUAAAGAUCGUUUUAUGGUUAGAAGUUCAUUGAGCUGAGGAUUAACAUGCAAUGAACCGAAUCUCGAUCAGAACGAAAGGGAUAAAACCACUGUGUCUUUAUUACACAGGCUAUUUUCAAAAGCUUUAGUAUUAUCAAUGAUACAUUUACUUGAUAUCUACUAUUUUGGAAUACUAUAAAAAGAUUCAAUUUAUCGUCAAACUAAAUAAGAAAUAUUCCUCUGUACACCUUAUUUCACUAUCACUCUCUAGUCCUUUCACGUCUCUGACUCUGCUCUACUCUCACCUUAGGUUAUUGACUCGGGAUUACAAGAACCUACACAAACACCCUUAAAUGCGGCGCCAACAUUCUUUUGAAAAUGCCUUGUAUACCCAAAGUUGAACGGGGCUUUCCUCUGGAUUUUUACCUAUCAAUCUUAUCCAAUUUGAGUCAUCAAUUCGUUGUUUUUUUCCGCCAAUUAAUUAAUAAAAUCUCUUUCUUCCUCGAUGAUGUUUGCAUAGAGAAUUGAAUACUGGAGAAAAUAAAUAAAUAAAUAAGAAGUUAUGGUAGAAACUUCCCCCUGUUUUCCUGUGAAAAGAUGGGACAAAUAUUAAACCGUGGUUUAGCCGAAACUAGUUCUGGCUGCCCUCUGCCACUAGACUAUAGUUCGCUAACAACGGCAAAAAUUACAACAUAUACCUCGUCUCCCCUGUAUGAUUGUGGGUCAUGACUGAUGAGACUUGGCGGAGCAAUUCAGAUAUGAGUCAUAUGACAUUCUUUUCUUUCCCCUAUGGGAUCCUACAAUUGACCCAAAAGCGAAGAUGCAGCAUGGAAGCGGGUCAUGGCCCCUUCAUCCAUUCUUAAACAUGAUGACAUGGAAAAGUUUUCUCAAAUACCCUGGGUUUCAUGAAUCGGGGUUUUUGGUUGGUGGGGGGCGGCUGGCUUCAUAGGAAGCCCAGAAUAGCAAUAAAUUGGGGAAAAAAAAAAAUCAGAUCCAUGAGACAGUUCAUGUUACAAUUAUAAAAUAUUCCACAUAAUUCCCCAAGCAGAAACAAUUUGGACUUAUUUAGCUUCGUUACACACAAGGAACAUGUAAGCAGACAAACGGAUUCCUCCAACUUAACAAAAAUCUGAUAAUCGAUGCCUCUGACCAUGGACGCACUGCCUCAGCAAGGUGGAAUAUGUUCGUAUAAAUUGUUUAAAAUGAACACGCAAAAUCAUCGCCACUUUCUAUAUCUUUUGAUUUGUAUAAAUUGUUUACAAUGGACACACAAAAUCACCACUAGUUUCUAUAUCUUCAUCAGCGUCAAUGUCAUCAAGAUCCAUGCUGCCUUCCAUAAAAGGCCCACCCGCCUUGCGCACUCCGGUAGUUUUCCUUGCCUCUUGUAUUAUGGAUAGUAUCUCUUCUACACUUUGGGAUGGGUUAUUUACAUCAUUUUUCUGCCAGCUUCCUCCAUCCAUCAUUUCUAUAGGCAAGUUCUUUAAGAACCACGGAUGUGUCUUAAUUUCCGGGAUUGUUAUUCUCUGCAAAGAUACAAAUAGGAACACAACAAGAACAUCAGAGGUUCGGAUCCAGAUUCAACAUCGCAUUUACUGUGCAAAGAGAGAAUGGAAAAAAGAUAAAAAAAAAGAGAAAAAAAGAAAAAAGGCUAACGCUAGGGCAAUUGCAUUGGCUAACUAGAAGAAAAAAGAAUUCAAAUUACUUGUCAACUAAGAGCUCUGCAUGAAAUACCUCUAAUUUUAUUGACACUUAUAUGGUCUAUGUUACCCCAUUCAAGAAGAUUUCAAAUCUAAUGGUUAUUAGAAGUGAACCAGACCCCUAUUAAUUGGUUCUUAAGAGUUCUUAAUAUGAACAAAGUUUGGGUGAGCCAGGCUAUCAUCAACAAGAAGCACAUUACCUUAUCUGGGUUUGCCACAAAAACUCGAGAUAGCAGAUGUCUACACUCAAUGGACACUCUGACGUAAUCUGGAAUUGAGUAGUGGACGCUAAGUAUUCUCUGUCAUGAGCAGAAAAAUCAUGAUUAAAAAUAAGAAAACCAACGUAUAAUCAACACGAGCUUGCUUUGUUUUUUGUUUCUUUUUGGGCGGAUUUUUUUUUCUUAGGAGGAGAUGGUGGGGGAGGGGGAGGAUGUUGGUACUAUACUCACACCAAUUGUCUUCCUGAAGUUUCUGGGAUCAUCAGGAUCUUCAAAGGGAUACGCCCCAACCAGCAUCACAUAUAAAGUGACCCCACAGGACCAAACAUCUGAGAGCUACAGUUCUUAAGGAUUAGAUAUGGAUAAAUAAGUGGUAAGGCAAACACAGCGGGCAAAAGAGAGAAAUUGGUUUCACCUUCCCAUCAUAUUCUUUUCUAGACAGGACCUCAGGUGCAAUGUAGGCUGGUGUUCCAACAGUAGAUUUUGGUUGAGAGUGCAACACAGAUGACUACACAAAAGACAGCCACUAUUCAGAGUUUCAUCAAAUAACAGCAGCAACUAGAAAAUAUUCAUGAUCUGGUUCUGCCUCAUUAGCACAACAAUUACCUUUGAGUAUCCAAAAUCACAUAUUUUGACACGUGGUGCUGUACUUCCAUCUAAGAGUGUAUUUUCCAGCUUAAGAUCUCUAUGACAAAUUCGCUGCAAGUAUUACAUAAACCUCUUUAAAACCAGUCAGCUUGAGGACCCUGAAAUAACUAUUUACAAUAGAAAUUUACAACACAUAAACAAGAAAAGAUUAAAAUAAUACCAUUGAAUGGCAGUAACUGACUCCAGAUAUCAGUUGUUGGAAGAAAAAUCUUGCCUGAUGCAAAUUAACAGAAACAGCAAAGUGGUAAGACUUAAACUAAAUUCUUCAUCAAUAACUAUAUAGAUACAAUCAUACAAGCAUAGAGCUUUGGAGGAAUCCAUCCUUUCAUAAUUUUCAAGGAAUGCGUAAUGGAGAUAAUGAUGCCACGGAUGCACAAGAAAAACUACCCUAAAAAAAGGGUAAAAUUGUCGCAUGGAAUUUCUCAUCCAUAAUGGUCCCUCUCAGAACGUUUAUAUUCGGCUGCUUAUAAAUGUCAUCCAUGGCAAUGUCUUAUACACCCUACUUUUUGUUACUACAGAUGCUCCAAUCUAUCCAUACCCUUGUAAAAGAGGCCUAUCAUUUGGAGAGAAACAAUCUAAUAAUCUUAAUACCUUAACCACUAAUCAGUCAGAAUGAACUGCACUUUCAUGAUCAAGAAAGCAAUAUGGUAAAACCACCACACCUAAAUAAGUUUUGAAUUUGGCCCAGGUAUAUGUUAGCCAACAACUAGGGGUUUUGAUUGAAGUAUUUGUCCCAGGAGUUGGAAAUAAUAUGAGAUUGAAGCCAUUUCCAUUUGUUCUUGCAGUACUUGGGCACAAAUUCCAUCUAUUAAACUGAAGCAAUCAUUUCCACCUCCAGCCCACCAGGAAAGGAAGCAAAGAUAUUGCAAAGCUGGGUUCAUCACAGGAACUUGUAAAUUUGUAAGUAUUCUUGAAGUUUUAAAGCUAACCCGAUAACACAAAAUCAUUUUAAAAGCCACAGAAACAAAUUGUGCAAGAUACAGAUGGAACAUUUUCAUUUCCAUGGAUGACCCAAACAACACUCACUACAUAGUUAAUGAUUUUUUGCUUGAAUUUUCCUCUUUUACUUUACCUCAUCCUCACUGAAUCUACCAGCAUUGCAUAUCCUCCCAAAGAGUUCUCCUCCUGCAGCAUACUCCAUGACUAUCGCUAGAUGAGUUGGUGUCAGCAAGACCUGCAAUGAUAGCCACCCAAACUCUUAAUCUGAAUUAACAAAGAUACACUGGUAAAUUUCCAACCCUUUUAGUUUCUCUUAAUGGGAGUUGAGCUCAUACAAAUAAAGGAGGAACAACAACAUUCUACUAACUUAAGCAUGAAAGGCUAUGUGGGCAUUAGCAAAUGCCUUGUCAUAUUUUGAUAAUCUAGAAUGGAAACUGAAGCUUUAUUUUGGGUUUGGUUUUCAAAUUAAGCAAGAAACUGGAUCAGCUGGUAACAGCAUUCCUCACAGUAUACAAAACAAAAUAAGUUUGUCUUCAAGUAUCAUUUUUCUUCAGAUUUCUUAGUCUAAUCGCAAAAGGUAUAUCCUUGAAGAACACAUUCAUUUCUAGUGGAAAUAGACUCAGAGUUACUGAUUUAGAAAUUUGUAAAAACAAAAAAUCACCUGAAUGGUCGAAAGAAGGAUUUUCCAAUGACUAGUUUUAUAAAAAAAUAUUGUUAAAAAAAAAAAAAAAACAGAGCCCUGAAAACAAGGACAGGCAUCUCCUAAUGAGAGAAAAUAUAAUUCUCUCGUGAGGGAUCUCAAGAUUCUCAACCAUAGAAAUAAAUAACAAGUCUAAAACCCGAACAAAACCUCUCACCAUUGAGCAUUAAGUAUUCGUCCCUCCUGCAUAGAAUGUUCAUACCACAUUGAAGGAAACUAGCAUUUAUACUAACCAUCUAAAUCCCCAACAAAACACUCAUACAACAUAAAGAACUUUAAAUACAAACCUCCUUGAAUCUAACUAUAUUGGGAUGCAUCAAUGAUCUAUGGUUCAUAAUUUCCCUUUGCACAUGUUCAUCAAUCUGCAACACAAAACAACCUCUAUAUCUGUAAUAAGAUCAAAGACUGAAAGCAAGAACAUUAUCCUUUUUUAUACAAAAUCAGCUUUAAAAAUCCCAACCAAGAAUUUAAAAGCCCGGAUGAAAAAGAAAGUGUAAUCACAUCUGACACAUCAAAUUUCCUUAAAAAAAAAAAAAAAAAAAAAGAAUUAGAAGAAAGGAAAAAAGAAACGGUCAACCCUGUACCUUCUGGCCUCUCUCAAUAAACUUAACAGCAAAGAGUUCUCUAGUGCGCUUAUCCGAAACAAGCCUGGCAACCCCGAAAUUCCCAGAUCCAAUAUCUUUAAUAAUCUCGUAACGCUCCAUAGCUUUAGAUCAUCAAACUACAAAAUCCGAAGAGUCUAGCUAUAUAUUUCCAAUUUUUUCCUCUCCCCUCUCUAUCGUCUCAGUUCUUCGUCAAAGAAAGGGGCAUGGAUUUCUAAGCUGUUGGAGUAAAGGCAACUUGUAGUUUUGAGUUUAUCCCGUCCUUGAUGAAGUACAAACCCCCAUUGUAUCGGUCGGGCAGCCUUCAAUUGUAUUUUACGCUGUGAGCAUGGUGACCGGAGAAACGUGUAGAAAAACGUGGAGAGACCUGGAAUUUGCAGCUGACAAUGACAUGGUUUUGUUAGUAUCAGGCGGUGUGCAGCAUGCGGAUACCCUUGUUUUCCAUGGCCAUGAGGGAACGGCUGGCGGUCCUAGAUUUGCCACGUCCCUACGGCACCCGCUGAAUUUUCCUUCCUUAAAACCCUUGCAGCACGUCAACUACACGUCAUCGAUAUGUUACAUGAUAUACAUGUUCUGUUAAUCUUAUGAUUCUGACACAUCAUCUUAUUCGAUGAUCCACCUCAACCCUAUAUCCUUUUCAAUUUGUUUUUGGUAAAUAGACGGAUUAGAUAAUUUUUUUCAAUAAUAAUAAUAAUUAAAUAACUAAAGCUAUUCAAUUAAGUAAAAUUGGCAUAAUACAAUUUCAACCAUUAAACAGUUUUUUGGCCCCCUUCUCACAAUAGGACAAAUUUUAAAGAAGAGAAGGCGUGCCAUGGUCGCAAGGUGCCACUACGAGAUACAGAGGCGACCAACCGAACAAUUGAAAAACCAUGUGUAAUGACUGGGGUUGGUUGCAAGUUGCUGCUACUAGACAAAGGGGAGACAGCUUGGUAAGACCCACAUAUUGAUGGGUCAUGACUGUGCAGUAAAUAUUUGCGACUUUGGAAGAAAAAAAAAUCUAAAUUAUAUAAUUUGUUUAUGAAUAUGGUUGGCAAUGAACGGUAUACAUAUAAACCUGAUUGUAACAUUUUUUUUUCACCAUAUGAAAGGGUAGCUGCUGAGAUUGUAAUUUCUGAAUCUGUUAAAUCAAUCUCAGAGGAUCCUGUAUUGCUAUAAAUAUAUACAUAUACACCCGACAGAAUAAGCUGAACGUUCUAUGAACAAGUCAUGAGCUCAUCCCCAGCAGCGACAACGGAAGGGCCAAGAUAUGGUGCUCUAGUGACCACUAGAUCAUCUGGCAAAUCUCUUUCCUCAAGUAUGACGUAACCUGCGCCACAAAUAUUGAAGCAGCAAAAUCAAAAUCCAUCUCAAGAUCAGGUAAGCAUCAUAUCUCAUUACUUUUUACUCACCAGGAAGCGUUGGAAUUGGCAUGUCAUUAAAGUAAGUGGAAGGCCUUCCAAACUCCUCACUGUAUGGCGGAGCCAACACAUCCAAGAUGGCACAAGGAGUGAGUGCUGUGAAGGAAUGAAUGUUUCCACCGCUCCUUGGGAAUAAGAUGGAUGGCUCGCGUGGUGCGUUGAAGAUGCUGUUUGUCACAAUUCCAGCUAGUCCAACUGCACCCACCAAUUCCAUAAUAAAAUCUCCACGUUCCCAUAGGAUUUGACAACGGGAAAAUGAAAGUCGCUAUUCGAUAGUCAAAAAAUGCAAUUGAUGUUGCUUAAUUUGAAUAUCCUUUCCAUACUUAUGUAUAGAUGAUGUUUCAGCUGUGAGUUGCAUAUUCUACCUCGUCCAGAACCUCGUCCACAUAGCUACAGCCUACAGGCACUAUUACUCCAGAGACUCUUAACUUAAACGCGACCGUUGGGGAUUGACUAUCGUGAACAAGUGUGUCAAUUUCUCCCAACUCCUAUGUAAAGUUUCCAUAUAAAUAAUCAUGCUCGAGCUUAAUAACUGUCCCUACAGAUUCAUUUACCUGAUCAAAGUUUAAUUAAGAAGGGGUUAAAAAUGGAGGUAUAUGUGGGGAAUGGGGUAAGUAGUACCCCAACUAUGUAUCUGGAGAAUGGAGAUCCUUCUGCUUGACGCUAAACCAUCGGAAGAAGUUGCUUCUGCACAUACUCUAAGAACCGUAUGUUGUUCAUCUUCAAUUUAAUUCCCUAGAUAAGGCAUGAAGUGUGUCUGGAUUAACUGAUUUAUUAGUGUAUUGAUCAUUCUUUGUUAAAAUGUGUCUUGAUGGCAUCAUGAUAUAUGCAUAAAGAAAGAGCACAACUACAAUCAAGUUCUUACUUGUUCUGCAGCUGGAAUUCUCUGCUUUCACCCAGUCAUAAGCUUUAACAUGAACAGAACCAUAGAGGAGUUUGCUCAGAACCGUCAUAUUUGGAUGAUCAUGAAGGGGAAAUGUUCCUCCUGCAGGGAAGCAAAACACUCCCAUCUGCCCAUCACAAAACCAAGUCAUCCCAUUUUACCUUUCACUGAUCGUCAAAACAAAUAACAUUCCACAUCCUGGCAUUCACAAACAUGUUUUCACUUACAGAGAAAUUGUCGCAUUCACGUAUGUGAAUAUAAGUUAUUUCAGAGACUGCUUGUCCGCAAACCAAUCCUUUUGUAAUCUUUGGGCUUGAAAAUGGAGACUGGUGUAAGCUAAAUUCGUCAAUCCCAACAUCGAUGGCUUCCAUUAAGUCUGCGUGAAAUGAAAUUCAAAACUUCAUACAAACUUGCAACUCUUUUUCUCAAUAAAUAUUCAUGAAAGGAGAUCGAUGCAAUACCUAGGAGAUUCUUCAGCCACUGAAUCUGUUGGAAAGUUGGAAGCUCCUUCUGAGAGAACACAGCAUCACAGGCAUCAUACAGCACUUGUAUCUUACUUCUCUCAAUUGCGCAGUCCAUGGCCUUCUGUUGCCUGAAUUUGUCAUGCACCACUGGAAGCCGGUGAAUGGUGAUAAAUAGAGAGAGAAGACUUGUAAAAUUCAAACUACAUCAACUAAACCUGGGGCUUUGUCUUGACUUUGGCUUACUGUGGGCUUCUUUUUUCUUCUCGCUUGUGUUUCUGCUUUUCCAAGUCACGAUUGCCUCAUGGCCUUGAGGUAAUUAUGAAGUCUCGGUACGCACACAUCAUCCCAAUGAGAAUUAUUGAAAGGCAAAGUCGUCAUUCCCAACAGGAACUCUCCUAAUUCAAGUGAAUCAGGAUAUUGGCUUAUGCAGUAACCGGUAAGUUCAUAGCAUAAGAAUAUUAAAUUUCACAACGAAACACAUGAAAACAAUUGAUUGAGUUUUACGGGAAGAGCAUUACUUCAUACUCCACCAAAAAAUAACACUGCCUUGGCCUAAGCACUCGUUUUUCCAUAACGCUAAGGUUUAAGCUAAACACAGGGCAGGCGUUUAUGAGACUGCUCGGAGACGUUUGUAGGUGAAUCGUGCGAAAUGUCACAUAAAGAGAUCAUAUGAGAAUUAAGAAACAAGGCUGAGGUUGAUGCAAUGAUGCAUUCAUAUAACAAGUUAGGGAGCAGGGUCCAACAAUGCCCUUAAUCACAAGGUAAGGACAGAAAGACUUUUCACACUAGAGUGCAGCAUUCACAUUUCAAUGCUUCAUAGUGAAUUUGGUAUGCAUUGUGUGAAACAUCCCACCCAAAACCAACGGGCCCGCCCAAGCAGACAAUGACAAUCAUGAGUCUCAACUCUUUUUGACCUACGAAAUUGGAAGUUUCUGGGGAAAAAAUCAUUAAUCUUUACUACGUGCGAUUACCUCGUUUGGAGUGCGGACCAUCAACCGUGGAAAUUGAAAUGGCUAAGAUGUCUUCGAAUAUUUCAAAAUAUAUCUGUAUACGUAUGAUGUUUAAAAGUCGGAUGCGAAUCCCAUUAAUAUUAUAAAUUUAUGGAUAAAAUUUAAUUUAUAAUAAUAAUAAUAAUAAUUUUUAAUUUUUUUCUAAAUAAAUAAUCUUCAAACUAAAUAACACUUGAUAAUAUAUUAAAUUUAUUAGUAUGUCUAUUAAUUUUUUAAAAAAAAUUGAAAUUCAAAUAAUAAACCUAUUAAUACCAUAAAUUUAUGAAUAAAAAUUAUUUUAGACCAUAUUAUUUUUUCUGUACAUAAUUAUAUUUUAUAAAUUUUAUCAUUAAAAAAAAUAAACUUUAAAUAGAUUUUAUAUUUAAUUUAUUAAUUAUUUUAACAAUUUUUAUAAAUAAUUUAAAACUAAAAAAAUAAAUAUAGUUACCGAAAAGAAUAAUACAUCAAAACUAAUAGAUCAUAACUUAUGACUUUACAGUUGUUUCUCCUCUAAACAUGAUGAUAUUUUUUAAAUUUUCUCAUAAAGUAAAUAUAUUAUAAAUUAAGUAAGACAUAGUUAAUAAAUUCAAAUUUUUUUAUCUAAUUUUUUUAUUUUUAAUAUUAAUUUUGAAUUCAAAAAUUUGAUUUAAUUAAUUGCAUACUAAAUUAAAACAUUAUAUUCUUAAUUAAGUACUUAACAUGACUUCACUCAUUUUCAUAUUAAAAAUUUUAAAUUUUAUGUGUUAUUCAUUUUAAAUAAAAUAUUAUUAAUAAUUUUUAAAUUAUUAUUAUUCAUUUUUAGAAAAAAAAAUAUAUGAAGAUAUUAAUAACUUGUGUUUUUUGUAUACACUAAAAUCGUAUUUUUUUUUUGUAAAAAAAAAUAUAAUUUAUGAUUUAUCAUAAUAUCUUUAUUCAUGUUAUACUAAAAAUUAUUUAUUUUUUUAAUUUAUUUGUAAUUAUAAAAUUAUUUUUAUUUUUAAUAAAACUUAAAUAAAUUUAAUUAUAUAUAUUAUAUAAAUUAUAUUUACAAUGUUUUCACAAAAUAAAAAAAGAAUAUUUUUUAAAAAAUCCAUUUUUUUUAAAGCAAGUUGACAAACAACUUUAUUUUUAUAAAAUAUUAAAAAAAAACAAACAAUGUUUUUUUUUUAACUUACAAAAAAUUUUAAAAAUAAGCAUAAAAAGCAUGAUCAAACGGUCCUAUUAUUUUUUUUUAAAUUUAUAAAAAUAUGAAAAUAAAGAGAUUUUAGGUAUUAUUUUACAAAAAUAUUAAUUAAUCUUUAAUAUGAAAUAAAAUAUAUUUUAAUCUUUUUGAAUUAAAAAAAUGAUUAUAUUUUCUCAAAUAUUAUCCUUCAUUAUAACUUAUCUCAAUUUUCCCUAAAUUUUUUCCUUUUAUAACUAUAUGUUAAGAGUAUUUUUAUGGAAUAUGGAAAUUUAGGUAUGUUAUCAUGAUGUUCCUUUUUCUACUUCGCCGUUAACAAAUUUCCGGUUCCGUCAACGGUUACAAACUCACAAAUUGCGAGGGACACCGAGUCAGAGACCCUGUAAUCCGUCACGGGUUAUAUGGGUCAGUGGACCAGAGGCCCAAUAAUCCCUCUAUAGCCCAACUCACGGAUGCGUGCCAGCUGCCUACCCAUUGCGAUCCCCUAUAUCCCUCGAAAUCGGACGGUCCCUAUUCACUUCUCCCAAAUCACUCUCUGGCAACGCGAUCAUAGCUCCACCACCCCCAAAAAAGAAACAGGCUAAAACAAACCACCCCUGGCUCUAUCCCUCUCAAAACCAAACCACACCAAAACCAACAGAUCUAGAAAUCGCAGGCUCUCUCUUCCCCCAACAGAAAAAAAUUCAUCAGAAUCAAUGGCGGCAGCUCCAUCCGCACGCGAAG